rnacentral:lncRNA from 1 species
UCAAACCAGAAUAUCUUCUAACCAAUAACUGUCCCAAACAUGGUUAUGUGGCUCACCACUCACACUUUUCUGACUAGAGCGGCAGAAUGUAUUAAGAAGUCAUAGAUGCAUACAACAAUCAUAUAUACAGAAAGUUACUCAAAUGCUCUGCACAAAUUCAGGCCAACAAUUUUUCAUUCAUGUCUGAAAUUGAUUACAAUAUGACUUGAUAGUCGAUACAUUCAGGACUUGCUUGGCCAACAAUUUUUCCUUCAUGUCUGAAAUUUAUUACAAUACGACUUGAUAGUCGAUACAUUUAGGACUUGCCUAGCCCAAAGCUUCACCCACAAACACACACACAAGAGUUCACUAACCAAUGUUACUCGUCGGAAACUGCAACUUUAACUCACCAAGACGCCCAAUGCCUAAGAAUCCAGUUCAGCCAAGAUUAAUUUUACAGGAGAGUCAGCAUAGUCUCCAGAUGCUAGGCAGCUCACAUGAUUAUGUGUGUAUCGACAAGUUCAAUUCUACUCCUUUUUCCUGCUACAAGCCGGGUAGCAAAUGGGCGUUUUGGAUUUUGCGGCGAGUGCGUCUUACGCUCUGUCUCGUGCCGGAAUUGCAGUACAUGAGUUUCCUUUUUAGGCUCAUCUGCUUUACUUUGAUUUAUUGAAAAUGCCCUUUAUUUACUUAAACCCUUAACUUAGGACCAGGUGUGGAUGUAGUGUAACUAUGCCGUACACAUCUUAACAAGAUUUUUGCUGCCUAGCUAGAUGGAGACUCUGCUGACACUCUAGUAAAAUUACUAAUGACUGAACGGGAUUCAAAGAACACUAGAAAUCUUGGUAAGCAAGUGCAGAACCUAGAGGGACAAAGAUUAGAUGAAACUUAUGUGUGCAUGGUUUAGGAAGCAACUAAAAGACUAGGGAAGGCAUAAUACCACUGGACGCAGCCAAGGAAUUGGUUGCUUCCUUGGUGCUGCAGCGGUGACACGGUUUUGCUUCGGAAUCUUGCAGCUGAGCUCCCCCAUCCCCCUUCUUGCGUGCAGAGUUGAAACUGCUGGAGUCAUCUUCUUCACACCGGGCGCAGCAGCAGUGAGAGGCAGUGGUGUAGAGCCGACGAAAGAGCAAGCCUUGGAAGCGACCUGACGAGAGACCUUCUUCACAGGCGCAGCAGCAGUACUCCUACAAAUUUGCAACUAGAUUACAUAGUUGGCAACUUGUAGCUUGCAACUAGAUUCCUCUGCUCCCUCUGCUUUUCUCACUGCCGACUCUUCUCCUCUGAUGCAAGACUACCACCAAGAAGCUUGCACUGCUGAUGAUUUCUUCCCCUGCUUCCAUCACCCGUGGAUUUGCAUCGCUUGAGCAAAGUCCCGUCGACGAGCCAUCUCGAGGAGGUGAGCUUGAUAACGCCAUGCUUGCUGUCGUGCUUGGAGCAGCCCCUCAGGGGACUUGGUCACGUCGGAGUGAUGGAUCCAGGGGUCGUUGAACUGCACGGUGUCCGCCAUCUGCUCCACCUUUCGCCGGGCCUCCGCUCGGCUGCGCUCGAUGUCGCACCGACGGCUGGCCUCUUCUUCGGAGGCAGAGCGAGCCUUGUCGAGGCGAGCCAUGGUGAGGCGAGCGUUCUCGAUCAGUUCGCGCAUGCUGAUCUGCGGCUUCGGUUGCACAGCAGUGGCAGGCAGUGGUGUAGAGCCGACGAAAGAGCAAGCCUUGGAAGCGACCUGACGAGAGACCUUCUUCACAGGCGCAGCAGCAGUGGCAGGCAGGCAGAUUGGAGCCUUGGAAGCCGGGCGCUUGCGGUGGUGGCAAGCGGACUCCUCGUCUUGAGCCAUCUGGCGUCCACGGGCACGGAUGGCGCACCGGACAUCCACGGGGUCAGCACCAGCAGCAGCCAGCAAGGUGGUGGCAGGCCCAGGGCGCGCGACGGAGGCAAUAUCAGAGGCAUCGAAGGAGCCAGGCAUCGCCGGCGCAUGGCUGCGUUCUCCGUGGUUGACACACCAGACACGGACGGGAUCAACAUGGGCCGCCUUGGCAGGAGCAGCGACAUCAGAUGCGGCCGUGGCGGCGUGGCGAUGGGGACGCCCUCCAUGGUCGAUGCCGUAGCGGCGGAGUUCUUGGGCGGCCGUGGCGGCCUCCUUGGCGAGGCCGUUUUCCUCGAGACGGCGCUGGAAGUCGGCGUCCCAGCGGGCGAGGGACUCCCGGGACUCACCGGUGGCCUUGGCCAGGCUGUGCUUGGUCCAGUACUGGAGCACCCUCUCGAGGGUUGCGCGAGGGCACCCGCAUCUCCAGCGGGAGGGCUUGGGCGGCGGCCGGGCGACAGUCCCACGCCGGAGCGACGAGCACCUUGCCGUCGGAGCUACGGAGCUGGAGCACCUUCGCCGCCAUCGAUGCCGCGUCUUGGAUUGGAUCUGGGGAUCGGGGAGGGAGGCGGACGAAUCGAGUUGGAGCCGCUGCCCCCGCAAGCGCUUUUAUUCAUCGGAGAGCUCCUGGUUCUUACCGGACUCGGAUUACCAGCUGUCUCCGGCUGAACUGGAAAUGAACUCGAACUCGAAUUCACAGGGGGCAAGCCCUUGGCCGUGUACCAGCCGAGCGGGGCAGGCGAUGCCACCGCGCUGGUCCGACCGGCGCACGGGUCGGCCCGCGGCAUCCGCGUCUCGGCGUGCGGCUACGGCCAUUCCAUCAGCGGGCAGGCGCAGGUACCUGAGCUCCGCGGCGCUGGCCAUGGAGAUCUUCAGGUGGCGCCCUCGUUGAUUUCCCAGAGAUCCCCGAACAGCAGCUCCCCUCGGCGCGAGGAAGACGGCUGCAUCCCUCCCGGCUCCCGUCCGCUGUCGCGCCCCGCGCCGCCUCCUCCACGAGGCCGUCAGCCGGCGCGCCCACAGGGCGCGGCUCUGUUCCUCUGUUCCUUUCUUGGCUCCGACCUCUCGGACUGCUGCUGCCGAGGGCAUUUUUUUUUUAAUUAUCCUUUUGCCCUCACUGUCCAUGUACUCAGUUUUGCCCUCAGAUGUGAAUUGUGCUCAGUUUUGCCCCUAGUCCGUGCGCACCGACUCGUUCCGUGAACUCUUCCGUCUCCGUCAGGUCAACCUUUUGACUCGGCCCUUACAGGUUGGACCAGGCGGCAGAGACGGCCAAUUCUAUUCAGACCGUUGCACGCGUGGCUUGUGGGACCCAGCAGAGAGCCUUUGAGUAGAGAGCCGUUGCGGGUGUGCUAUAUAAGCGGGCGACAGACAGCGGCGAUGACCACGGCGACAGAGAGCACGGCGAGAGAGAGAGAGAGAGCACGACGGUCGGAAGCUAGCUGUGGAGGGCGCGGCGGCGUUGAGAUCCCUUUCGGCUCCGAGCUCCAUGUCUUCCUCAAGCUCCCGCGCCACCUCGCGGAUGCAGAGCGGGCGCGUGUGGACAUGCCUGUCUUCGUCUGUCCACGGUGCCGGGCGGGCGUUGAUCGGAGGGUUUCUCACACACCGAGGAACCAGAAUCGUCCGUUCUACGUGUGCAGCGAGAAUGGGGUAAGAAUCGGGGCAAUUGCACCAUUUUCAUGGUCGGGAUCUUUGAGCAAUGGGUUGAUCUGUUUGGUGUUCAUGCAGGUGACGUGCUUCUUUCUUUGGGUCGAUGCUCUGGCCAAGACUCUGAUGAAUGAACUGCAAGAAGAGCAUGAAGAAUGGUUGCGCAUGCUGCCACGAACGGCAGUGGCCGCAACACGAGCUCCGGAAGAAGAGAUGGAGGGCGAAGCACGCACUGACAGAGAGCUAGCUGUUGAGCUUAGGAUGUUGAAGAAGAAGGUUAGGAAGCUUGAAGAUCAAGCACAAAUACCAAUACCCAUUUGCAAUUACUUUUGGGCAUUUGUAGGUAUGGUAAUCGCAUUGGUUGUAAUGUUGAAAAUGUAUGGAAAGGCAUGAAUUAUGGAGGAUUUUGUAAGCUUGAAAUUGCAUGAAAAAUUCGCCUAGUUUAAAUGUUGGUCAAAGUUCUUUAAAUGUUGAAAAAAAGAGAAGAAGUGACCAACAUUUAAAUAUGUUGAAAAAAGGGAGAAGAAAUGAGGAAUUCAGAAACUUUUGAUCAAUGAAAUGCAACUCUCUGCUCUGCCUUUUUGUCAAAAAAAAGGUUCCUCUGUGGGCCAAAUUCAGAGCGUAGAGCCAAGUGCAGGCUAGACUAAUGGGCCAACUACAUCCAAUUAGGCCCAUUCAGGGGUUCUCUUGCGUUUUUUCUGUUUUCUAUUCUAAUUUAAUUUAGGCAGUAAAUCAUAAUGCUGAAACUUUUUGUGAAAGCUAAUUGAAUUAUUCCAGAGCCAAACAAUUAAGUUUAGAAUUUUUUUCGAGCUGUUAAAUAUUUACUAGCAAUUUAAUUACUCCAAUUCAAAUACACCGUGAUUUAAAUCAAAGACCAAAAUGUCAUGGAAAAUGUGCCUCAGCUCUGGUAGAGGUUUACACCUGGUGCCAAAAUAAAUGAAGAUUUUUUAAGGGCAUUACAUUAAGAAAAAAAUAAUUUGUCUAAAAAAUGAAGGGUGAAAAAUGCACAAAAAAUUGGUGCGGUUGGGGACUUGAACCCAGGACCGCGUGGGUUUGUGGUGUUUAGGGCUGCGCUGGUAACCGCUAGGACAGACGGAAAGACUUUGACAUGGGUAGGGAAGGAAGGUAUACAUAGUGAGACCGUGAAUGUUUGCACACGUGUGAGAGUGGUUUUCCUUUGUUUUGCACUGAAAUUUUGGAGGGUUGGAAACGUAUGUUUGCACUGCCACAUGAUUUUGGUUAGAGUGGCACUUGGUUUAGGGUUAGAGUGGCACUUGGUUUACGAUGUAAAGGGAAUAAAUUUGCAUGUUAGUUCAUGACUUGUUUUUUUUUGAAUGAAAGAGAGGGCUUCUCACCCCCUCCAAUUUUCAUUAAUGAAAACCACAAGUUCUCGAACUUCAUGACUUGGUUUAGGGAAGAAAUGAUAUGUUUGGGCACGAACAUUUUUUAACACACAUAAUAACUUAGAUAAGAUGCAACACACCGUACCCUUACAUUAGGCAAUAAUAACUUGGACCCAUAAGUUCACGGACACGACACGACAUGACACGACACGGCACGCACGACAUAGAAAAGCAACAAAAUAAAAACGAUAAAACUAAAACAUGACGAGGUUGACUCCGGGCUCGCACCCCUUCUUGAACAUCUUCAUCUUGACCUCCUUCUUCCACCUUGGCCGCGCCCCCCUUCAACACCGUCUUCAACUUCACACCUCCUCCUCCUCCUCGUAGGGAAGGGAGUGCAUCUGGCCUGGAGUGGGGAAGAUGCUCUCGUAGUUGGUGUAGAUGUUGUACAUCGUGAAGAAGAUGGCCUCGCAGCCACACCAAAAGACUUGGCCGAGGAGCUCGCGCGCGUCAAACGGGUUGGUGAAGGUGACCGUGAGAAGUAGGAGGAUGCCGCCGCGGUCACGAACCUCGUUGAGGGUGAACAUCCUAGGCAAGCCCCGUGGGAGGUGGGCAUAGUCGGCUCUGAGGAAGGCGCGGGUGAGUUCGACGGAACCCCUCCACCUUGAAGUCGCCCACACACGGAGCUCCCUCUCCACGAGCACUCCCGGUGGGUAGCGCAGCUCCGGCACGACAAGCGGACGAUUGAAGGUCGGCCCGUUGAACUGCAUCUUCACUUAGUCGCUUGGAGAGGGCUCGGUCGCUUGGGUGUUUGAAGUUGGAGAGAAUGGAUCGGAUCUGGCUUGUGGGUGGGAGAGGAAGAGAGGCACCCCAUUUAUAGGCAUGUGGGUGGGAGAGGAAGAGAGAAGAGAUGAGAACGGUGCGUGUGUGAAUCCGGACGCGUGUGUGUAUCCGUUACGUUUUGGACCCUUAAAGUUUUGCAUGAAAAUGAUGCAUGGGGCGCGUGCGUGCAUCUGAAUCACUGCAUAGCGAAGCUCUUUGACCGGGCGCAUGCAUCUGACUCGCUGCCGUAAUCUGAACCACUGCCGUAAUGGCCUAACUCUGAAUCGAGCCCUGAAUCAAUACGUGUGUGGCCACCUAGCUCGCCUCGCUCGCCUCGCUCGCAUGCAUGCACGUCCGCCUCCCGCGCAUGCAAACCCACGUCGCCGCCCUUCCCAUGCAUGCAGGCCUGGAAAGGCUGAGACGGGCUAUUAACUGCGGUCUCAGGCCCAGACAACGAGACGGCCCAACGGUCCAUCCAGCGCGCCCGGUACUUGUUGAAAAAAAAAACAAUCUCCUAGCCAAUCAGAUUGCAUCUCGCGGAUCGGCCCCCUCAUCCCCGCAGAUUCCUUCUAGAAGAGUUAGAUCGACGGCCCUUGAUCGCCGCUAGGGUUAGAUGGACGGUCCUUGUUCAGCGCUAGGGUUAGCGGGGUUUGGGAGGGGUUUGGAGCAGUCAAAUAUAUGUUUGACCAGAUUUCAAAUGAGCAUAAUAAAUUAAGUAAAAAUCAGAAAAAUGAAAAACCUGCGCACAUAGUCUUCUUAUGUCAUAUACUAACGAUUUAAGUUGAUAAACAAGGUUUACAUACAUUUAAACGAAAAGUUCAUGUGUCUUAUGUGAUAUCUCGAGUAUCUCAAACUCUCUUGUAUGAAGUGAAGAGAAGUGUUUUGGGGAAAUGAACAUGAAAAUUUCAAAAAUUCACCACAGCUUCAUUUUGGAGUGACUAAGAAGGAUCCAUGCUUAGUUUUCAUUUUGAUGUUUUAGACUUGUUUAAAUCUUGGUCAAAGUUAAGUUUGACCAGAAUUCAAAUGAGCAAAACAAAUAAAAAAAUCAAAAAAAUGGAAAAACGAACGCACAUGGUCUGUGUAUAUAGAAUAUAUGUGUAGGAAAGUUAUUUGGCUGAUUUAGACAAGGUCGAAAAAAACCUUGCUUAGAAAUGAGGCCGUUUACCCUACCUUUGGACCCCUCAAAGUAAAGCACAAUUUGCAUCUGAGGGCAAAACUGAGCACAUUAACCCUUUUUAAAAAACAUUUAUCAAGACUUCUAUUCCUCAAAUGAUCACCAUAUCAUUUACAAGUGCUUGGAAAAUAAAGACAGAGAUAGAAUCAUCCCAACUUCUAGAAGUUCUAGUACUAUAAUAAUUUUUUUAAAAAAAUCACCCUCCUCUAACCCAAUAAGCAUGAAUCAAGAUCUCAAUAGAUCCACCUCCUUUCUUUCAACACAUGACCCUGGGCGUUCGGGUUUACCCGAAUUUUCGGGUCGGGUAUUUUGGGUUUUUUGAAAUUCGGGUUUUCAGAAACAACUAUCGAAAUAUCUCUAAAAAAACAAAGCCCGAAAUAUCGGAUACCCGAAUUUUCGGGUUCGGGUAGUCCCAAAUUUCCCAAACCGUGAACAAAGGUACUUACUGAUAUUAGAGUAUAUUCGGCCGGUUCAGUUUUUGGUAGUUUGAAUUGUAAUCUAUCACUUCUAUACUUGGACUCCAAGACUUUGUACUUAUAUAAACAGCCCAUUGAGGCAUAGAUCAAUACACAAUUAUUAUUAAUCUUCAUGGUAUCACACGCCUAGGUUUCCGCCCUCGGCAUGGCCUCGCCGCCAACUCCUGCCUCGCUGCCGCGGCGGCGGCUCUACACUAUCACCGAGUUCCGCGCUAUCGGCGCUGCUCCUCCAUCUUCUUCUUCAAUCCCUACCCAAAACCCUACCCCACCCCAACCACCUCAGCUCUCCCUCGCCGAUACUAUCACCGAUGUCUCACCUUUCAUCCCGAUAACCCCAGACCUCGCAACCCAUAAAUUCUACCAUUGGCGCCACCUCUUCCAUGUCCACCUCGGCCGCUGCGGUCUCCACCAUUACAUCAAUCCAGUCGCCCCCCCCACAGCUGAUCGACCCUCGCGGGAUCAAGGAUGACCUCAGCGUCAUCCAAUGGAUAUAUACUCGCAUCUCCACCGAGCUCUUCAACCUCGUCUCCAACAACGAUGCCACCGUCGCUGAACUUUGGGCCUCUCUUCAGCAGCUCUUCCAGGAUAACUCCGAUGCGUGUGUUAACGCGCUACACAUCGAGCUCCGCACCAGCAUCCAAGGCGACUCUCCGGUCACCGUCUAUUGCCAACGCAUCAAGGCGAUCGGCGACGAACUCCGUGAGCUCGGUGAUCACGUUGACGAUCGGACCCUCAUCAACGCUCUCCUCGUCGGCCUCGGGGAACAGUUCGAGAAGCAGGUCGCCUUCAUCCCUAUGCUGCGACCCUACCCCUCCUUCGUGGAGUUCCGCUCCAUCUUGCAGCUCGAGGCAUAGAACCAGGCGCGCAAGGCGACGCUUCCUCCCCAGGUGUUUCACGUCGCCCGGCCAUCUGCACCAUCUGCGCCGCCUCCAUCACCUGCUCCACCGACGCCUUCAUCCUCGGCUCCUCCAGGCUGGCGCCCGAGCCCUAACUAUCGGGGCAAACACCCCGUCUACCGGCCGCCACAGCCUCGACCUGCUGCUCCACCACCGCCGGCUGCACCACCGACGUCUCCUCCAUCGGCCGCUGCUCCCGUGUCUUAGCACCCUCAGCAAGACCCCUGGACUGGUCUAGUUCAGGCGUGGCCCAUGCCCUGGUCUGCGCCAUCUCCAUACAACGCUCCUCCCGCGUACACCGGCAACUGGAGCCCAAGCCUUCACCCUGCUAGCGGUGCUCCCGGCCUCCUUGGUCUGCGGCAACCGCCUCAUGUCUACACUUCCACGACCUCUCCAUCGCCAGCCGUCCAAGGAUCACCUCACGGCUACCUACCGGUACCCUAUGCACCCUACGCCUACGACCCUGCUUCACCCAUGUCGUACGCGCACGCGCCUGCACCCGGACCGCCAGCUACUCCACCACAGCCAGCCUGGGAUCAAGCCGCCUUCAUCGCUGCCAUGAACAACUUUACACUCAAUAACCAAGGUACGGAUUGGAUUUUUGAUUCCGGUGCAUCCUCGCAUAUGUCUUCAAAUAUGGAUAUUCUAUCAGCUUGUUUUCCUUCCGCUUAUUCUUCCAUCACCAUAGGUGACGGCUCCCUUGUUCCCGUCUCUUGCACCAGUCACUCUUCUAUACACACAGAUCAUGCCAAUUUUCAAUCCGCUAUAUUCUUGUUGUUCCUUCUUUAAUCAAUAACCUUAUUUCUGUUCGCCAAUUUACUAUCGAUAAUCUUAUCAUUCUAGCAUUUGAUCCUUUUGGUUCAUCUGUGAAGGAUCUGAGAACGGGGACACUUCUCGCUCGCUACAAUAGCACAAACGAUCUCUAUCCACUUCAUGGCGUGCCUGCAUCCUCUCCUCGCACCAUGCUGGCUUCAGUUGAUCUGUGGCAUCGUCGGCUCGGUCACCCCAAUAAUUCAACGUUGUCAUCUCUGCUACAAGAAUUUUCUAUUCCUAGCACUAGUGUGUCACAUGAUUCUUCUCUCUGUAAGGCAUGCCAAUGCGGCAAACAUGUUUGGCUUCCUUUUGGAACAUCAUCUACUGUUAGCACUUUUCCUUUUGAGCUUUUACAUUUUGAUCUAUGGACCUCUCCUAUUCCUAGUGUCUCUGGCUAAAAAUAUUAUCUUGUGAUUUUAGAUGAUUAUUCUCACUACAUAUGGACGUUCCCUUUACAUGCUAAAUUGACGUACAUCAAAUUUUUCUCACCUUUCGCACCUACGUCCAAACACACUUUGGCCUACCUAUUCGCUUUAUCCAAUGUGACAACGGGCGCGAGUUCGACGACGUCACCAACCGCACAUUUUUCCUCUCCCAUGGCAUUCUUCUAUGCUUUUCUUGUCCCUAUACCUCCUCUCAAAACGGGAAGGCCAAGUGCUCUCUUCUUUCCAUCAACGAUAUCCUACGCACUCUACUUAUCCAAGCAUCUCUUCCUCCCCAUUUUUGGGUUGAAGCUCUGCACACUGCUACCCUUCUUCUUAACAUCCGCCCCACCAAAACGUGUCCUCGCUAUACACCCUUUCAAUCCCUUCUUCUAUCUGAUCCCGACUACCUUUCUCUUUGGGUCUUUGGUUGCCUAUGCUUUCCUAAUGUCACAUCCAUCACAGCUCACAAACUAGCCCCACGAUCUCUACCCUGCAUUUAUCUUGGCCUCUCCGACAUCACAAAGGGCAUUGCUGCUUCGAUCCCUCUUCGGUCGUGUGUUUAUCUUGAGACAUGUCACCUUUGAUGAGCACGUUUUCCCCUUUGCCGUUGCCACCACUGCCUCUUCCUCUCCCUCAAAAUCUUCCACUACCCAUCCAUCCUCUCUUCUUCCCAUCAUCUUGGCCGCGGAACCUUCCCCACCUACCACCGCAUCAACCAGCAUCACUACCAGCUACAUCUUCGCAGGCAAGGAAGUGCCUGACAGUCGGGACCCACCUGGUCGAAGCGUACGUAGCGUUGUCAUUCUGGUCGCGGACGUGUACGUACAUACUGGUCGAUGUAGAGGCGCGCACGUGUCGUAGUAGAGGCGCGGACGUAGCAUGUACACGUACGUACAGCGGCCAGUGUGCAAGAAAGAAAAUAUGACCACGUACGUACAUACGGGCAGGGUCUCGAACGCUUACUCGCGCAUACCUACGGCCAGGGCUCGUGUACAUGGCUAGGUCGGAACGGAGAAACUACGUGAUCGUCAUGUUCAUGGGGAGCCAGCCGGGUGGGUCAGAACGAAAUGCGUCGUCGUGUUCAUCGGGAGGGCUUGGACGGAACAGCCGAUGGAAAAGAGGCCCGGCGUACCGUAGAACGGAGGAAACGGCCUUGUGUUCGACCGGCCACGGUCAAAACAUAAUCCUGUUCAUCGGGAGGGGUCUGGCGUACCGCAAAACGGAGGAAACGGACCUCCUACAGUCGAAACGGGGGUCCUGUUGAUCGGGAGGGGUGUGGCUGUUGGGGAUCGUAGCAGAAUAUUAAAAUUUCCUACGCAUCACCAAGAUCCAUCUAUGGAGUAUACUAGCAACUAGGGGAAAGGAGUGCAUCUACAUACCCUUGUAGAUCGCGAGCAGAAGCGUUCCAAUGAACGGGGUUGAUGGAGUCGUACUCGCCGUGAUCCAAAUCACCGAUGGCCGAGUGCCGAACGGAUGGCACCUCCGCGUUCAACACACGUACGGAGCAGCGACGUCUCCUCCUUCUUGAUCCAGCAAGGGGGAAGGAGAGGUUGAUGGAGAUCCAGCAGCACGACGGCGUGGUGGUGGAAGUAGCGGGAUCUCGGCAGGGCUUCGCCAAGCUUCUGCGAGAGGGAGAGGUGUUGCAGGGGGAGAGGGAGGCGCCAGGGGCUGUGGUGCUGCUGCCCUCCCUCCCCCCCACUAUUUAUAGGCCCCCUGGAGGGGGGGNNNNNNNNNNNNNNNNNNNNNNNNNNNNNNNNNNNNNNNNNNNNNNNNNNNNNNNNNNNNNNNNNNNNNNNNNNNNNNNNNNNNNNNNNNNNNNNNNNNNNNNNNNNNNNNNNNNNNNNNNNNNNNNNNNNNNNNNNNNNNNNNNNNNNNNNNNNNNNNNNNNNNNNNNNNNNNNNNNNNNNNNNNNNNNNNNNNNNNNNNNNNNNNNNNNNNNNNNNNNNNNNNNNNNNNNNNNNNNNNNNNNNNNNNNNNNNNNNNNNNNNNNNNNNNNNNNNNNNNNNNNNNNNNNNNNNNNNNNNNNNNNNNNNNNNNNNNNNNCCCUAGGGUUUCCAACCCUAGGCGCAGGGGGAGGCCCAAGGGGGGGCGCCCCAGCCCACUAAGGGCUGGUUACCUUCCCACUUCAGCCCAUGGGGCCCUCCGGGACAGGUGGCCCCACCCGGUGGACCCCCGGGACCCUUCCGGUGGUCCCGGUACAAUACCGAUAACCCCCGAAACUUUCCCGGUGGCCGAAACUGGACUUCCUAUAUAUAAUUCUUCACCUCCGGACCAUUCCGGAACUCCUCGUGACGUCCGGGAUCUCAUCCGGGACUCCGAACAACUUUUGGGUUUCCGCAUACUAAUAUCUCUAUAACCCUAGCGUCACCGAACCUUAAGUGUGUAGACCCUACGGGUUCGGGAGACAUGCAGACAUGACCGAGACGCCUCUCCGGUCAAUAACCAACAGCGGGAUCUGGAUACCCAUGUUGGCUCCCACAUGUUCCACGAUGAUCUCAUCGGAUGAACCACGAUGUCGAGGAUUCAAUCAAUCCCGUAUACAAUUCCCUUUGUCAAUCGGUAUGCUACUUGCCCGAGAUUCGAUUGUCGGUAUCCCAAUACCUUGUUCAAUCUCGUUACCGGCAAGUCUCUUUACUCGUACCGUAAUGCAUGAUCCCGUGGCUAACUCCUUAGUCACAUUGAGCUCAUUAUGAUGAUGCAUUACCGAGUGGGCCCAGAGAUACCUCUCCGUCAUACGGAGUGACAAAUCCCAGUCUCGAUCCGUGCCAACUCAACAGACACUUUCGGAGAUACCCGUAGUGUACCUUUAUAGUCACCCAGUUACGUUGUGACGUUUGGCACACCCAAAGCACUCCUACGGCAUCCGGGAGUUGCACGAUCUCAUGGUCUAAGGAAAAGAUACUUGACAUUGGAAAAGCUCUAGCAAACGAACUACGCGAUCUUUGAGCUAUGCUUAGGAUUGGGUCUUGUCCAUCACAUCAUUCUCCUAAUGAUGUGAUCCCGUUAUCAAUGACAUCCAAUGUCCAUAGUCAGGAAACCAUGACUAUCUGUUGAUCAACGAGCUAGUCAACUAGAGGCUUACUAGGGACACAUUGUGGUCUAUAUAUUCACACAUGUAUUACGAUUUCCGGAUAACACAAUUAUAGCAUGAACAACAGAUAAUUAUCAUGAACAAAGAAAUAUAAUAAUAACCAUUUAUUAUUGCCUCUAGGGCAUAUUUCCAACAGUCUCCCACUUGCACUAGAGUCAAUAAUCUAGUUACAUUGUGAUGAAUCGAACACCCAUAGCGUUCUGGUGUUGAUCAUGUUUUGCUCUAGGGAGAGGUUUAGUCAACGGAUCUGCUACAUUCAGGUCCGUAUGUACUUUACAAAUAUCUAUGUCUCCAUUUUGAACACUUUCACGAAUGGAGUUGAAGCGACGCUUGAUAUGCCUGGUCUUCCUGUGAAACUUGGGCUCCAUGGCAAGGGCAAUAGUUCCAGUGUUGUCACAGAAGAGAGUCAUCGGGCCCGACGCAUUGGGAAUCACCCCUAGGUCGGUAAUGAACUCCUUUAUCCAGACUGCUUCCUGUGCUGCCUCUGAGGCCGCCAUGUACUCCGCUUCACAUGUAGAUCCCGCCACGACGCUUUGCUUGCAACUGCACCAGCUUACUGCUCCUCCAUUCAAAAUAUACACGUAUCCGGUUUGUGACUUCGAGUCAUCCAGAUCUGUGUCGAAGCUAGCGUCGACGUAACCCUUUACGACGAGCUCUUCGUCACCUCCAUAAACGAGAAACAUAUCCUUAGUCCUCUUCAGGUACUUCAGGAUAUUCUUGACCGCUGUCCAGUGUUCCAUGCCGGGAUUACUUUGGUACCUUCCUACCAAACUUACGGCAAGGUUAACAUCAGGUCUGGUACACAGCAUGGCAUAUAUAAUAGACCCUAUGGCCGAGGCAUAGGGGAUGACACUCAUCUUUUCUCUAUCUUCUGCCGUGGUCGGGCAUUGAGCUGUGCUCAAUUGCACACCUUGCAAUACAGGAAAGAACCCCUUCUUGGACUGAUCCAUAUUGAACUUCUUCAAUAUCUUGUCAAGGUACGUACUCUGUGAAAGACCAAUGAGGCGUCUUGAUCUAUCUCUAUAGAUCUUGAUGCCUAAUAUAUAAGCAGCUUCUCCAAGGUCCUUCAUUGAAAAACACUUAUUCAAAUAGGCCUUUAUACUUUCCAAGAAUUCUAUAUCAUUUCCCAUCAAUAGUAUGUCAUCCACAUAUAAUAAGAGAAAUGCUACAGAGCUCCCACUCACUUUCUUGUAAACACAGGCUUCUCCAUAAGUCUGUGUAAACCCAAACGCUUUGAUCAUCUCAUCAAAACGAAUGUUCCAACUCCGAGAUGCUUGCACCAGUCCAUAGAUGGAGCGCUGGAGCUUGCAUACCUUGUUAGCAUUCUUAGGAUCGACAAAACCUUCCGGCUGCAUCAUAUACAAUUCUUCCUUAAGAAAGCCGUUAAGGAAUGCCGUUUUGACGUCCAUUUGCCAUAUCUCAUAAUCAUAGAAUGCGGCAAUUGCUAACAUGAUUCGGACGGACUUCAGCUUCGCUACGGGUGAGAAAGUCUCAUCGUAGUCAACCCCUUGAACUUGUCGAUAACCCUUAGCGACAAGUCGAGCCUUAUAGAUGGUCACAUUACCAUCCGCGUCUGUCUUCUUCUUAAAGAUCCAUUUAUUUUCUAUGGCUCGCCGAUCAUCGGGCAAGUCAGUCAAAGUCCAUACUUCGUUUUCAUACAUGGAUCCUAUCUCGGAUUUCAUGGCUUCUAGCCAUUUGUUGGAAUCCGGGCCCGCCAUCGCUUCUUCAUAGUUCGAAGGUUCACUGUUGUCUAACAACAUGAUUUCCAGGACAGGGUUGCCGUACCACUCUGGUGCGGAACGUGUCCUUGUGGACCUACGAAGUUCAGCAGUAACUUGAUCCGAAGCUUCAUGAUCAUCAUCAUUAACUUCCUCCCAGUCGGUGUAGGCACCACAGGAACAUCUUCCCGCGCUGCACUACUUUCCGGUUCGGAAGGGGUGACUAUCACCUCAUCAAGUUCCACUUUCCUCCCACUUAAUUCUUUCGAGAGAAACUCUUUCUCCAGAAAGGACCCGUUCUUGGCAACAAAGAUCCUGCCUUCGGAUAUGAGGUAGAAGGUAUACCCAAUAGUUUCCUUGGGGUAUCCUAUGAAGACACAUUUUUCCGACUUGGGUUCGAGCUUUUCAGGUUGAAGUUUCUUGACAUAAGCAUCGCAUCCCCAAACUUUUAGAAACAACAGCUUAGGUUUCUUCCCAAACCAUAAUUCAUACGGUGUCGUCUCAACGGAUUUCGACGGAGCCCUAUUUAAAGUGAAUGCGGCAGUCUCUAAAGCAUAGCCCCAAAAUGAGAGCGGUAGAUCGGUAAGAGACAUCAUAGAUCACACCAUAUCCAAUAGAGUGCGAUUACGACGUUCGGACACACCAUUUCGCUGAGGUGUUCCAGGCGGCGUGAGUUGUGAAACGAUUCCACAUUUCUUUAAGUGUGUACCAAAUUCGUGACUUAAAUAUUCUCCACCACGAUCUGAUCGUAAGAAUUUUAUUUUCCUGUCACGUUUAUUCUCAACCUCACUCUGAAAUUCCUUGAACUUUUCAAAGGUUUCAGACUUGUGUUUCAUUAGGUAGACAUACCCAUAUCUAUUUAAGUCAUCAGUGAGAGUGAGAACAUAACGAUAUCCUCCGCGAGCCUCAACACUCAUUGGACCGCACACAUCGGUAUGUAUGAUUUCCAAUAAGUUGGUUGCUCGCUCCAUUGUUCCGGAGAACGGAGUCUUGGUCAUCUUACCCAUGAGGCAUGGUUUGCACGUGUCAAAUGAUUCGUAAUCAAGAGACUCCAAAAGUCCAUCUGCAUGGAGCUUCUUCAUGCGCUUGACACCAAUGUGACCAAGGCGGCAGUGCCACAAGUAUGUGGGACUAUCGUUAUCAACUUUACAUCUUUUGGUAUUCACACUAUGAACAUGUGUAACAUCACGUUCGAGAUUCAUCAAGAAUAAACCAUUGACCAGCGGGGCAUGACCAUAAAACAUAUCUCUCAUAUAAAUAGAACAACCAUUAUUCUCGGAUUUAAAUGAGUAGCCAUCUCGAAUUAAACGAGAUCCAGAUACAAUGUUCAUGCUCAAAGCUGGCACUAAAUAACAAUUAUUGAGGUUUAAAACUAAUCCCGUAGGUAAAUGUAGAGGCAGCGUGCCGACGGCGAUCACAUCGACCUUGGAACCAUUCCCGACGCGCAUCGUCACCUCGUCCUUUGCCAGUCUCCGCUUAUUCCGCAGUUCCUGUUUUGAGUUACAAAUAUGAGCAACCGCACCGGUAUCAAAUACCCAGGAGCUACUACGAGUACUGGUAAGGUACACAUCAAUUACAUGUAUAUCACAUAUACCUUUGGUGUUGCCGGCCUUCUUGUCCGCUAAGUAUUUGGGGCGGUUCCGCUUCCAGUGACCACUUCCCUUGCAAUAAAAGCACUCAGUCUCAGGCUUGGGUCCAUUCCUUGGCUUCUUCCCGGUAACUGGCUUACCGGGCGCGGAAACUCCCUUGCCGUCCUUCUUGAAGUUCUUCUUACCCUUGCCUUUCUUGAACUUAGUGGUUUUAUUCACCAUCAACACUUGAUGUUCCUUUCUGAUCUCCACCUCCACUGAUUUCAGCAUUGAAUAUACCUCAGGAAUGGUCUUUUCCAUCCCCUGCAUAUUGAAGUUCAUCACAAAGCUCUUGUAGCUCGGUGGAAGCGACUGAAGGAUUCUGUCAAUGACCGCGUCAUCCGGGAGAUUAACUCCCAGCUGAGACAAGCGGUUGUGUAACCCAGACAUUCUGAGUAUGUGCUCACUAACAGAACUAUUUUCCUCCAUUUUACAGCUGAAGAACUUGUCAGAGACUUCAUAUCUCUCGACCCGGGCAUGAGCUUGGAAAACCAUUUUCAGCUCUUCGAACAUCUCAUAUGCUCCAUGUUUCUCAAAACGUUUUUGAAGACCCGAUUCUAAGCUGUAAAGCAUGCCGCACUGAACGAGGGAGUAAUCAUCAGCACGUGAUUGCCAAGCGUUCAUAACGUCUUGGUUCUCUGGGAUUGGUGCUUCACCUAGCGGUGCUUCUAGGACAUAAUCUUUCUUGGCAGCUAUGAGGAUGAUCCUCAGGUUCCGGACCCAGUCCGUAUAGUUGCUGCCAUCAUCUUUCAGCUUGGUUUUCUCUAGGAACGCGUUGAAGUUGAGGACAACGUGGGCCAUUUGAUCUACAAGACACAUUGUAAAGAUUAUAGACUAAGUUCAUGAUAAUUAAGUUCAUCUAAUCAAAUUACUCAAUGAACUCCCACUCAGAUAGACAUCCCUCUAGUCAUCUAAGUGAAACAUGAUCCGAGUUAACUAGGCCGUGUCCGAUCAUCACGUGAGACGAACUAGUCAAGAUCGGUGAACAUCUCCAUGUUGAUCGUAUCUUCUAUACGACUCAUGCUCGACCUUUCGGUCUUCCGUGUUCCGAGGCCAUGUCUGUACAUGCUAGGCUCGUCAAGUCAACCUAAGUGUAUUGCGUGUGUUCCGAGGCCAUGUCUGUACAUGCUAGGCUCGUCAACACCCGUUGUAUGCGAACGUUAGAAUCUAUCACACCCGAUCAUCACGUGGUGCUUCGAAACAACGAACCUUCGCAACGGUGCACAGUUAGGGGGAACACUUUCUUGAAAUUAUUAUAAGGGAUCAUCUUACUUACUACCGUCGUUCUAAGCAAAUAAGGUGCAAAACAUGAUAAACAUCACAUGCAAUCAAAUAGUGACAUGAUAUGGCCAAUAUCAUUUUGCUCCUUUGAUCUCCAUCUUCGGGGCACCAUGAUCAUCUUCGUCACCGGCAUGACACCAUGAUCUCCAUCAUCAUGAUCUCCAUCAUCAUGAUCUCCAUCAUUGUGUCUUCAUGAAGUUGUCACGCCAACGAUUACUUCUACUUCUAUGGCUAACGCAUUUUAGCAAUAAAGUAAAGUAAUUUACAUGGCGUUCUUCAAUGACACGCAGGUCAUACAAAAAAUAAAGACAACUCCUAUGGCUCCUGCCGGUUGUCAUGCUCAUCGACAUGCAAGUCGUGAUUCCUAUUACAAGAAUAUGAUCAAUCUCAUACAUCACAUAUAUCAUUCAUCACAUCUUCUGGCCAUAUCACAUCACAAGGCACAUGCUGCAAAAACAAGUUAGACGUCCUCUAAUUGUUGUUGCAAGUUUUUACGUGGCUUGUAUAGGUUUCUGGCAAGAACGUUUCUUACCUACGUAAAACCACAACGUGAUAUGCCAAUUUUUAUUUACCCUUCAUAAGGACCCUUUUCAUCGAAUCCGUUCCGACUAAAGUGGGAGAGACAGACACCCGCUAGCCACCUUAUGCAACUAGUGCAUGUCAGUCGGUGGAACCUGUCUCACGUAAGCGUACGUGUAAGGUCGGUCCGGGCCGCUUCAUCCCACAAUACCGCCGAAACAAGAUAAGACUAGUAGCGGCAAGAAGAAUUGGCAACAUCUACGCCCACAACUGCUUUGUGUUCUACUCGUGCAUAGUAACUACGCAUAGGCCUGGCUCAUGAUCCACUGUUGGGGAUCGUAGCAGAAUAUUAAAAUUUCCUACGCAUCACCAAGAUCCAUCUAUGGAGUAUACUAGCAACUAGGGGAAAGGAGUGCAUCUACAUACCCUUGUAGAUCGCGAGCAGAAGCGUUCCAAUGAACGGGGUUGAUGGAGUCGUACUCGCCGUGAUCCAAAUCACCGAUGGCCGAGUGCCGAACGGAUGGCACCUCCGCGUUCAACACACGUACGGAGCAGCGACGUCUCCUCCUUCUUGAUCCAGCAAGGGGGAAGGAGAGGUUGAUGGAGAUCCAGCAGCACGACGGCGUGGUGGUGGAAGUAGCGGGAUCUCGGCAGGGCUUCGCCAAGCUUCUGCGAGAGGGAGAGGUGUUGCAGGGGGAGAGGGAGGCGCCAGGGGCUGUGGUGCUGCUGCCCUCCCUCCCCCCCACUAUUUAUAGGCCCCCUGGAGGGGGGGGGGCGCCGGCCCUGGAACCCAUCUACAUGGGGGGGGGGGCGGCGGCCAAGGGGAAAGGGGGGUUGGCUUCCCCCCCAAGCCAAGUGGGGCGCCCCCCAUCCCUAGGGUUUCCAACCCUAGGCGCAGGGGGAGGCCCAAGGGGGGGCGCCCCAGCCCACUAAGGGCUGGUUACCUUCCCACUUCAGCCCAUGGGGCCCUCCGGGACAGGUGGCCCCACCCGGUGGACCCCCGGGACCCUUCCGGUGGUCCCGGUACAAUACCGAUAACCCCCGAAACUUUCCCGGUGGCCGAAACUGGACUUCCUAUAUAUAAUUCUUCACCUCCGGACCAUUCCGGAACUCCUCGUGACGUCCGGGAUCUCAUCCGGGACUCCGAACAACUUUUGGGUUUCCGCAUACUAAUAUCUCUAUAACCCUAGCGUCACCGAACCUUAAGUGUGUAGACCCUACGGGUUCGGGAGACAUGCAGACAUGACCGAGACGCCUCUCCGGUCAAUAACCAACAGCGGGAUCUGGAUACCCAUGUUGGCUCCCACAUGUUCCACGAUGAUCUCAUCGGAUGAACCACGAUGUCGAGGAUUCAAUCAAUCCCGUAUACAAUUCCCUUUGUCAAUCGGUAUGCUACUUGCCCGAGAUUCGAUUGUCGGUAUCCCAAUACCUUGUUCAAUCUCGUUACCGGCAAGUCUCUUUACUCGUACCGUAAUGCAUGAUCCCGUGGCUAACUCCUUAGUCACAUUGAGCUCAUUAUGAUGAUGCAUUACCGAGUGGGCCCAGAGAUACCUCUCCGUCAUACGGAGUGACAAAUCCCAGUCUCGAUCCGUGCCAACUCAACAGACACUUUCGGAGAUACCCGUAGUGUACCUUUAUAGUCACCCAGUUACGUUGUGACGUUUGGCACACCCAAAGCACUCCUACGGCAUCCGGGAGUUGCACGAUCUCAUGGUCUAAGGAAAAGAUACUUGACAUUGGAAAAGCUCUAGCAAACGAACUACGCGAUCUUUGAGCUAUGCUUAGGAUUGGGUCUUGUCCAUCACAUCAUUCUCCUAAUGAUGUGAUCCCGUUAUCAAUGACAUCCAAUGUCCAUAGUCAGGAAACCAUGACUAUCUGUUGAUCAACGAGCUAGUCAACUAGAGGCUUACUAGGGACACGUUGUGGUCUAUAUAUUCACACAUGUAUUACGAUUUCCGGAUAACACAAUUAUAGCAUGAACAACAGACAAUUAUCAUGAACAAAUAAAUAUAAUAAUAACCAUUUAUUAUUGCCUCUAGGGCAUAUUUCCAACAGUGGCGUACCGCAAAACGGAGGAAACGGACUUGUGUUGAAGCGCUACGGUCGAAACAGGGGUCCUAUUCAUCGGGAGGGGUGUGGCGUACCGCAAAACGGGACUCCACGGGAUACUGUUCAUCUCCACCAUCGACCCCCUCCAGCCUCCACGGGCUACUGUUCAUCCACCGUCGACCUCCUCCAGCCUUCACCUGCGACUGUUCAUCCACGGGCUCCUGUUCAUCCAGCCUCCACCGCGCGCUACUCCAUCGGCUACUGUUCAACCAGCUGUCUCCACGGGCUCCUGUUCAACCACCCCUCCACGGGCUACUGUUCAUCCAGCCCCCCACCAUCUAUUGUUCAUCCAGCCCUCCACUGGGUGGUCUUGUUCAUCCAGCCCUCCAUGGGGUCCUGUUCAUCCAGCCCCAACCGACUCGAUCGAUCGGGGUCCUGUUCAUCCAGAGGCAACACCACUGGGUCCUGUUCAUCCACCCCCACCGGGAACUGUUCAUCCAAACCCCCCCAGCAACACUCACUGUUCAUCCAGAGGCAGCAUCGAUCGGCUUCAGUUAGCAGCAGUAGCGAAGGAAUCGCUCGAUCUGGUUCAGUUAACAACCAUCGAUCGAUCGCUCGGGUUCAUUAACGCGUAGCCUGCAGUGCAAUCGCUCGGGUUCAAUUAGAGCCCAACGCCUCGCUCGGGUUCAGUUAGAGCCCAACGCCUCGCACCCACGCGCGUGCGCGCGCAUCGCUCGGCCCCGACCACCCACCGUAACCGGGAACACCCCGAUAUUUUCCUCGCCCUCGCUUCUACCAUGGUUUUUUCCAUCAUGGACGGCCCAAAGAAUGUCAUGCAGCUGCGUCUCCGGCCCGCCCAGGACGAAAAGCCCAUUUUCUGUCGUGAUUUUUUGUCAUAGAAGUAGGACCCCAGCACAUCUAUGAUGAUACCGGGUUUUGUCACAAUUAUCGUCAUAGAAGUGUCAUAAGUAUGACAGAAUUUUUUUUCGUUCGGCCCAAAAUGUCACGGAUGUGUCUUUUUUUUGUAGUGUUGAGUUACUUGCAAAGUGGACUGCUACGGAUCUUUGGCCAGCUUGUGAGGGUUGCGCUUGCACACAUCAAAAUGUCUGAUCAAGGAUGAAGUACCAUGAUCCUUUGUGUCGGCCUUCAAUUCACGUUUGCAAUAUUUGCAUUUACCAGCCUUCACCACAUUAUUCUUAUCCUUAAUCUUGUCGAAAUGGUCCCACGUCUUUGAUCGUGGUGCCAUCUCCCUCCUUCCCUGACCUUUGUUACUAUCCUUCUCAUUCUCCAAAUCAACGACCCCAAUGGCAGAUUGCUCUUGAGAAGUUGGUUCUAAACCACGAACUUGCUCCUUGGAAGAUGGUUGUGAACCAGAACAUUCAGCCGAUACAAUUGUGCUAAGAGUGGCCAUAUGACUAGUGCCCACUUCCUCCAUCUCUAUGUGUUGAUCAUCAUCAAGUUGAGUCAUCUAUAAGAAAAAAAAAGCAGCAACAUCACUCACUUUGGUAUAAUUGUAAACACAGAGUCACAGAUUGUGAACUCCAAAAAAUUGCACUAACAUACAAGAAGAUGUAAAUAUUUCAAGGUUUCAGUCACAUUUAAAUCUGGAACAGGUUUUCUUAACUUCAUACAACAACAAUCGUGCAACAUCAGGAUCAUUUUAACAAGCCAACAACAACAACAACAACAACAUUCGUGCAUAACAACAAUUGUGCAGACUGCAGAGUAAGCUUUUAACAACAAGUCAAAAACAGUAGAACACCAACAUCCUUCACUGCUUCAAGUUCAGACUUCAGAGGAUUAGGAACAAUGGAACAUAUGUACGAGAUAACAUAUCACUACCGCAGGAUGGUCCAAACGCGACACUACGAUCAGAGACCCUUCGACAAAACUGUGUGCGAUGCCAUAAUCGCAAACGGUCGUGUAAAAGAACCGCCAAAAAAGGUGCAAAACGUUUGCGAUGACGGAUGCAUCAAACACGGUUCAGAUUUUAGUCAUGUGUGCGAUGCAGGGCAUACAGUUCAGUUCAAUUAACUGUUUGCGUUUAAGAGGAACAAAAGAAACGGGCAGCCAGAUGAAGGUGUGUGCGAUAUACAACAUACGGUUCACUAGGAUGAACUGUGUGUGAUUAGGCAACACAAUGGAAACGGUUCAACUGAACAAGGUGUGUGUGAUACGCGGCAAACAGGUCCGUAAUUAGAAAUGUGUGUGAAGACCAACAAUAACACAGAUGAUUGCUUCUAAUAAGCCGUGUGAUUUGCUCUGUCUACAGAAGAAUAACAUGUAUAUAUAUACAUAUAUAUAUAUAUAUAUAACUGAAAUAAACAUCCAAUUACAUAAGUGACUAUACAGAUCAUUCGUACACACCUAAAUAAACAAUUGCAUUCUAAAGUAGGAGAAACGAUCGUCUAGUCAUCUACUUCUUGUGACGCUCCCGCCGCUGCUCUAUGGCUCGAUCCCUCGUCUAGGGCAGGAAGAAGAUACUUCCUCAUGUCAACGAUCAGCCUGUACAUCUUGUAGCUUGUGUACGCGUCCUUGGCCACGUACUUGACAUGUUGUUCAUCCAGUCUCUCAUGCCACACACUGUGCCAAACGUUCUUGUCCUUCUUGCUCUCAUUCUUCAUCUUCAUGUAGUAGGGGUCGAUGAUGGCCGAGGCGAGGUCAACCAGGGAGUUCAGUUUGUUUUUGUCGCUACCCCAGACCUUGUAGUGGUGCUGGAUGUUGACAAGAUUCGGGCAUUUCAAGCCCGAAACCUUGGGCGCUUUUAGAUUGUUGGUGGUGUCCACCAUAGCGAAACUUUAGUCAGAGCUGUUGAUAAACCUGGAGAAAUGCUCGCAAGGCCUUGUAGCAAGGUGUUAGUGGUAGACGAGGACGUCAUGUCACACACACAACUGGGCGACGACAACCUUCUGAUCGUGCCCGGCAUGACCGAUGGUGUAGUCGAGGUUGAAGCCGACCACUUGGUACUUGUCCUCGGUAAGGACCUGCUCCAUAGUUUGGAUGGAGCUCUCUACCGAGACCGGAUCGUUCGUGUACACCACCGAGAGGGCCUUCCCCCUCACGUGGGUGUCCACUACGCUAUGCAUGGUGAACUGCCCGCCGUUGUCGUCGUCGGCCGCUGGGAGCGCCAUUGGAGCCACGGGGAUCGCCAUUGGAACCACUGGAUGUCCUCUCUGUAUGUGUCGUCAUGGGUGUGCAUAUUGUGUCGUGUGACGCGAGAGAUGAAGGUAAAUGGCCGCACGAAUAAAUGGGGGUCGGGCGGCCUAGAUUCUCUGCGCGUCCGCAUGGCAGUUUUUGCAGCGGGUAACUGCAUUGUCGCGCCGCGCCCGGCGCAACCGCAUGCACACGAACGUGCGUGAUCGUGCGCCGGCCCCAAACACCGACAGCGCGCGUGGGGGGACGAGGGCAGAGCACCCAGAGGGACGCGAGAGCAGAGCACGUGCGGCGGGACGCGAGCAGAGCGCGCCGCGGCCGCAUGAACUGCAAGCAACCACACACAUAGAGCAGUUGAACACACAGGAAAUGGUCGCCUACAAGCCGGACGACAGUUGCGUCGCUGCGUAGAGAGCGGCCAUGUGCUACUACCCCCGUCUAGUCUAUAAUCCCCUUUAUAUUCUGUGCCAUACUUUGCCCUCAAAUUUAACCAACAAAAUGUUAAUGCAUGUUAUAAAAAUUAUAUAAUUGGAAACUAUGUUCAAAUACGAAUCCAACUAUAUAAUCUUUGGCCACAUGCAUUAAUAUUCGUAUUUUAUUAGUUAAAUCAUACUUAUAAACCAGGACGAGGGUAUAGUAGGUAAUUAAAUCGCAAAUGUUUUUUUAUUAACCGUAUGUGUACAUGGCCUUUCGUCCUCCUCUUGCACGUCUUCUCACCCCGCUGCCGCAGAUGGCUCAUAGCGCAAGCUUGCGCAGCGCGCGGGGGCGUUCUUUUGGCCAAACGGUGGCGCCAAUGAAUCAUCAGUGAGCCCGCUCCCGCGCAACCUCCCAGGUUCCCGUGCAAGCUUCCCGCCCGACUCGGUUGAGGGAGUCCUGGAUUAGGGGGUCCUCGGACAGCCGGACUAUAUUCUUUGGCCGGACUGUUGGACUAUGAAGAUACAAGAUUGAAGACUUCGACCCGUGUCCGGAUGGGACUCUCCUUGGCGUGGAAGGCAAGCUUGGCAAUACGGAUAUGUAGAUCUCCUCCCUUGUAACCGACUCUGUGUAACCCUAGCCCCCUCCGGUGUCUAUAUAAACCGGAGGGUUUAGUCCGUAGGACAAGAACAAUCAUACCAUAGGCUAGCUUCUAGGGUUUAGCCUCUACGAUCUCGUGGUAGAUCAACUCUUGUAAUACUCAUAUCAUCAAGAUCAAUCAAGCAGGAAGUAGGGUAUUACCUCCAUCGAGAGGGCUCAAACCUGAUUAAAACAUUGAGUCCCCCGCCUCCUGUUACCAUCCGCCUUAGACGCAUAGUUCGGGACCCCCUACCCGAGAUCCGCCGGUUUUGACACCGACAUUGGUGCUUUCAUUGAGAGUUCCAUUGUGCCGUCAUCAUAAGGCUGGAUGGCUCGCCUUGUUGUCAAGGACAACAUCACCUCUGGGGGAGCCCUGGCUGUAGGACAAACUCUCCGACUAGGCGGUUUCGUCAUGACCGCCUGUUCGGUCGCUGCGCCGAUGAUGACUUCCCGGGUCAUCGAAAACAGCCUCCACGUCAGCUCGGGACUCGCCGAGCAGUUGGAUCCAAUAGAGCUCUGUUCUUGAAUGAGCUCUUCGAUCGCAUCGCCGCUUUGGGAGUCGCUACAGACUAUGAUCAGAUCGGGCUUAAACCCGACCAAAGGGAGAUUAACUCCCCGCCGGUCACCCAUCAGAUAGCGGUGGUGGAGGAGCAAUGCGGCGAUUCUUCCUCUAUCUUGAGGACAAACUAUGUCCGGAUCCCCGAGCUCUCUGAGCCGGAUACCCGUCUACGGGAGGACAUCGCCCAAACCCUGAACCUAGAAUCAGGCAGCGGGCCAGACCUAUUGGGCAACAUCCCGGAGCCCGAACUUCCAAGAUCGGAAACUCCUCCGCCCCUGGGUCUCAGAUCGGGUCAAGGUUCAGACUUAAAUCCACCCACCCACCCAGAUAUAAACGAUCUUUCCCACAUUAGACAAGAGCCCCAGGAGACAGUACAUCACUAUUGGGCCAGAUUCCUCCUUGUAAUGAGCAAGGUCAAGGACUGUCGCGAGGAAGACGCAAUUUCAUUCUUUUGCAAUAAUUGCACGGACAAGGGAAUCCUCAACGCCAUAAGUCGCCGUGACAUAGCACACUUCGCUGAAUUGGCAGCCAUAGUACAGAAGUACUAUGCGAUGGAAAGCGCCUGGAAAACCCAAACAAAAUUUUGGGAUAAUCCGGCUCUGACAAAACCCCCAGUCCGAACUAAAAGGGUGCACUCUCGUAAGUCGCCCGACCCAAUUACAAAGAAGCAAAAGCCCACUAUAGGGCAUGGAACCGUAUUGGAGGGAUGGCUUAAUGGGCCAUGCAAAAUUCACAGUACAGCGGAUACCAUACCAACACACAGCCUUAGAGCAUGUUGGUUACUCCGGCAGGUGGCCAAGAGCGGUGAGGAUCUCCUCAUUAACAAUACCGCGGAGCACCAUCCCGUGGAUAACAAUAAUACAAUAUUGACAGUCUUUGAGACCUUCGCCUCAAAUAAUAGGCGUAAGCGGGCACUCCACAGCCUUGCCGAAGUCUGCCACGUGGCAGCAAUAAAUCCAUGGAGCGAUACGACUAUCACCUUCAAUGCAAGUGAUGAACCUAAAUUCCAAACAGCCCGAGCACCAGCCGCCUUGGUCCUUAGUCCAAUUGUGGACGACUUCCGGCUUACUAAAGUACUCAUGGACGGCGGCAGCGGAUUAAACCUCAUCUAUGAGGAGACUUCAAAAAAUGGAAAUAGACAGAAGUCGCAUUAAGCAAAGCAGCACGACCUUCAGAGGAAUCAUCCCUGGUCGGGAGGCACGAUGUGCUGGGAAAAUCACACUAGAUGUGGUAUUCAGCACGCCGGAGAAUUACAGGUCCGAAGAAAUCACAUUCCAAGUGGCCCCGUUCAAUAGCGAAUACCACGCCCUUCUAGGGCGGGAGGCAUUCACGAUCUUCCAAGCAAUACCCCAUUACGAGUACAUGAAGCUCAAAAUGCCCGGGCCCAAUGGAAUCAUCACUCUAGCUAGUGAUCCGGACACAGCACUCCGCGCCGAAAACAAAACAGCCGCACUGGCCCUCGAGGCGUUAUCCGAAGCCCUCGCGGCCGAGGAAUUAAUUGCGCUGUGCUCCAUAGUGGACAGGGACGACGUGAUACUCGACAAAAGAUCCAAGUCCACCUCUUUUAAACCAGCGGAUGAAAUAGUCAAAUUCCAAGUCCACCCAACGGACCCUACAAAAACAGCAUCCAUCGGGGCACAGUUAAACCCUGCUGUAGACGCCGCACUACGGGAGUUCCUGCGCGAGAAUUGGGACAUAUUCGCCUGGCAUCCUUCAGACAUGCCAGGAAUCCCACGCAGGCUGGCCGAGCAUAGCCUUAACAUCCUAAAGGGAUUCAAGCCGGUCAAGCAGACUCUUCGGCGUUUCUCCGAACCUAAGCGACAAGCCAUGGGAGAGGAGCUAGCCAAGUUACUGGAGGCCGGAUUCAUUAGAGAAAUAAAACACCUGGACUGGCUAGCAAACCUGGUGAUGGUAACAAAGAAGGAUAAAUCCUGGCGCCUAUGCGUCGAUUUCAAGGACCUCAACAAGGCUUGCCCCAAGGAUCCCUUCCCCCUCCCCUGCAUCGAUCAAAUUAUCGACGCUACCGCAGGACACGACUCAUUGUGUUUCCUCGACGCAUACUCCGGAUACCAUCAAAUCAAGAUGGCGGAGUCCGACCAAGCCGCAACGGCAUUUAUCACCCCAUACGGCCCCUUCUGUUUUAACACCAUGCCUUUCGGGCUUAAGAACGCCGGUGCAACGUAUCAACGCAUGAUUCAGACAUGCCUGGAAAAACAUAUCGGCAAAAUAGUGGAGGCAUACGUAGAUGAUGUGGUCGUUAAAACCAGACACGUCGAAUCCUUAAUAGACGACUUGAGGCUCACGUUCGACAAUCUUCGAACAUACGACAUCAAGCUCGAUCCGGAAAAAUGCGUUUUCGGCGUGCCCGCUAGAAAGCUCCUGGGCUUCAUCGUCUCCAGUAGAGGAACCGAAGCAAAUCCGGCUAAAAUCCAAGCUCUGUCACAGUUGGCUGUCCCAACAGACCUCAAGCAAAUUCAGAAACUAACUGGAUGCGUGGCGGCCUUAAGCCGGUUUAUCUCCCGAUCAGGAGAAAAGGCACUACCCCUUUAUCACCUUCUUCGGCGCACCGAACACUUUGAGUGGACGGAUGCGGCCACGGCCGGAUUGGAAGAAAUAAAAGCCAUCCUGGCCACCAACCCAAUCUUGGUCGCGCCAAAUGUCGGCGAACCAAUGCUGUUAUAUAUAGCGGCAACUCACCAAGUUGUAAGCGCAGUGCUCGUCGUCGAACGAGAGACGGACGGACAUAAAUUCCCACUUCAAAAGCCGGUAUACUAUGUAUCCACUGUCCUCACUCCAUGCAAAUCACGGUACCCACAUUAUCAAAAGAUAGCAUACGCAGUAUUCAUGGCAUCCCAGAAAUUACAACACUACUUUCAAGAGUGUUCAAUUACGGUGGCCUCAGAAGUACCACUCAACGACAUAAUAAACAACCGCGAUGCCACGGGCCGGAUUGCUAAAUGGGCUAUUGAGCUCCUCCCGUUCGACAUAACAUAUAAACCACGGCGAGCCAUUAAGUCGCAAGUACUGGCCGAUUUUGUCGCCGAAUGGACAGAAGCCGAACUCCCUAAAGAAUAUGGUGCGUACUCCAAUUGGAUCAUGCACUUCGACGGCUCUAAAAUGCUGGCAGGUCUGGGGGCUGGUGUCGUCCUGACAUCCCCCACCAGAGAUACAGUCCAAUACGUACUCCAAAUACUAUACACAGACUCCAACAAUGCGGCAGAAUAUGAGGCCCUGUUACACGGUCUCCGGAUGGCAGUCUCCAUGGGCAUUCAACGCUUGGAGGUGCGUGGGUACUCGAACCUCGCAAUAUCUCAGAUAAAUGGAGACUUUGACGCCAAGGAUGCAAAAAUGGCGGCUUACUGCAACGCCGUCCUCAAAAUGUCAGCUCGGUUCGAGGGGCUCGAAUUCCACCAUGUGGUCCGAGAAAACAAUCAAGCGGCAGACAUCCUCGCCCGCAUCGGCGCUAAGCGCGACCCUGUCGCACCCAAUAUCUUCUUGGAAAGGCUGUUUAAGCCAUCCGUGGUAUGGGAAGGAGAGACCGGCAACAACAGUCCGGACUUGGCCACAACACCAGAUACCGAACACUCUGACGUAAUCGGAGGCUCCGCCACCGAAAUAACACCUUCCGCCCACGUAAUUAUGGUUGUCAUCGCCCCGUGGACAGAACCCUUCCUGGCCUACCUAACUAGGCAGGAACUAUCGGAGGACCCAAACGAGGCACGUUGCAUUGUUCGGCGGUCUAAAGCCUACAAGGUCCACGAGGGAGAGCUUUAUAAGAAAAGCGCUACCGGAGUCCUUCAAAGGUGCAUCUCCGAAGUGGAAGGGCGGAAACUUUUGGCAAAAAUUCAUGCUGGACUUGGCGGCCACCACGCCGCAGCUCGGGCCCUUGUAAGCAAGGACUUUCGUACAGGUUUUUACUGGCUGACGGCCCGAGCAGACGCACAGGACCUUGUCCAACGUUGCGUCGGUUGCCAGCUUUUUGCAAACCAAAGCCAUAUGCCGCCUACCGCUCUCCAAACAAUCCCCAUUACUUGGCCCUUUGCGGUCUGGGGGCUUGAUAUGGUCGGACCCCUCAAAGGGGAAGCCAUAAGAAAAAAAUACUUAUUGGUCAUGGUGGAUAAAUUCACCAAAUGGAUAGAAGCCAAACCAGUUAAAACGGCCGAAUCCGGACCAGUGAUAGACUUCAUAUCUGGGGUUGUACACCGUUAUGGCGUCCCCCACAGCAUCAUCACCGAUAACGGCUCGAACUUUACAGACGAUGAGGUAAAACUUUGGUGCAGCAACAUGGGCAUCAAGCUCGAUUAUGCUUCUGUCUAUCACCCGCAAACUAACGGUCAAGUCGAGCGAGCAAAUGGUCUUAUCAUGAAUGGCAUUAAACCUAGAUUAGUGCGGUCCUUAAAGGAAUCAAACACGCACUGGGUAGAGGAGCUCGACUCCGUACUAUGGGGGCUGCGGACCACGCCGAAUCGCACUACCGGAUACACACCGUUUUUUAUGGUGUACGGCACAGAGGCGGUACUGCCCUGCGACAUAAUUCAUGACUCACCUCGAGUGCGCAUGUAUGAAGAGAAAGAACCCGAGCUUGAUCGGUAGGACAGUUUGGACGUCCUGGAGGAGGAGUGUGACGUGGCAAAAGCCCGUUCCGCAUUCUAUCAGCAACAGGCUCGAAGGUAUCAAAGCAGAGAAGUACGGGCCAAAACCUACAACGUUGGCGAACUCGUUCUACGCCUACCGGAGAAGAAAAAGAACAAGCUCAAGACCAAAUGGGAAGGUCCCUUCAUUAUUGACCAAGUUCUGACCGGUGGAGCGUACCGUCUGCGGGAUGCAUCGGACAAUCGACUCGAGCCAAACCCAUGGAACGCAACCAGACUCCGAAGGUUCUACGCCUAGUGCCGGACUCUAUGUUCGUCUCCUUACCUCCGUCAAUUUUUUAAAUAUCUGUUAUCUGUCUUUUAUCUCUUUCUUUUUUCCUUUUCUUCAAGGCCUUAAAAGGCUAAAUUGUGUCUUGACUACACAAUCUUGACGCGCUAACCGCGCUCAUUAUACCUGGGGGCUUCUUAUACAGAAGCUUAAUAUAACUAUAUUCCGGGCUCUAUGCCCCCCACAUGUGUUAUUCUUCCACAUGUUCCUUUUUUCGCCAUUAUAUGCAUCGAUAUGACUUAAGUUUUGGCCAAGCUGGGUUGCCUGGCUCUUGUGUUUAUGCCCUACGUUCUCGUUAAUUCGGCUAGGGCAUAAGGGGAGCACCUCUGCGAUUGUUACUGCCGGGUCAGCCGGAUGUGUACCUCAGACUGGGUGAAGCCGAAAGCUAGCGUUCUUAAGGGAAUACUCGGUCGGUGAACAAAAUACGACUUUUAUUUAUUUUAAUACAUGCCCCCAGAUGUUUAUAGCCCGCGUCUCUUUUCGCAGUUCGGACAUGCACAUUAGGGCAUGCGUACCCAGGGAAAGGAACCCUUAACGGAACUAUUCUCCCUGGAAGAUGUUUCUUACUAUCCAUGUAAUAUAACAUAGCUAGUUGGGUACUUGUCUGUUCAAGCACUUAUGACCCCUAUGCCUGGUUUCCACGCGUACCCCGGUUUUUACAUAACUGAGCGGGUAUUCGGAUACACUCCGGACUAUCGGGUCCAGAGGUCGAAGUGAAAAGGUCCGCCAUGACAAAUGAUUUACAAUCCGGCUAGGGACAAUAUAUGUCACUUGAAGUACACAGUCACUUAGACUGACUAAAUUCUUCUUCUAUACCAUCCAACAGGCUGUCUAGCCUACAAUCCCGUUGGGAAUACUGACUAAAUUCUUCUUCUAUACCAUCCAACAUUCUACUUGGUCAUACACCAAACUGACAGGGAUCUCCUUCCCAUCAGGCCCCACAAGUCCGACCUCGGCCAUGUGGUUAGGGUCAGCCUUGGUAUACCGCAUCUUCACCAUGGCCCAGGCUUCCCUCGCACCUUGUCGGCAGGCUGAUAUCUUCCAUAAUCGGAAGUGCCGCCGCACUCCCUUGAGCUUCUCUACAAGCUCCCCCAUGCCUCCUGGCAGGGAGACGGAUGGCCACAAAGCUUGGGCAAUGACCUGCAUCGCCUGCCAAACUUGUUCGUGCAGUUGUGAGAGCUCUGGCAGAAGAUCACCCGCAGACCCGGGCAUCUCCUCCUCGGGACGACCCGUCAGCAUACCUGCAGAUAUAAAUCUGUUAGACGGUUUCUUCGCCGAACUCUUUAAAAGUUCAUUCAAGCACUUACUGAAAAUGCUGCAUCGAAGCCUCUUAUUCUCCUUUACGGAGUCAGCAAGCUGGGCCCGAACAUCCUUCAGUUCCACGCCCAGCUGGAUAUUGGCAUCUUGGAGAUUGUUUUUCUCCUGCCUAACCUUUUUAAGCACGCGCUCACCAGCCUUUAGCUGUCGUUGGGCAUGCGGCCCAUUCCCUAUCUCAACCUCCGGAUUCACUCCGGAAUCAUCUGCAGAAUUUAUUGUUAGAUUUGCAUGCAUGUCACAUACUAUCUGGUACCUGUCAAUCUUUGCAACAGAGACAAGUGUUACCAGAGGGGGCCUUCUCGGACUCCUUCAGCGCGGCAACCGCGACCCGUAGCUGGGCUUUGCACUCUUCCAGCUCUUGAGACAAUUGGGUAUUCUUCUCUGUAAGAAGCUGCACAAAUAAUGAUCCUUAAAUCAGUUGUGUCAACUGUUUCAAGUCUCAGGGGCUACUGAUAUAUAUAAUUAUCAGAUUUUCUUACCCGUAUAUCCUUUACAUACUGGUCCGUGGCUCUGGCAAGACCAUUUUGAUCAGCACGGAUGUACGCGUCUCCUGAGUUGAAGGCAUCAAACGCCUCUUGGGAGAAACAAGCGUCACGGAGUACGGCCCGGCGACGCAUGUGAUUCAUAGCGCUCUCCACUUCGGAAUUUGUAGCGGAUAGCCUAUCCGCAUCCUCUGUAGGAGGAACAUCCGGUGUUCGCCCCAUGUUAGCUUCCGCCUCUAUGUUCGACCCUGGAGCCCGACUGGUGGAGGCGUGAUCGGCAACCUCUCCGGAUAUAAUCCGGCGAGCGCUUUUCCUACUAGGAAACAUGGACGUUAUUAUAUUUUAAAAGACGACAGCCAUGGAGCGAGGUUCUGUAUCAUACCUCUGCAACGGCGUCUCAGUCCUGACCGCCUUCCUUUUUAGCCUACCCGGCUUCAGUGCCCCUUGUUGGCGAGUCAUUGCGGGUUCGGCAUGGUGUCCCGAGGGCCUUCCCUGUAAGACACCAUAUGUGACGGUAGGUGAAGUGCAGAAAAGGGGAUCCUUCGCGGAAGUUGGGACUCCGAUUUUACUUACAUGCGAUGCAGGGAGUAGUCCAGGAUAGUCGGCUAUGAUGGCCACCAUGGCAUCAUCGCAGCUCAAUUGAUAGAAUGUUGUCGAUCAGCUCCACAAAUAUGUCCCAAUCCUCUUCGAGUCUGGGAUCGAGGGCCCGGUCAGGGUCCUCCGGUUGUGGAGGUGGGCUGUGGACCUCCCUUACAGCUUUUUGCAGUUCCUGCCAUGAAACGGCAAGGUAAAUACUUAUGACGAAGAAUGCGGGAAGGUUGGGAGUAAAAAGUGACAGCUCACCCAGCUUGGAGGGUUGUACAUGGAGAAUCCAUCCCGUGGCUUAAUGCGGAUGAACUCCUCUUCCUCUCCCUUGUACAAAUCGGACAGGAUUUUUGCUAGAGCAGCGACUGAGUCUGGUCCCUUACGACCGCAGCGGGUGGCAUCAUCUUCUCCGUUAAAGUGCUACAUGGGAUGCCCCCGAUAUUGAAGUGGUUGUACCCCCCGCAUUAUACAUAUUGACAUAACCUCGAUUCUUGUCAGUCCUGAUUGAGCCAACAUUUUUAUCCGGCCCAUCGGGUAAAGGACUUCUCCGUUAUCUUCCUCCUGGGGGCUCCGGGGGCGCCAGCUGCGGCGUUUCUUCAGGGGAGCAUUGUCGAACUCAGGAAGGCCCAUCCGAAUAGGGUCCGGAAGGGGGAUGUCCUCCAUAUAAAACUACUCCGAAGGCCAGUCCUCGGAUGUCUUCUUCGGAGUACCGGACAGGUAUCCGGUCCCGGUGAUGCGCCAUAUUUUGGCUCCGCCCACUUGGUAUAUUGACCCCUCCUGUGUAUGGGGUACGAGGCAGAAUAGCCUCUUCCAUAGCUCGAAAUGAGCUUCACAGCCCAGAAACAGCUCGCAAAGGGCGACAUAACCAGCAAUGUGUAAUAUGGAGGCAGGAGUGAAAUUAUGCAGCUGGAGGCCAUAGAACUCCAGGUGCCCGCGGAGGAACGGAUGAAUUGGAAAUCCAAGCCCUCUUAAUAAGUAAGGGACAAGGCAUACCCGCUCCCCCAUGGAUGGGCUGGGAAAGAUCUCCGCUUGCUCCCCGCCGUUAUAGGUGGCGAGCCCCGCUUGAACGGGGACCAUAUACUCUGGAGGGAGAAAUCCCUGGGUCUGUAACUCUACUAAUUGGCUGUGGGGGACGGAACACUUCUUCCAAUUGCCGGGCUUAGGGCUACGGGAGCGAGAGGAGGAGCUGCGGUGACCGGCCAUGUUGGAAUGGAUUUUUUCCGGGCGCGCUCCGAUGGAUACUCGAUGUGGAGGAUGGUGUGAUCUGGAUAUGAGAAUUCCCGUCUCUUUAAUAGGAGAUUUACCCACAGGGCUAGGGUGGCAGAUGUAAAAAUGCCCCGACUUCCCGCAUUCGCUCGACGCGUGGAGGAUAUCCAUUAUUUGGCGUGGAAGCCAAGGAGCGCAACAUUUAUGGAAGCCGGACACUACUCAAACAAGUAUUCAGAAUUUGGAGAAGAACUCGCCUUGCAAUGCCGAAGACAAUCUGCGUGCCGGAUUCCAUUGAAGCCUGGUUCGGGGGCUACUGAGGGAGUCCUGGAUUAGGGGGUCCUCGGACAGCCGGACUAUAUCCUUUGGCCGGACUGUUGGACUAUGAAGAUACAAGAUUGAAGACUUCGACCCGUGUCCGGAUGGGACUCUCCUUGGAGUGGAAGGCAAGCUUGGCAAUACGGAUAUGUAGAUCUCCUCCCUUGUAACCGACUCUGUGUAAUCCUAGCCCCCUCCGGUGUCUAUAUAAACCGGAGGGUUUAGUCCGUAGGACAAGAACAAUCAUACCAUAGGCUUGCUUCUAGGGUUUAGCCUCUACGAUCUCGUGGUAGAUCAACUCUUGUAAUACUCAUAUCAUCAAGAUCAAUCAAGCAGGAAGUAGGGUAUUACCUCCAUCGAGAGGGCCCGAACCUGGGUAAACAUUGUGUCCCCUGCCUCCUGUUACCAUCCGCCUUAGACGCACAGUUCGGGACCCCCUACCCGAGAUCCGCCGGUUUUGACACCGACAUCAGUGAAAUCCCCCAAAAUCCCGCACAUGCGUCAGCGACCUUGCGCGCUACACCGAGUUCCUGUGGGAGGAGGAGGAGCGCCUCGUCGAGCACGCAGAGAGCCUUACUGCCGCCGUGGCCACGGCACACGCCGCCUCAUAGGCGAGGAAUCAGGAGAUCUACAAGGAGAACCACCGCUUCGAGAGGGGUCAUCUGGAGCGGCAGAGGGCGUUCGAGGUGAGUGUCGCUGAAGCUCCGUAUUCCAGUUGUCCAGCUCGUCGGUAGGCUCCUCCUCCUCUACCUCUUACCGAGCGCGCUCGGCCGAGGAGAGGCAGCCGGAAGUAGUACAAAGCUCCUCCUCCUCCUCCGUAGUAUUUAGGGGCUAUUUUGUUCAGUUCAUCUGACUACAGAUGUGGUGGAACUGUACAACGUACUUAAAAUUAGCUAGUAUAUAUAGUUGAACUAGCUAUUUCAGUACGUGGUUGGAAAUAAUUGGGGAAAAGUUUGGUCGGUUCAGCUGUCGAGUUGAACUGUUUGUAUAAAUUAAGAACGACUGCUUAAUCUAUGCUUAAUUACAGAAUUUUAGUUGCAAAAAUUAGAUACUGCUAGUGAUUUUUAGCUUCAUAUUUUGACAAAUCACAGUGUUACAAGGUCGACAAAUGGCAAUGUUACUAGAUCAACAAAUGUCAAUCUUUCUAGUUUGAAAAAUGGCAACAUACCCAAUAUGACAGAUGCAAAUCUUACCAAAUUGUUUGUAAGUGGUUGCACACGGGUCAUCCAAAAAAAUCGUUUGCAUUGAAGAGAUGCACAAAUCCUUCUCUCACUUUGCAUACGGUAUUCUAUCUAAAACGUUUGCGAUCAAGAGCCAGAAAAAUCCUGUUCGGCACAUUUUCCCUUGGCUUCCUCGGAAAGCUCCCGGUUUGCAUACGGGUGUUCUAACUAAAACGUUUGCGAUGAGUGUUUUAUAUUUAAAAACCAUUGACAUUUUUUCAAAAUAAAAUCAUUUGAUAAGUUUGUACAUUAAGAGAGAAAAACGCAAGUUCGCUCAAACCAUAUCUUUCAUUCAGUCAUACUACAAUUUAUAUUCAUAUGAUCGAGAUACAGUAUUAAACCCAAGAAAAAAACUAUUUCUGGUGACGGCGAAGGUGGUGUGCCGCACCGUCGUUGUCGUUGUCGUCCUCCGGGACGCCGUUGUUGAAGUCCUCAAUGCAGCACAUAAUGUUCUUCACUUGUAAAUAAAACAUCAUGUCGUCCCGGGAUCGACGGGCGGGGCACGGGAGGACGGCAGCUGGCGACACUGAGAGGUAGCGUUCGACAGCGGCGUCCCAUGCCGCUGAGGGGGGCGCGCGCACGGAGAUGAAGGCGGGCGGCCAUGGAAGUCAAAGGGCUCGCUUCCCAGUGAGCCUGCACAGCGUACACCUCGCACGCUUCCCGGUGAGCCUACGCAUUUGAGGACAGUCUGCACGCCUCUCGGUCAGCCUGCUCACCGGACUGCGCUCGCACGCCUCCUGUUUAGUCAAGGUCAAGCAGCUGUCCGCACGGCACCUCGUAUAGCCAUUAAAACCAAGACACGUGACGUCACAUGAAUGGUUAACAGAACGCACACGGUUUGAAUUAUACGAACAUUUGAGAUAUUAAAAUGGCAGCUAUUUUUUCAAAAUGCCUUUGUUGGCUGUCAUUAUUCGAGUGCGCCUUCUCUCAAAAUGGACACGAAAAAUAACACAGCAUGUCGGGUGCCAUUCCAUGAUAGCUUGCCAAGUUUCAUGAAUUUCACACGAGUUCUGGAUUUACUAUAAUUUAAAAAUAAAGUAUCUCAACAUUUUGCCGGCAAUCAACGGUGCUCUGGUGUUUGAAAUUCAUUCCCAUUUCUUGCAUGGGACCUAAGCAUGCACCCAAGGACACAUAUUUGAUUUUUCAACCAAUUUAUAUGCACUGGAGCAUGUGCAUGUAGUUCAAAUUUGAAUUAUGCACAUAAAUGCAUUGAAAACUCAGUUAAUGCAUAAAAAUGUCCAAACGAACCCCGAAAAAUCACAAAAAUUGACACAACACUCCUGUUGUUCUAUGUUGACACGAGAAUUUUUUUGAAAGCAAUAAGAGGCAAUGGACAUCGUUUCGUCCCCAAAGGUGGGACGUUCCCUACCGAAACCAUCAUGCUUGUUGUGAGAAGCUCUGGUUUGUGAGAAGCAUAUACCCAAACCUGCCCCAAAUGGGACAAAAAAUUUACCACGGCAUGUUGAUGCCGCUCCAUGAUAGCAUGCCAAGUUCCAUGAAUUUCAGACGAGUUUUGGAUUUACUAGAAUUUAAAAACCAGGUAUCUCAAUGUUUGUGGCCGAGUGACGGUGGCAGGAUGCUUGACAUUCAUUCCCAUUUCUUGCAUGGGACAUAAGCAUGCAACCAAGAGCACAUAUUUGAAUUUUCAACCAAUUUAUAUGCAUUAGAGCAUGUGCAUGUAGUUCAAAUUUGAAUUAUGCACAUGAAUGCAUUGAAAACUCAGUUAAUGCAUAAAAAUGUCCAAACGAACCCGAAAAAUCACAAAAAUUGACACAACACUCCUAUUGUUCUAUGUUGACACGAGAAAUUUUUUGAAAGCAAUAAGAGGCAAUGGAUAUCGUUUCGUCCCGAAAUGUGCGACAUUCCCUAUCGAAACCAUCAUGCUUUUUGUGAGAACUCUGGUUUGUGAGAAGCAUAUACCCAAACCUGCCCCAAAUGGGACAAAAAUUUACCACGGCAUGUUAAUGCCAUUCCAUGAUAGCAUGCCAAGUUUCAUGAAUUUCAGACGAGUUUUGGAUUUAAUAGAAUUUAAAAACAAGGUAUCUCAAUGUUUGCGGCCGAGUGACAGUGGUAGGGUGUUUGACAUCCAUUCCCAUUUCUUGCAUGGGACCUAAGGAUGCAACCAAGGACACAUAUCUGAAUUUUCAACCAAUUUAUAUGCAUUAGAGCAUGUGCAUGUAGUUCAAAUUUGAAUUAUGCACAUAAAUGCAUUGAAAACUCAAUUAAUGAAAAAAAUGUCCAAAUGAACCCCAAAAAAUCCCAAAAAUUGACACAACACUCCUGUUGUUCUAUGUUGACACUAGGAAAAAAAUUGAAAUCGAGAAGAGGCAAUGGAUAUCGUUUCGUCCAGAAAGGUCAAACGUUCCCUACCGAAACCAUUAGGCUUGUUAUGAGAAGCUUUGGUUUGUGACAAGCAUAUCCCCAAACCUGCCCCAAAUGGGACAAAAAAAUUACCACGGCAUGUUGAUGCCACUCCAUGACAGCAUGCCAAGUUUCAUGAAUUUCAGACGAGCUUUGGAUUUACUAGAAUUUAAAAAACUAGGUAUCUCAAUGUUUGCGGCCGAGUGACGGUGGCAGGGUGUUUGACAUUCAUUCCCAUUUCUUGCAUGGAACCUAAGCAGGCAACCAAGGACACAUAUUUGAAUUUUCAACUAAUUUAUAUGCAUUAGAGGAUGUGUCUGUAGUUCAAAUUUGAAUUAUGCACAUGAAUGCAUAGAAAACUGAGUUAAUGUAUAAAAAUGUCCAAGCGAACCCCGAAAAAUCCCAAAAAUUGACACAACACUCCUGUUGUUCUAUGUUGACACUAAGAAAAAAAAUUGAAAUCGAGAAAAGGCAACGGAUAUCGUUUCAUCCAGAAAGGUAAAACGUUCUCUACCGAAACCAUCACACUUGUUGUGAGAAGCUCUGGUUUAUGAGAAGCUUAUACCCAAACCUGCCCCAAAUGGGACAAAAAAUUUACCACGGCAUGUUGAUGCCGCUCCAUGAUAGCAUGCCAAGUUUCAUGAAUUUCGGACGAAUUUUGGAUUUACUAGAAUUACAAAAGCAAGUACGUCGAUGUUUGCCGGAGAGCCACGAUGCCAUGGUGUUCGAAUUUCAUCCCCAUUUCUUGCAUGGGACAUAAGCAUAAACCCAUGGACACAUAUAUGAUUUUACAACCCAUGUUGGUGCACCGAAGCAUGUGCAUGUAGUUUAAUUUUGAAUUGUGCACCUGAAAUGGCUAGAAAAUCAAUUUAAUGUAUAAAAUGUUUAAACGAACCCUGAAUAAUUCCAAUUCUUUUACGACACACAUAUAGUUGCAUGUUCACUGUAGAUAAAAGGUCUAGCAAUUCAAACACCGUCCAUUGCCGCUGUGACCCCAUUAUAUAAUUCAAAUCAAGAUGAAAAAUCAAGUAGAUCGCACACAGUUUAUUAUCGCCAACCGUGUGAGAUGCAGCACAAAAUAACCUGGAGCAUCGUCGGUGUAUAGUACGCCUAUGGCUUACGCGAGAAGGUGCGUCGGCUACAGUUCACAGCCGGCGUCUCAAGCACACUAGCUCGCUCCCCAAAUAUCAUUUCACUGUUCAAUCGUCGCCGGUGAAAGAUGGGCACGUGGAUCCACAUCAUGACGGCAACUUUGGUGGCCCGCUCCGGCGAGAGCGCGGCCGCGGCCGCCAUGCGCAUGCUAACAAGGUGCAUGAGCGCGGCCGCAAUCUGCGACCGGGCAGCCAAGGCAGCCCAAACGACCGCUGUUGCUUCUCAGGUGGCAGCAGCAACAUCUGCCUCAGGGAUAGCAACUGGCGAGAGCGGCACAGUGAUAACCCACAAGUAUAGGGGAUCGCAACAGUUUUCGAGGGUAGAGUAUUCAACCCAAAUUUAUAGAUUCGACACAAGGGGAGCCAAAGAAUAUUUGAAGGUAUUAGCAGCCGAGUUGUCAAUUCAACCACACCUGGAGAUUAAUUAUCUGCAGCAAAGUGAUCAGUAGCAAAGUUGUUUGAUAGUUUUGAUAAUAGUGACAGCAGCAACGGUAACAGUAACAGUGAUAGCAGUAUUUUUGUAACAAGUGUAACAAUGAUGAUAGCAGUAGUAACAUAGCAAGAUCAAUAUAAAUAAAUUCGUAGGCAUUGGAUCGGUGACUUGUUGGAUGAUAUUCAUCAUGUGACAGUUAUAACCUAGGGCGAUACGGCACUAGAUCCAGUUCAUCGAUAUAAUGUAGGCAUGUAUUCCGUAAAUAGUCAUACGUGCUUUAUUAAAAGAACUUGCAUGACAUCUUUUGUCCUACCCUCCCGUGGCAGCGGGGUCCAUAUUGGAAACUAAGGGAUAUUAAGGCCUCAUUUUAAUAUAGAAUCAGAACAAAGCAUUAACACAUAGUGAAUACAUGAACUCCUCAAACUACGGUCAUCACCGGGAGUGGGCCCGGUUGUUCUCACUCCGGGGUUGCCGGAUCAUAACACGUAGUAGUGACUAUAACUUGCAAGAUCGGAUCUAAAACAUGGAUAUAAUGAUGAAUUCAUAAACGGUUCAGAUCUGAGUUCAUGGCACCCGGGCCCAAAGUGACAAGCAUUAAGCAUAGCAAAGUCAUAACAACAUCAAUCUAAGAACAUAGUGGAUACUAGGGAUCGGGCCCUAACAAAACUAACUCGAUUACAUGAUGAAUCCCAUCCAACUCCUCACCGACCAGCGAGCGUACGAAGGAAUUACUCACUCCCGGUGGGGAGCAUCAUGGAAUUGGCGAUGGAGAUUGGUUGGUGAUGACGAAGAACGAAGAUCCCCCUCUCCGGAGCCCCAAACGGACUCCAGAUCUGCUCUCCUGAGGAAGAACGGGGCUUGGCGGCGGCUCCGUCUCGUGGAUCGCGAUAAUUCUUUCUCCCUGAUUUUUUUUCCGGAAUAAUGUGAAUUUAUAGUAUCAGGGGGUCGUCAGCGGGGCCACCAGGUGGGUACAACCCACCUGGGCGCGCCAGGAGAGGGGGUGCGCCCUAGUGGGUUGUGCCCAACCAGGGGCCCCUCUUUGGUGGGUCUUGGCUCCAAAAAUUCUUAUUAUUGAUAUAAAAAAUCCUCGCAAAGUUUCGUUCCAUUAUCAAAACUUUUAUUUCUGCACAAAAACAACACCAUGGUAGUUCUGCUGAAAACAUCGUCAGUCCGGGGUUAGUUUCAUUCAAAUCAUGCAAAUUAGAGUCCAAAACACGAGGAAAAGCGCGAGAAAAAGUAGAUACGUUGGAGACAUAUCAACUCCCCCAAGCUUAAACCUUUGCUUGUCCUCAAGCAAUUCAGUUGAUAAACUGAAAGUGAGAAAGAAAAACUUUUACGAAUUCUUUUGCUCUUGAUUGCAUAAAUAAGCUUAAACAGCACCCAGGUUUUCAGCCAACAUUAUUACUAACCAUGUCAACAAUAACAUUUAAAGAUUAUAAUGAUUCAUAUCAAUGACAUAAUCAGCUAGCAAGCAAUAAUAAGAUAUCUCAAAUAGCAACACAUUGUCAAAACAACCAUGAUAUAAUACGACAAUAAUGGUAUCUCGCUAGCCCUUUCUGAGACCGCAAAACAUAAAUGCAGAGCACCUCUGAAGUUCAAGCAGCGACUAAACAUUGUUUCAUGGUAGAAAAGAUCCAAUCAUGAUGCACCCAACAUUAGCUAUACACAAUGCAUAAAUCAUGACAGCUGUGCUCUACUCAGUUUCUGGCGUUUGUUUUUAGAAGGUGAUGACACAACAUAAAAGUAAAUAGAAAGUCCCUUCGCAUAGGGAAGCAGUGAUUUGCAGAGGUGCCAGAGCUCAAUUUUUGAAACAGAGAUAAAUGAUAUUUUGAGACAUGCACCCUUCUCAUUCACUUCACGACUAUCAGUUAUCAACAUCUUCCAUGCUAAGCACGCUAGUGGCGGUUCCCAGGCGAUAAAAGUAAAGGUUUUGACUCCAUUGGGAGUUUUUGUUUGAUUAACCAGAGAUGAACUCUUUUUCAUGUUUGUAGUUUGGGACUGGGCAUCCCUAUUUCCUCGUGCGAUGACGAGUGAAUAAACACUCGACCUGAGGAUAACCCGCUUAGCAUGGAAGAUAUCAACCACCUCCUGUCGUUCCAUGAACGAUCCAGGCACACAAAACGGAUAAUUCUUUUAGAAGUUUUUAGAGGUGGCACAUGCAAAUUUACUUAGGACGACAGGGUAAUACCGUAUAUAGGUAGGUAUGGUGGACUCAUCUGGAAUAACUUUGGGUUCAAGGUUUUUGAUGUACAAGCAGAAUUCCCACUUAGUACAGGCGAAGGCUAGCAAUUAAGAUUGAGAAGCGGCCAGCUAGAGAGCAACAACGAUCAUGACCAGGCAUUAUGCAUAAGUAACAUUGGACACUAGCAUGAGUAGGAUAUAAACACCAUGAACAUAAAUAUUAUAGAGGCUAUGUUGGUUUUGAUUCAACUACAUGCAUGAACAUGUACCAAGUCAAGCCACUCGAAAAUUCAGAGGAGGAUACCAUAUCAUCAUACUACAUCACAACCACUUUAACGCUAUGUUGAUAUCCAAAAUAAAUCAUUAUCCACUCCCAGCUACUUAUGCAUGGCAUGAGAAACUAUAAUAUCUAAUUUUCAUUGCAAACAUGUUUAAUCAUAAUGGGCUAAAGCCUGGAUACUAGGUUAAACAUAUUUACACAAACAAAACAAGUCGAGUUCAUACCAGUUUCUCUUUUCCACGGCCAGCUCAUCGAAUAUCGUCAUUAUUGCCUUUCACUUGCACGACCGAAUGAUAUGAAAAUAAUAACAGUGCAAGAGUGCCGUGGAGUAAGCUGGAAUCUGCAAAACAUUUUAUUCAACAGAAGACAAGGUAAAAUGUGCUCUUUAUUAGUUCAACAGUUAUUCAUAUGAGAGGCACUCAACAUUUUCAUCGUGGUCUUCUCCUCGGUAAGACUCGAAUAAAAGGAAAAGAAAUUCAGAGAAACACACUGAAAUAUUUUUUUGAAGUUUUUGGUUUUCUUCAACAAGCAAAUAAAAGGGGAAGCAAAAACGAGAAAAACUAUUUACACGGGAAAGCUCCCAACAAGCAGAAGAAGAACUGGGAAAUAUUUUUGGAUUUUAUUUUUAGUGCUACUACUAAGCAUGCAUAGAAAGUAAAUUACUACAACUAAUUUUUUUGGUUUUUCUAAAGUUUUUCAAACACACAAGAAGAAAGCAAGAAAAAUAAAUCUAAGCAUGGAUGAUACAAUGAAAAAGUGUGAACACUGACAAAUAGAAUGAAAAGUGGACAUGAAUAUAAUGUCGCUGAGAAACACGUAGUCCCCCAAGCUUAGGCUUUUGGCCUAAGUUGGUAAUCGAUCAGUAGCCUGGAGGGUGGUAGUUGGCGUGGUAGCUCAUAGAGGCUCUUGGUGCAGAUGCCUCAGCACGCUGUGCUGCCACCACUGCUGCGUUAUGAGCUUAGGCCUCGCUCUCAAGAACAAAAUAUCUUCCCUUGCAGUGAUAAUCAAAGAGAGCAGGUGCAGGAAAAUACGUGUCCACAACAUGUGAUUGGUUAAACAACAAAUUAUAAGUGAAGUUAUCAUCCCUUCCUGUGAGAAUCUUAUGCUCUUUUAAAGCAUCAAAAUCUAAAUACUGAGUGGGUAGGAUAGGAUCAAAGGGCAAAGGUGAAACACCCAGCCCUCGUGCUAGACGGGUGGCAUAAAUCCCACCAUAGAACCAGCCACUCUUGGCGUUAUGCUGAAGUCCAUGUGCAAGAAUCGCUCCAAGGUUAUAAUUCCUUUCACCAGUGAGAGCGGUGUGAAUGAGGCUCAAGGCUGGAGCACAAAGUAUGCUACAGUCUUGCUUGCCUACUAUGCAUUUCCUGUUAAAUAAUGCAAGGUACUGAAUUGCGGGAAAGUGAAUGCUCUUUAUUCUUCCUUGUCUCACUCCCCUAUUUUCACCAUAACAAAGGCUAGUCAAGAAAGGCUCAUACUCAGCCUUUGCUGGCUCAUCAAGCGAACCCCAAAAUGGAAGUUUGCAAUGGUAAGCAAAGUUCUCUAGUGGAAUAGUAAAUGGAUUAUCACAAAGCAUAAACGACACCCUAGACUCACGAGGAAAAUAUUUAAAUCCUUUGACAAAUGAUUCAGUGAGAAGAUGGCGCUGUUCACACUUAUCUGAGAGGUAGGGACCGAGACCGGCAUUGUGAACAUAUUGCUCAAAUUCCUCUUUGAUGCCCACUUGCAUCAUAUACUCAUCGCAAGGCCAUAAGCAAGUUUUGGUGGCGGCAUCUCGCGUGGAACUUUCACUUGGUUCAACGUAAGACCGGUGAGCAGAGCUAUCACUAGAGGAUGCCCCUGAGGAUCGUCUCCUCGAAGAACUCCUUCCAAACAGGUUCAUCAUGUCCGCGUACCAUUUUUCCUAUGAACAAAAAUCUGAAUUUUUAGUUCACAAAAUUUUCUCAACAAAACCUUACAAAACUAAUAGCAACUACUCAUAGGGAUACAUAGAGGCCAUAGCAAGCAUUUAAACUACUUAGAACACUAAGAAUUGAACAUGCAAGCACAUCUACAGCAGCACAAAGAGUAGCUAUUUAUUCAAAGUAUAAACCACUAAAACAAAAACUAAUUGGACAAAUGAUGGACAUACCAAGUAACAAUCCCCCGAAACAGUUUCGGAAACGGAGCUUCGAGCAAAGAGAUCGAAAUCCGCGGGUUUGAGCUCAAGAACACGGGAGAGAGAGCAAUGGGGAUUUUUUUUCUGGAGGUGAGUGAUGAUGUGGGCUAAAGAGAUAAGUGAGGAGGCCCACGUGGGGACCACAACCCACCAGGGCGCGCCUGCGGGUGCUGGCGUGCCCUGGUGGGUUGUGCCCACCUGGUGCACCCCCCUCUGGUAUUAUUUGCACCAAAAAUUCUUAAAUAUUCAGAAAAAAUCAUAUAAAAUUUUCAGGGCAUUCUAAGCACUUUUAUUUUGGGGUCAUUUUUUUAUUGCACGGGAAAUUCAGAAAACAGACAAAACAUGGCAUUUUAUUUUAUUUAACUAAUAAAAACAGAGAAUAAAAAGUAGGGACAGAAAGUAGUGCUUACUAAAUUCAUCAAACUUCAUACCGCUCGAAAAUGAUUCAUUAAUAAGGUUGAUCAGGUCUUAUUAACAACCACUUCCGAUUGGCAUGAAACUGAAGAACUUUCGUAAAUCACUAAGUUACCAGCUACCUCUUGAGCAUGCGUUGGUUUUCCCUUGAAGAGGAAAGGGUGUUGCAACAAAGUAGCGUAAGUAUUUCCCUCAGUUUUUGCAAACCAAGGUAUAAAUCCAGUAGGAGGCCACACGCAAGUCCCUUGUACCUACACAAACAAAUAAGAACCUUUCAACCAAUGCGAUAAAGGGGUUGUCAAUCCCUUCAUGGCCACUUGCAAAAGUGAGACCUGAUAGAGAUGAUAAGAUAAUAUUUUUGGUAUUUUUAUGAUAAAGAUUGAAAGUAAAGAUUGCAAAAUAAACGGCGACAGAAAUAGCUAGUUGACGGGAGAUUAAUAUGAUGGAAAAUAGACCCGGGGGCCAUAGGUUUCAUUAGUGGCUUCUCUCAAGAUAACAUAAGUAUUACGGUGGGCGAAAAAAUUACUGUUGAGCAAUUUAUAGAAUAGUGCAUAGUUAUGAGAAUAUCUAGGCAUGAUCAUGUAUAUAGGGAUCACGUCUGCGACAAGUAGACCGAAAUGAUUCUGCAUCUACUACUAUUACUCCACACAUCGACCGCUAUCCAGCAUGCAUCUAGAUUAUUAAGUUCAUAACAGAGUAACGCAUUAGGCAAGAUGACAUGAAGUAGAGGGAUAAACUCAAGCAAUAUGAUAUAAACCCCAUCUUUUUAUCCUCGAUGGCAACAAUACAAUACGUGUCAUUUCCCCUUCUGUCACUGGGAUCGAGCACCACAUGAUUGAACCCAAAGCUAAGCACUUCUCCCAUUGCAAGAAAGAUCAAUCUAGUAGGCCAAACCAAACUGAUAAUUCGAAGAGACUUGCAAAGAUAUCAAAUCAUACAUAAAAUAAUUCAGAGGAGAUUCAAAUAUUGUUCAUAGAUAAUCUUGAUCAUAAACCCACAAUUCACCGGAUCUCGACAAACACACCGCAAAAAGAGUUACAUCGAAUAGAUCUCCAAGAAGAUCGAUGAGAACUUUGUAUUGAGAUCCAAAGAGAGAGAAGAAGCCAUCUAGCUAAUAACUAUGGACCCGAAGGUCUGAGGUAAACUACUCACACAUCAUCGGAGAGGCUAUAGUGUUGAUGUGGAAGCCCUCCGUGAUCGAUUCCCCCUCCGGUGGAGUGCCGGAAAAGGCCCCAAGAUGGUAUCUCACGGGUACAGAAGGUUGCGGCGGUGGAAAUAGGGUUUCGAGGUGCUCCUCGAUGUUUUUGGGGUACACUACAAAAAAAUACACUUCUGUGAUGAUACGUGUUUGUCACAGUAGGUCACGUUUUCUGUCAUGCAUGUACAUCCAUGACAAAUUUAUGACAGAAUCAAUAUAGUCAUACCUGUGCUAUCGUAGAAGUGUUCCAUGACAUUACCAAAAUUAUCAUCACGGAAGUGUCCACUUCCAUGACGAUAAAUCGCGCGUCACAGAAGUGCUUUCGUCAAGGGUGACCGACACGUGGCAUCCACCGUAACGGAAUGCCAUUAAGCUAUCGGGUCCGGUUUUGGAUCGGAUAACCCGUUAACAGCCCCGACCAAUGGGGAUUUUCCACGUGUAAAAUCAUCAUUGGCUGGAGGAAACACCUGCCGGCUCACUGUUGGGACACAUGUCAUCCAUUCAUUGGACCCAAAGCGCCUAUGAUACGUCGACACAUGGCACGGCCCAACAGAGGCCCAUUCCUGUGAAAAGGCCGGCCCGUUUGACUUGGUCAAAAGGUGGCGGGCCGGCCCACGGCAAGCCUAUUAACGGCUUGUUCACAUAUAGCCCAUUUACAGCCCGCUAACCCAGGGCCCGUUUAUGGCCUAUCCGAAUUAGGCCCAGUAGCGUCAUCUGGGCCGUCUAAUAUAAUUCCAGCCCAUUUUAACUUCCGGCCCAUGUAUGGCCCAUGACGUCUUUUGGCCCAUAUGAGGCCCUUAGUAACCUUCGGCCCAUUAACGGCCCGUGGUAAAACUGGCCCGUAAUGAACAGUGUAUCACUUUAUACCCAUUAACGGCCCAUUAUUUCGUUGGGCCGUUUCCAGCCCAUAUUAUCUUUCGACCUUCUCACGGCCCAUUUAUUCUUGGGCUCAUUUCCAGCAUUUGUUUACUUUCGGCCCGUUACUGUCAUUUUCUGCUUGUGGGCCAAAUACAGCCCAUGGUUACAGUCGGCCCGUUUGUGGCCCGUUAAUACGUUGGGCCAUUUUCAUAGCGUCAUCAAAUACGGCCGAUUAACGACGGCCCGUUAUGGUCGGCCCAUGAACGGAUGAUUUCAACUCUAGCCCAUUUACGGCCAUAAUGUGGUCUGUUAUUGGACCAUGUUUGGCCAACCGAUCAUAUGACCCGUAGAAGGCCCAUUGAUGAUACGGCCCGUAGAAGUCCCAUUGUGUCUAUGCCCCAUAGAAGGCCCAUUGUUUCUAUGGUCCUUAGAAGGCCCAUUGUUUCUACGGCCCGUAGGAGGCCCAUGUUAACUACAGCAAAUAUGUAGCCCAUUGUUAAUGUGGCCUAGUUUUAAAAAAUAGGUUAUUGCGGCCACUAGCAAACCGCGGAAAAAGAACUGCACUGAGUACAAGAAAACAAAUAAACAAGACAAUAAAGAAAUAAAUAAGCAAGCAACUUACGCUAGGCUAUCACGGCUAUUACACAUAUUACAUCCACUGGGCAUCAAAGUUCACCACAAGUGCAAAUAUAGGGAACACAACAGCAUAUAAACGCCGCAGCAAAACAAGUCCAGAACUGAAACCACUUCAGAAGAGCUCAAGAAACAAUAUCCUGGGUACCCAUAAUGCUGGCAAGAUGCUUAGCAAGCUUAUUAACUUUCUCUUGUUUGGCGCUUAAAUCCUCGAGCACUUGCUGUUGCACCAAAAAGUAUGCAUCUGAAUUCUGCAGGGACUUCCUUAGUCCUUCGGUUUCCUGUCGCAUAACAUCUGAUCGAUGUCUUUCAACUUGAAGUUGAGACUCAAGAAGCCGAACUGAUUCAGGCAGCGAGUUCGAAGAGCUGGUGCCAGCAGUAGUAGCCAGUAACUCGAACACUACAUCAAGACAGGACUUUGGGGUUGUCUCAGUGUCUUCAAUAUAGUUUUUAUCAGCUUUUUUGGAGAACAACAGGGAUGUCUCACUAUCUUGAACCUUAUCUGCAUUACUUCCUUUACCAUUGCAUAACGGGGUACUCUUCUCCAAUAUUUUAUCCGCGUUCUAAAAGAGAAACAAACAAACACAUCACAGGUUUACAAUGUAGUAUAUGAAACUCAUUUUGGUAAACCAGUUCAGUAGUAAGGUGGACAGGAUAACAGCAUGAAACAAACAUAUAUCUAUGUAGUAUGGUCACUGUAUGGUCUAUAUCAUUCUAGUUUAUGUUGCCAAAUCAAGAUAGAUACAGUUCGAAUCAUAUCUAUUUAAGACAAAGCAGCAUAGACAGAAUAUAAGUGUGGGAAACUACACAGCAAUAACAACACUUGUAAUGUGCAUGGCAUGAGAACAUAACUGUUUAUUCAAUUGAAACUGAAAUCAACAUAGAGCAAGUUACAACAGCAAACACGUUAAAGAAACAGGUUUAAAACAUACCUGUUGCGCCAUUGGAGUUUCAAUUGCAUCCUUCAAAUUUGAAAUUAGUUGGUAUGAGUAAAUACAGUGAUGCAAGAGCAAAGUAGUAUGAACCAUAGCUACGGAACCUGACCUGAGAACAAUUCUUCUUCUGCUUUAAGCGUUGACUUGGGCUUCGGAGUGGUGGUCCUCGUGCUUUGGGCACUGCAGUUGCCUUACUAACUGGUCGUGUUUGGGUGCUCUGUGGUGGAGACGAUGCUGUGUCAACGGGAACUGGGUUACUAUCUGCUGGGGUUGGGGUUAGAAGGGGUGUAGAUGGUUCUCUGUCCAACUGGGUAGGGGUACAAUCUGCGUGAGUCUGAGUUAUGUGUGGUGGGGCUGGUUCUUGGGCAAGUACAACCGUGGUGCUAUCUCCAUCGACAGGUAGCACGAUCUUUUCUAAAGACCGUGUUUUUACUCCCACAUAUACUACCAUCACCCCUCCAAUUGAAAUGGCUGAUAAACAAGAAAAGUAAUUGAAUGUACAAACAUUGUAUGAUAGACAAGUGCAAUGGAUAGUAGGGAAGAAAACAGGGCAUGAAAUAAUUCACAUUUAUGUUGUCUAACCAAACAGAAUAGCAGGACAUAAUUUGAAAUAUAUGAUGGCUAAUUAAACAGGAUAGCAUGACACAAUUUCACAUGUAUGAUGGCUAACUAAACAGGAUAGAAUGACAUACUUCAAAAUAUGAUGACUAUGUAAACAGGAUGACAUGAUAUAACUAUACGAUGUGUCUAUUAAAGUGGUUGGCAUGCCAUAAAUCACAAACAUGCCGUCGAUGGAAACAUGAUGGCAUGAUAUAAUUCAUGGAUAGAAUGACAUAAUUCAAAAUAUGAUGACUAUGUAAACAGGAUGAGAUUAUAUAACUAUAUUAUGUCUUUAGAAAAUGGGUUGGUAUGCCAUAAUUCAGAUACAUGUUGUCUAUGUAAACAUCAUGGCAUGAUAUAAUUCAAAUAUAUGAUUUAUAUACUAAGGAAGUGAGCAGAGGGCAAUCGCAUAUAUGAUGUGGCAACUAAGGAGAUGGCAUUCAAUAUCGUGUAUAUGAUGUAAAAACUAAGCAUUGCAAUACAACAUAUGCAUGAUAUGAGUAAUAUGACCCUGCCAAGUUUGAGCAUAGACCUCAGGGGGAUAAUAGAACUGGUCAUCUGCCUAUGAAUCCUCCUCUGAAAAGCUAUCUGUAACCAGCAACAUAUCUGCUUCAGCAGGUAGCAUUGUCUGCUCUGAAGACCUCGUUUUCACUCCAGAUUUCUCCAUCACCAAUUCAAAUGGCUGAUGCACAGGAAGAGCAGUUGAAUAUACAAACAUUGUCGACAAAAGCAAUGAGAAAUACAAAAAAAGGACGGCAUGAUAUAAUUCACAUAUAUGACGCUUGGCUAAACAACAUGGCAUUGCAUAAUUCACAUAUAUAAUGCCUUGCAACAAGAUAGCAUUGCAUAAUUCACAUAUAUAAUGUCUUGCAACAAGAUGGAAUUGCAUAAUUCACAUAUAUGGUAAUUAGACACUAAACAGGUGGCAUUCACACAAAUCAUGUCUAAACUAAGCAAAUGACAUAGCAAUGCAAGAUACCAUACGCACGAUAUGAGCAACAUAACCCUGCCAAGUUAGAGCAUGCACCUGGGGGGGGGGGGGAAUAGGACUGGUCAUCUGUCUCUGAAUCCUCCUCUAAGGAGCUAUCUGUAACCAGAAAUACAUGUGCUUCGUCAGAUAGCAUUGUCUGCUCUGAAGACCUUGUUUCCACUCUAGAUUUUUCCAUGACCGUGCCGAAUGGCCGAUGCACAGGAAGAUUAAUUGAAUGUACUAAAAUUGUUGACAAAUUUAACACGCAAUAAAAAUAUGAUGUCAUGAUAUAAUUCACAUAUAAGAUGACUGGCUAACUAGGGUGGCAUUGCAAAAUUCACAUAUAUGAUGCCUGGCUAAACAAGAUGGCAUUGCAUGAUUCACAUAUACGAUAAAGAAACUAAACAGAUGGCAUUGACACAAAGCAUGUCUAAACUGAGCAGAUGACAUCUUUGAUGUAUACAGUAAGCAAUGCAAGGCACCAUAUGCAUGAUAUUACCAACAUCAGCAUGCCAAGUUAGAGCGAAGACCUCAUGGGGUAAAUAGGAGUGGUCUUCUGCUUCUGAAUCCCCCUCAGAACAGUUAUCUUCCUCUUGAUUACGAUCCGAAAUGGGUGGAGGGGGGCUGCCUUUGCGCCCACCAUGGAGUGACGUCUGCAUGAAAUUUUAUUGCCACGCAAGGCUCGUCUCUUUUGCUCUACAUGUUCAGUUCCAUUGUGUACAAUAAGUGACAUGCAUAGGAAUAAAACAUAGUGAGAUUAUGUAAGGAGUGCAUGCACAAAUCCAGAGUGAAGGUAGCAAACUGUGGAUAGACCCAAAACCAAUGAUAGCAGGCAGAUAAUAGCUUUAGUUAAAAAAUACAGAUAAUGGCUCCUUUAAUGUUUGUUUGCACCCAACAUGAAACUCAUAGUAGAAACCGAGAUUAACCAGAUAGUAGACAGAUAGUACUGAUUGCUGCCCCAAUAUGUACCCCGCAACCAUUUAAAAACUCAAGUUUCAGCAUAAGUUUGGACCUGAGUCGGAGUCUAAUAGGUGAACACGACGAUAAAGUAGCAUGUCAUCAUAUUAAGCGAUGCAUAACGUGAGCAGACACGGAAGAGUGCGACCUGUCUUGCGGACCCGUGUAGUCCUCAAGGUCAUCUGCUCAGUUGAUGAUGGUAAUGCAGUUGUCGUGGAUGCCGGCGGCGGGGAAGAAGAUCUGAGGCGGCGAAAGACAGUUUGGAGAGCGGAUCCCUGCUAUGGUGAACCCUUCCAUCGUUGGAGCAGCUAAGCUGGGGUGGAACACAGCACCGCAGGAGCUGGACAAACCACACAAGGUUUUCUUUGACACAUAUCUGUAACAGAAGUAAUUGUGUAAGGGCUUGUUUGAAUUUGAGGAUUCUAACAAAGCAGGGAUAGGAAAUAGACAGGAAUUGGAUAGGAAUGCACGUGCAAACCAGAGAGUUUAAAAACACAGGAUUUCUGCCAAUCUGGGUGUUUGGUUCACAAGAAUUGGAAGAUCACAGGAUGCAAAGAAGCAUGGUGAGAUUAAGUCAAACCACAAGAAGUGUACAACCUCUUUCGCGAAGCCAUGUCGAUCUUAGCGUGAUUGGGUUGGCCGGUGAGGAUGCUCCAGCUGACUUGGCUGUCGGAGGAGGGGAAGAAGAUCUUAGGCGUCUGGAGAUGGAGCCCGAGGUACUGCUUCGCUGUGAUGGAGGGUUUCGUCGUUGGAGCAGCUCCGGUGAGUUGUACAACGCCGAGGCUCAAGCAGGACAAGAGAGACAACGUUAACCUGAGUGGAAUUCUAAUAGCAUCUCCAAUAGAUGACAUAAAAUACAUAACCACAAAGUGCUAGAUGCAUACAUCAGCCGCUCAUCUCUGAACUUAACUGUCGAAACUGAAUUUAACUGUCGAAACUGAACUUAACCGUCGAAACUGAAUUUUGCUGUCGAAACUGAAUUUUACUAUCGAAACUAAACGCACUAGAGGUGAGGCUACACGUCAGUCGACUGACUUUUUCAUCUCUGGUCAGUCGAUUUUGCAGCCGUUGGAUAUGAAAUCAAGGGCCUGCAGUUCAUCUUCAACCUCCACCCCCUGAGCCGUCAGCCACCACUGGCCAAACAGCCGCCCCCCGCCCGCCCCGAAAACACUCCCCACCGCCGGUCCGCCGCCGCCCCGGCCAUCCCUCUAGCCCCCCCAUGCCGAGCUUUUUCUCCCGCGAUCCCCGCGCCACUGCCCUCACCCUGAACCCUAAGAUAGGUAGUGGGGUACCUCUCCGGUGAGCCCCCCUCCCCGCUGCGGCUGGUUCUUCCUUAACUCUAGGGAGCCCCCACCCCCUGAAAAUCGACUGACCCAAAAGUCGAUUCAGUCGACUGAAGUGUAGCUAAAUCGGAGCAGCAUCGCAAGCAAGAGCAAGAGCGAGAGCAGCAACGCGAGCAAGAGCAGACCAGGCAGGGGACCGAGAGCAAGAGAAGAGCAGCAGUGCGAGCGAGAGCUAAAGCAGCAGCAGCUGCUACUGAUGUGGACGUCACCGCCGAGGGAGCGACGUCGUGGAGGAAGUGGCCGGCGACGCCGCCAUGGAUGGAGACGCGCCGCGUCGGCUCGGGACCGAGCGCCGGCAGCACCGUGAGAUCGAAUCAAGAAGAAAAUGCGGCGAUUAGUGUACAACCUCUUUGGUGGCGCCGAUUAGGCCGCAGCUUCAUCCGAGGAAACGGUGAUGAUGAUGCUCUUCCGGUGGUGCAGGUGAAGACGACGGUGUGGGAAUGGAGGUGGCGCGAAAGACGAGGGGAACAUCGGGGCAGCUCCUUGGAGGUGGGGGAUGGGGUAUCUGAACCGGCGGGACGACCAGAUCGACGACGGAUCCUCAUCCGGUACGGUGGAUGAGGGACGUCGAGGUAUUGCUGUGGACGACGUCGUCGGGGAAGAGGCUCCGGCUGGGUGGCGGAUGGAGGAUGGUGUGGGGCUUCGCAGGUUUUCCCGGCCUCGGUGUACGAAUGGGUGGGCGGAUGGGAUGGGAGUGGGAACCAUGGCUUAGGGACGCGCUUGUUCGAAAUGUGGGGUAAGUUACAAAAGUACCCCCACCGAUUUGAGGCGGUUCUUUCGGUUCAGGGGUAUCACGGGCAUUUCAUGUGUCGGGAUUUCACAGGAGGUGGGAGUUUCGCGCACGUUGUAAUUUUGGAAUAGCAAGGCGCGGGUUGAGAUGGAGGGAGUUGUUGGAGCACAACGAGACAAAGAUAUAUCUUAAAUAUUUCGGGCUAACAAGGCGCGGGUUGAAAUUUCCGGACAAGCCUAACGUGUACUGUACCAAAUCAAUUCGCACUACAGAUGUCAUUCAAAGCUUUGAAUUCAUGUUAUGUUCAAUUAAAAUAUUUCUCUACGUGUAUAAUGCAUGCAACCUAGUACUCAAAUGAACGUUUUAGUGCAUUCCAAAUGUAUAUACUACCGCUUCAAUAUGAACUAAAUUUGAAUUCGUUUCUCUAUUUGAAUAAGAUCUACAAUAAUGAUUGUUGUGAAGUCAAAGCAUUUGAAUUCGUUUCUCUGUUUUAAUAAGAUCUACAAUCGUCAUUAUUGUCAAGUUAAACCAUCGUUUCUGUAUUAUCUUCAUAGCACAACACAUGAUUAGUCUCGAGUUACAUAUGAACUAUGUGUACUAUACGAACUCGAACUCGAUUUUUUGAAUCCACUUUAUGUUGAUUUCAAAUCAUAGUACAUUUCAAGCUAUAGCUAGAUCUUCACAAACUAAACCAGGUCUCAUAUGUAUAAUGUGUUUAUCACAUUAUGUAUGGUGCCCCACCCCCUACGCCUACAAGUAUUUAGAUGUGAGUUGCAAACACCACACAUUACCACAAAUUCAAAUAAAAUGUGAGAAUGUUCAAUAUAUAGUAUUGUUUAGAUUGUUCGGUAUUUAUUUGUAAGCUGCAAACGCCACACAUUAUCACAAAUUCAAAUAAAAUGUGAGAUUGUUCGAUGUAUAGUAUGGUUUAGAUUGUUCGACAUUUAGCUGUGAGUUGCAAACGCCAUGCAUUAUCACAUUAUGGUAUAACAUGUGCAAAACCACAACACGCGUAUCACCGCUAUAUUCAUGCAUGCAUAUGUUUAAAACACUAUGAUCUCCUAUUAAAAUAUAUGAAUCUGCUUUCAUAUCAAAUUAUGAUCUUUGUUAGUCUCUUACACCCACACAAUCCUCUAACCUUUGUAGCUACCACUAACUUUCUCUCGUGCAUGCACACGCCCUCCUCGCCCUCCCCCUCCCUCAGCAUUCUAUCCAUCGCGCACAUUCAUUUUUUUCAUUAGGUCGUUCUCCCACAGUCUCCACAACUCCUUUCCGACACACACCGAUCGAUAAACCUCUCCAGCGAUGUCUGCCUACAACAUACACACACACCUUCAAUCUCCUCCUUUAUGUGUCCUUGCCUCAUGUCUCCCAUACGGUCCCACACAUGUGUAAACUCUCGCCCCUCUUUUCAUCGAUCUCACAACCGCACACUCCUCCCCCUAUCUAGCUAGUAGCUGGGCCUCUCGCACCACCUCCUAGAUCCAUUCUCUCUGUCUAUCCGUCUCGCCGGGCCUUAUUUGCCUCUAAAAAAUGGACGUACACCGACCGAUCUCCCGCUAUACAUAUGGCUAGCUAGGUCCUUAUAACUCGUUUUCCCCCAUGCGUCGAUCGAUGUACCUCAUUAGUUAUGUCUCUCCCUUCCUCCGACAAACAACAAUUGAUCUACCGAUCUAGUUAGGUUUGCUUACCAAACACAUGGUUCCCCUUCAUCAUCCAUGGAUGUGUCCCGACAGAUCUAUCACGCACAGGCACACAGAGAAACACAUCCCCACUCUUAUUGAUAAUAUUGCAGUUCCACCCUCAGUUUUUCUAGUAGGCCUCUCCCACCAUCUUCGAGAAGCAACUCCAUCACCCAUCCAGCACUCUACCCUCUCCCUCCUUCUCUCUCUCCUCUCUCUCUCUCUGUCCCAUCCUAUUUCCCGUCCUUCAGUUAUGUAUGGAUGUCGACCGAUCUCCCUCAAGACAUAGCUGGGUCUCUCCUUCUCAACACAUAUACGAGUCAUUCUACCUCUAUAGUUAGGCCUCUGCCUACCCCUCCCCCACCCCCUCCCACACACACACCGAUACAUCGAGCGCUCUAGUCAUGUCUCCCUGCCACACACAAACUUGACCUGUGCCCUCUGACGUUCCAGUAGCUAGGUCAGCCGCCCUAUAUCUUUGACUUGCACACACACACAAUUUCGAUGGCUCUCUUCAUCGAUCUCGCACCCANNNNNNNNNNUUCCACCCUCAGUUUGUCUAGUAGGCCUCUCCCACCAUCUUCGAGAAGCAACUCCAUCACCCAUCCAUCACUCUACCCCUCUCCCUCCCUCUCCCUCCCUCUCUCUCUCCUCUCUCUCUCUCUGUCCCAUCAUAUUUCCCGUCCUUCAGUUAUGUAUGGAUGUCGACCGAUCUCCCUCAAGACAUAGCUGGGUCUCUCCUUCUCAACACAUAUACGAGUCAUUCUACCUCUAUAGUUAGGCCUCUGCCUACCCCCCCACCCCCUCCCCCCCCACACACACCGAUUCAUCGAGCGCUCUAGUCAUGUCNNNNNNNNNNNNNNNNNNNNNNNNNNNNNNNNNNNNNNNNNNNNNNNNNNNNNNNNNNNNNNNNNNNNNNNNNNNNNNNNNNNNNNNNNNNNNNNNNNNNNNNNNNNNNNNNNNNNNNNNNNNNNNNNNNNNNNNNNNNNNNNNNNNNNNNNNNNNNNNNCAGUCGCCCUAUAUCUUUGACUUGCACACACACACAAUUUCGAUGGCUCUCUUCAUCGAUCUCGCACCCACCCACUUGAUCCUCUCUUCGACUCUAUCGAUAUCUAUGACCCCUCCCUCUCUUCUCGUGGAUCGCCCGACCCUCUAUAUAUGAUAUGGAUAGGCCUCCAUUUCACACACAUUGCAUGCAAAAUUUUGUUUGAGAUGUCAUCGACACAUAUUCCCACCAAUACAUUCAUGAAAUCAACCUCCCCCCAAAACAAAAAACACUCACGAACGCACAAGCCAUUUGUCUAGUUUUGUAUCUCUCACGCACACCCACGUAGGUGGGGGACGUGCACGAAGAGAAGAGGUGCACGCACGGCGCACGUACUCCCGUCUCUUUCCCAACCACACCCGCGCGGGUACACGGUGGAGCUCAUUUCUGUACGAAAAGGCAGCCCACGUGGUAACUUGACACGUGUACUGGUUGUCCGCUAGAUGGAGGGAGGAUCGUCUACCAUGGGUGAACAAACAAAUUGCGACUUGACGCGUUAUGUUAAAAAAGAGGCAAACCAUGUGGGGCCUACCUUAGAGGCAAGGCUCUAUACACUGGAGUACUUUUGAUGUGUCCCGUCAACUCGCAGAACGAGGAGAAGCUUGCUUAGUACACCGUCUCCCCCGCCCACAGGCGCGGUGGCUCGCAGGAUGAGGUGAAGCUUGCUUACUAAUGAGUACGUACGCCCUACGGCCGCUCCCUCGCCCACGCGCGCGGUGGCUCGCAGGACGAGGAGAAAAUUUUACUAGUACUCCCUCUAUUUACUCCUCGUCCCUACCUUGGUUAGAGAGAUUAUCAUAUUGUUUGGAAUAUAUGUCCUUUAGUAGAUUUCAAUAUGAACUACUAGUACAUACUCCAAACACUAAUGUAUAUAGACGUAUUUCAGAGUGUAGAUUCACUCAUUUUUCUCCGUAUGUAGUCCAUAUUGAAACGGACGUAAUAGUACACACUCUCCCUUGCCCCUCGACCCUCGCCACGUGGUGGACGUGCAGCAAUUCAUUCGGUCUCAUAUAGCCAGAACGAUAUAUACUGCAGUACCAUUAUUGCUCGACUUCCCGAAGAGGCGAAGAGCCAAUCGCAAGGUUAAUAGUUUGGAGAUGCCAAGCGCAAGGUUUAUAGGAGAACGAGUAGUAGGUGCCGCGUCAUUUAUAAAUAAAGUUUUUUUUCUUCAGUGGCACGUACGCAAUAUAAAUAGGUUCAUAUGCAGAGAAAAAGAAACCGCUCCACUAUGUACAUAGGCAGGACGAGCCUACACGGUUGCUUGCUGGGGUUGCUCUCUUCAGUUUUCACACUCUCUCGCACAAAACCACUGUGGCCACAUCUCUAACAUCCCGGCGGAUCACGUCUGCCGGGGGAAGGGGUGGAUGCUUAGUGUAGAUGCGGUCGCCAUCACCGACGGCGAAAACCCAUUGUCGGCACGUCCCGAUCAGGGGUCCUCGCCAUUCUCUCUCACAAAGCCGGUGAGGUUGCCUUCGUCCAUUGCUCACUGCCGCGACGUGGGUAGUUGCCUCCUCCCGCCGCCCUCCUCUAGGUUGAGCUACGUCCUGACAUCCCUCAGGUACAACUCCCUUUACAGCCGGCUUGCACCACUGCUCCAGCUGCCCACAUCACUCCAUGUGGAUAUUUCUCUACUUCUUUGCCCCGCACAUACCUCUACUGGCUUCUACGUACUGUAUUUGUGAUGAGUUUAUGUCUCAUCAACUAGUCCCAGUAAUCUUAUUCUAAUCACGCUUCCUCAAUUUCUUUGCCACAGGGAUGCUCAUCUCGAUUUUGGUGAAACUGCACAAAAUGAUCCGAUGGUCAAAGGGUUGCAAACUUCAUUUCUUAGGAAGCUCCGACGUUGCCAGCAAAUUAAAGCCUGGUUAGGGUUUACGGUUCAAGGGCUAGGGACUGCAUGGAUCAUUUUUUUCUUUAGCUGUCUCUGUUUCAAUGGCUAGGGACUGCAUGAGUAGUAGUAGUACUGUACGCCUUACGCCCGCUCCCUCGCCCAUGCACGCAGUGGCUCGCAGGACGAGGAGAAAAUUUUACUACUCCCUCCGUUUACUCCUCGUCCCUACUACCUUGGUUAGAGAGAUUAUCAUAUUGUUUGGAAUAUAUAUGUCCUUUAGUAGAUUUCAAUAUGAACUACUAGUACAUACUCCAAACACUGAUGUAUAUAGACGUAUUUUAGAGUGUAGAUUCACUCAUUUUGCUCCGUAUGUAGCAUAAAGUUGAGACACUUAUUUUGGAACAGAGGGAGUACAUAUUUGCUAUGAUCUGUCAAUCAUUGAGAUGCAAUAGCAUGCAUGUUAGUCUCCUUUGUAUUUGAUGAAAUGUUGCAACGGGCAACCUUGGACGCAAGAUACAUGUAACAGAAGCUGCAAGCUUCUUAGCAUUGUACUAUCUCGCUGAUAAAUUACAGUGCGUACUAUACAAGUACUUCCUCCGUUCCUAAAUAUAAGUGUUUGUAGAGAUUUCACCAUGAACCACAUACAGAUGUAUAUAGAUGCAUUUUAAGUGUAGAUUCAUUCAUUUUGUUCCGUAUGUAGUCCACCUAGUGGAAUCUCUACAAAGACUUAUAUUUAGGAACGGAGGGAGUACUAUGUAGAGAGUUAGGUGUCGCACGGUGUCCAGAAAAUAUGGUAAUAGUGUGAGGUGGGCCAUGUAAUCACUGAGCCUGCGUGUUUUCACUGCUCUUGCACUCCUCCGCCGUAAGAAUGGAGAAAAUUGUAAUCUAGUAGUACCUCCUUUCGCCGAAAGCGUGGGACAUCCAGCAGUCCUACCACCUCAGUAAUAAUGACCAAUGAGCCAUCAAAUCACAUAGACCAAGCAGUAAGUUGGACGGACAAAGCAACCAUCACUCUUGAAUCCGCUUCUCCCUUCAACGCAGGCGCCAGUGAGAGGUCGUGUCCGCUCUGCCCGGGCAUGAAUGCGGCACCGAUUCUUUGGAGCGGCGCUGACCGUUUCGGGCGGGAAGCGCGCGCGGGCGAUGGAGGGGCUUUGGGUGGGCCAGGCUGGUCAGGAGCAGGCGUGGCAGCUGUCCGCCUGUCCCUACCGGACGCGCGGAAAUGAGAGGAUGCACCGACUCUCGCAUCUAAAAUCAUACACUACACACCAUCUCUCUGUAGGAGUAGGUCGAUCUGUCGCUCUCUCUAACACACACAUGCUGUUAAACACACACACGCACAUGCACACGCACACACAUGUUCAUAGAAUAGGAAAAUCGUGCGAGUGCGAAGCCACAGGAAGUGAGAUACAAAUGGAGUACGUACAAGAAGAGAAGAGGUGACGAAUAUUCCAUCAAACCUAGGUGUUAACUCAUCCUACGGAAAUCAGAUAUUCCCAAAAUGUUUAGGCAUCGUCCAUUAACUUCGCAUCUCAAUCCCUUCCUGGCCUCGUUGCUAGCGAGCAUUUUUACUUAGGGAGCGUUUGGAUCCUUAGCAAGAACAGCUUAUAGCAUAGCCGAGCAAGUUUAGGCGUUUGGAACUGUUAAAAUAUGUUAGCUUUUGUGGGCCAGCUAGCUUGGGUGGGCUAGAAAAACCUUGCUAGUUCAGGAGAGCCAGAUCGGCUCGCUUCCGACGGCAAACUUCGCGUAGUAGUAACAUAGACUAGUAACAUAUGCAUGUUACUAGUCCAAGUUACUCACCACUAUGACCAGCCUAAGCAAUGUAACCAAACGCUCCUUACUCUGCCGUGUUAUCUCCCCCGGAAACCCAAUGCAUGGAGCGCAACUACGCGUUGAUCAGUCAAGAAAUCAAAGUCGGCUUGCAUGCGAGUUAGUACGUGGCCCUGCAUGGUAGCUAAAACAACAUCUCUUAGUUGUUUGGAUUAAUUGUUGCGUUUAGAGACAGAAAUCAGGGCUUUGAUUGGAGGAAUGACCGGUCAAGUUUCUCCUUCUCCUCCAAUCUUCUUGCACCUUGGUCCCGCUGCACCUUCUAACGUGACUUAUUACACCUAGACGGAGGGAGUCGUACGAGAUACGGUGGCACACUGAGUUAGGUCGAAUACAAGUGCCCAAAAUUGUGUGCAUGUUAUAAUAAGGAUUCACUUAAAAUAGUAUGUGAGCGAACAGAGGGAUCAAUUGGACAGUGUUCCCGAGCAGUAGCGAGAUGUGUGAGGUAAGAUACACCGCUGGCGCUUUUAAUUUUUCUUAUUAAUUUUUUUGUUUCACCUUCUGACUGGUGGGACCCAACGUACUACGUGGAGAGAGGUAAGGUGACUAAGGCUGCAUUAUUUCUGCACCACUGUGGAUAGUCUUACCACCAAAGCCACAUGACACGAUUAUGAUUUAAAUCCCAAUGACUCCCACACACAAAAAAAACACUGCAUGCUUGUCACACGAAUGCAGGAAUGUAUAAAAGGUUAUUUUCCUCUUGUUGAACAUAACGGGAGGGUUGUGUAGCUGGUUAGCCUGUUCGCUCAUCAAACUUGAGGUCUCGGGUUCGAUAACUACACUUGAGCAUAAUUCGUGCCAGGAGGAUUCUUUGACUGGUCAAAAUGGAUGGAUAUGGAGCUGUACGAUCUCGUAGUGCUGUAUAAUCACCUCAUCACGUAUAAGCUGCAACCUCGGCGCUUGUUUUCUAGGGUUUGCACUCUUCACACUCUCUCCAGUAUAUAUGUGCACGCUGGAGCCUCAGCGCUUGUAGUUGCUCUCUUCGCACUCUCUCACCCUCUCCAGAUCUAAACAAGACUUUGUUGGCCUCUCUCUCUCCCCUGACUGCUGGUCUGCUUGUAGUUGCUCUCUUCACACUCUCUCACCCUCUCUAGAUCUAAAUAAGACUUCGUUGGCCUCUCUCUCUCCCCUCACUGCUGGUCAAAGAGCCGGCAGGAUCCGUCCGCCGGGAAGGGAAGGAGGCUUAACGAUGUCGCCGUCGGCGAGGAAGGGAAUCCACUACCGGCGCAGCUGUUCACUUUCACCCAACGGUGGCGCGGGAGGGCCUCCAACCCCUUCUUCUUCGCCGCCGUACAUAGUGUGGGUCGAACGGCCUCCGGUCGCCCACCGAACCACACCCCAAGAACCUUAAGGUAAAAUUUACUUAUUCCACAUGCAUUGCUCUAGCUGCAUGUGGGCUUUUUCCACUUCUGCACUCAAAUCUAGGUGUUGGAUCAAAUAGGAAAGUAGUGGGGAAAGUUGUAUACCAUGAAUCUAGGACGUGGUUCAAAGAGGAAAGGAAUGGGGGAAAGUAAUGGGAAAAGUUGUAUAGCAUGAAUCUAGGACGUGGUUCAAAAAGGAAAGGAAGGGGGAAAGUAAUGGGGAAAGUUGUAUCGCAUGAAUCUAAGACGUGGUUCAAAGAGGACAGGAAUGGGGGAAAGUAGUGGGGAUAGUUGUAUAGCAUAAAUCUAGGACGUGGUUCACAGAGGAAAGGAAGUGGGGAAAAUACUAGUACAGACUGGCUAUCCAACACCUACGUUAGUCGAAAAGGGAAAGCAAUGACAAACGCAGUACGCACAUCUGUAACGAACUGAUAUUUUGUUUUGGGGGAUAAGGCUGUAGAGUUUGAGCAUGACUAGAUUUGCUGCGCUCACAUAGGGAAAGGUGUCUAAAGAUAACAAAACUGGGACAAACACAAAUAUGCUCCUUGGUUGUUUGUUCUUUGUUGCAACAGACUGUGCAUCACCCCAGUACAUCGGUAGAUGCACAUGGUGCUGGUGCGUCCAUUGUCCCGUGCAACUCUUUAGUUGUUGUUAAUCUAAGGCCCUGUUUGGUUAAAAACUCCCUAGUCCCUACCUGCUUGGUUCCAGGGACUAAACAUGGACCAGAGGUUAUUAAAUGACAUGCUAAAAGGCCAUGUUACCCCUAGUAAUGAACUAAUAGAGACAAGGUGCGAUGCAUGGCAGGGGCAACUAUUGGAAAAAGUCCCAAAAAGACUCUCCCUCGGGGUCUUCUUUCUUUAGUCCUAAAUGCCCACUUUUAGUCCCUAAAAGUCCCUCCUGUUUGGCUUAGAUGGGACUGACAUGGAGUUUUUUUAGUCCCUCCACCAAAAUGUCCCUGUAAACAAACACCCUCUAAUAAUGCCGCUGGAAAAUUGAUGCAAUGCCACAGUUAAAAGCAAAUUACAUGUUUAACGAAUUUUAUUGUUAAUAUAAUCUCUCUGUUAAUAUUAAUCAAUGCCACCGUUUGAGAAAUUCUAUUGUCUUGCUUUGUUUCCCAUUUAGAUAAGGUAGAUGCUUCUUUUUGUUGGCUUCUGUGUCAUCCAUCGUUAUUGACCACUAGUUUUUUUGCACCUCUUUGUAAACAGGGUUAUCUACUUCACCUUGUUGCCAUUGUGACCUUUUGUUGCACUGCACAAAACACUUUUGUUUUAAGAGUGUUUUGUGCAGUUCAACCAAAAUGUCACACCGACAACGUUGCUUGAUUGCUUGAUCUUAGUGGAACUGCACAAGAGGAGAUCUUACUUCCUAUCCGUGUUGGCAAAUUUGGUUCAGGUCUUCUUCUUGUGAGUUGUUUGAAUUCCGCGUCAUGAGAGGUCAGUACUAGCCUUCUUUCACAUGAUUAUGCAGUGUGCUUUCAUAUGUUGUGCUACUUGUACGGUAAUGUUGCUUGAUUUUAGUGAUCUGCACAAAUGGAGACAAGACUUCCAAUCUGUAUGUGCACCGCAAUAUCCCACUGAGGUAAGAUAAGGAUAUUUCACAACUGUUGGCCUAUAUUUUGCCACUUUCAUCAGAAAAUUAAUGUCAUUGUUUAGUGCUAUACUUGUGCAACCUAAUUGACAUGCCAAAUCUUACAUUGAAGGAGAAGCUUGUCUGUUAUUGAACCAAGUGAUGAAGGGGAAGAACAAGCGGAAGAAAAAACAAAAAUCAACUCCUGGUGCUGUAAUGAAGCACUGGAACUGUGAUGACACAAGUAAUGAUAUAGUUUUGCAUCUUAAUUUAUUGCUAUGGCUGGAACGAGAAAUUGUUUUGCCACUGAUUUGAUGCCACUCUUAAUGUAAUACGUAAUUAUCUCUACUUGUGCAAACAGGGAUCUUCUUUGAAGAUACCAUAUAUUUUAGUGGAACUGCACAAGAAGAUGUUGGAAACAUUAAUCUAAUCGAGGAGUAUAUAGUAAGCAUGGCCACCACAGUAGAUAGCAACAGAUGGUUCCGAAGAAGUGCUUCAUCUGUAUGCUCUACACAAUAAGCCUCCUGACAAAGGUUGGUACUCGCCCACUGAUUUCAUCCAUAUGAUUGAGCUUUGUCAUCUCUAUUGGUGUUGUGCUACUGUUUAGAUACUGUCAUCAAAAAGUGGUAUUGUCCUUGAGAAGUGCUUCAUCUGUGCUAUUUUAAAUAUUUCCUUUACUUUUUUGAGCAAACAGGGAUGCUAGCAUUUAGUUAUCCUCUUGUCUUUGCACAACAGGAUCAUCCUCCUCUGAAGAAGAAUAUGGAGUACGUGAAGUGACUAGUUCCGAUUAUGCCAGGAUGAAGAAGCCCUGUCUAUCUUCUCAUCAGAAGGAGCAGUUGAAGGAUGGUUACAUUACCCCCCCCCCCCCACAAGACCAAACUAACUUCAGCUCAGAAGGACUGACAAAUCUCCAUUUUCUUGCUGUGAUGCGCGAGUACAAUGUUGUUCUAGGAUUCUUUCCGGUGAGUUCCAUUUUUCUAAAAGUGUGCUCUACAUGGACCAUGUAGGUGCCUAUUUAAACUGUCAAUUCAUAGUACAGUUUGCUUUAUACUAAUCACUUUUUUGUAUUUGUGCAAACAGGGGUGCUCAUCUUGAUUUCAAUGGGAACUGCAUAAAAUGUUCAUCGAAUCAUUCAUUUCCACCACAAGAAAGGAGGUGCCGAUAAGUUCAAGGCGUUGCAACAUAUAAGGGCGAAAUCAUACAAGCUACGCGCGAAUUUGGUUGAUUUUGGUGGAACUGCACAAAAAGAACAGCUGAUUUAUUUAGCACGAGGUGCCAUGUCAAUGUCCGAACUGAUGGCAACCCUGCCCAUUCCACAAUCGUAGGCAUUUGAUAUUUUUGGAAUGGGAAAACCUUGUCAAAUUUUGCUCAUUGAUUUUAGCAAGAAGACAUGCGUUUGAUAUUUUCAAAUGGGACGCCCUUUGCUGUCAGCAGCGUCGAUCCAUUUUUUCUUUAUUCUUUAGUUGUAAAGUAAAUAUUGGCUCUGACAUGUGAAUUGCUGAGAUGCAUAAUCAUCGAUUGUUUUGAAUGUUCUCUAUGACAUGUGAAUCGCUGUGAUUGCAAUGUACAGGAAUGCUAAAAAGCUGCUCAAACUCUUUGUACUCCUUCUGUUCCUUUUUACUUUGCACAUUGUGAAAGUGCAUAUUUUUUUCUAUAAGAUUGGUCAAAGUAGAGAUACUUUGACUGCAGACAAAACUGGCGCGGCCUCGUUGGCAGCGGGGCGGAGCCGGCGAUGUCCUCUGUCUCGUUGCCGGCGGGCGGCGCCUCGGCGGAGCGGGGGAAAUCCUCCCCCUCAUUGCCGGCAGGGUGGGGCCUCGGCGGAGCCGGCAAUGUCCUCUGCCUCGUUGUUGGCGCCGCGGGGCCUCGGCGGAGCAGGGCCUCGUCGACGCCAGCGGAGCAGGGCCUCGUCGACGCCAGCGAAGCGGGGACUCGUCGGAGCCGGCAUUGUCCUCUGCCUCGUCCUCGAUCUCGCCAAACAGCGCCUCACCCGCUUCAUCGCCCUCUUUGUAGGCGGCCGCAGCCUCCGCCACCCGCAUGCGGUACCGCCAGCGCUUGAGGCGGCCCUCGCGGGCGGAGCGGUACGAGUCGAGCAGCACCUCCUGCUCCGCCCGCUCCGCGGUGAUCUGCUCCUCCUCCUGCAGGUGCUCCUGGAGGAGAUGGUGGUUGUAGGCGGCGUCAGCCUACGCCUCCCGGAACUGCUCCUCACGCUUCUGCCUCACCGUGUCCAUAUAUUGGGCACGGGCCUCGCCGAUGGUCAUGGUGCAAUGCACCGGCGAGGAUGGCGCGGAGGAGGGGGUUGCCGCCGGAUCGUCGACUACCAUGUUCUCCAUUGGGACGUCGUCGUCCUCCGCCUGCCUGCCGGCCAGCCAGUCGGCAGCAAUGGCUACCAUCUCCUUGUGGUCUGUCGUCCGCCCGUCCCGAAGAGUGCUGGAGCGUGAGGAAGCCAUGGUGGGCAGUAGUAGUGUGGACAGGAGAAUAGGAACGGAUGCGGAUGACUGCGGUUAUGGCCGGCGCAACAGUUUAUAUAGCAAUGGUGGGCGGCGGAGGGACGGACGUGUGGCGCCGGAGUAGCUGCCUCGACAACCGCGUAUCAUUAAUGUGGGUGACAGAAGGACGGACGGACGGCACUUGUGUCGUUUGAAGGCGGAGCAAUCGCAUGCACCGGGAAGCGGGGCGGGCGGCGCUGACUGUUUCGGGCGGAAAGCGCGCGCGGGCGAGGGAGGCGGUUUGGAUGGGCCAGGGCAAUCAGACUCGUGCUUGGCAGCGGGUCGGUCCAGAGGCCGGACAUGCUGGCACACCAGCUACCUCGCCGAGCUGAGCGACGACAAUCAGACGAUGGACGUAGCUUCCCACCAGGAGUCGGCACCACUAUCCAAGCUGGUUCAUGCCGUGUUCACCAUAGAGCAGGUGCGGCGCACUUCGACGCCCUAAUGGCGGAAGAGCUACCAGCGUAGGAGGACCUGUGCUGCAAUCUCCGUCUCCUCAACGAGCACCGGUGAACAAGCGAACGACAAUGCCGUCGCGGACAUGUGGCCCUAUGAUCCUGGCUUCCCGAAUGAGCAGCGGGCGCUGUAUCAGACCAUCCGUAGGGCCCGCGAGGCCCUCUCCGUCGUCCUUCGAGUUGUUGCGCUCGCCGUGGCGCUGCCGUCUCGCAUUGUCAACAUGGUCAACGGACAUGAGGAUGAGGAGAUGACUUUACUUGGAGAGGAUGAUAGUGGGGACCCACAAGGGCCAUAGCCGCACGUACGCAAGUGCCUCCUUAUUAGUAUAUAAAACUACAAAAAAAAUUUUGCUUCCUCCUGGUUUCCUGACAUCACAGUCCCACACCAUUGUCAACCUAUGUAGUCAAUAAACAAGAGAAUUGCACAAGAAGCGGCCGACAGCUGGGACCAAGCAGCUCGAGCAGUAUUUGUGUUUUUGAGGUGUGAGCACUGCAGAGUUUUUCUUGAGCGAUGUUUAUUCCAGAUAUUAAUUUUUCUCCUCUGAACAACAACAAAAACAUCGCUGCAGCUAUUAACUGGGCGGGCUGUGGCCCGUCUAGCCCAAGCCAGAUAUCCAGCCCAGAUAUUAAUUUUUUUCAAGCUAAAAAUGGCUAGCCCAGCUAUACUUUUUUUAGGAAUACCCAGGCAAGGUCAAGUUGUUAUUCUCCGCCCCGCUGGGCUGCAAAUCUUUCCUAGGAGGGAUGCAUUAGGCUUAACAAGAAAAUAAUAAAUGAGAUGUAAUUAUUAAAACUGGGCAGUAACUAUAAAAAAUGCACCAAACACGUAAUUACUUUAUAAAAUAUUAUUUUUGGAUAUUGAAAAUUUUAAUUUCAUUAAUUGUUGCGAGUGCAAUGUUUCGUUGGAUUUUUACGUAAUAUAAAUUUAUAUUGAAAUUGUAUUUAAUCUGACUAGAAAUUUCGGGAUAAAAAUAUUUCGGAUCCCAUAAAAAAUGUGGGAAAUUUUAUUGAAUUCUGUUUUGAAUGGUUGGUUGAAAUGGGCUGUACUUUUAACAAACUAUAAAUGGGCUGUAGUAAAUUCCAUUAGAAUUCAAAAAUUGGCUGCACAUUCUUACAAAUCUCAAAUGGGCUAUAAGUUCUCUGCCACACACUUGUGGCCUUACUAAGUUGAUGCGUCCCCUAAAAAAGAGAGUUGACGCGUAUGCAAGGCUUUGUCAAAUUAUAGUCAACACACGGUUUUAGCAGCAGUGGCCGUUGGAUGUCCAUCCAACGGAUGCCGUGCUUCUUCUUCAAUCUCGGAUAUUCUAGCUUCACCCGCCCAAAAAUGAUUCCUCCCCCUGACAUCUGGGGCGCACCGUUUCGGAAGCUGACCCGUGGGCCUACUAAGUUGACGCGUACCAAGGGCUUUGUCAACUUAGUCAAUAUAAACGAUUCUAGCUGUAGUGACCGUACGAUGUCCAUCCAACUGCCGUCGUGCUUCUUCAACCUCUGGUCUUCUUGCUCCAGCCGCCCAAAGCAGCGCCGGUCGUGCCGCCUGCUCCUGCCUCUCGUGGCCGGCUAUGCUACCGCGGAGGCCUCACCGCCCCCUACUACUCCCACCGCCGGCCAGGCCAUCCCUCCACUCACCCACAUCCCCUGUUAUUCUGCGGCGACGGCAGCCUCACACCGCAGCCGAACCAGUGUACCCUCGUACUCCUCUUCGUGUGGGUAUCCACUGUCGUGUCUUCACCGGCUCCGCGUCGUCCCCUUCCUAGGCCUCGCCGUCGUCCACCGCCCUGGUGCUCUCGGCGCGUCGUGGUCGACGUGGUCAAGGAACGACUUCCAUCAGAAGAGUACUGUACGUGGAGAGGUUGACAGCUGGGUCCACGGCCGCAGCAAGGAAGUGCCUCCUUAUUACACGCAAAAUAAUUAUUCCUCCACCCGACAGCGGGGACCCAUCGGACGGGCCACCGUAUUUCGCAAAAAAAAACAUUUCCCCCUGACUGCUGGGACCCACCAGCUACAUCUUCACACGCAAGGAAGUGCGUCCGGGCAAAAAAAAAUUGAUUCGCCCCCCUGACUACUGGGACCCACCAACUACAUCUUCGCAGGCAAGGAAGUGCCUGACAGUCGGGACCCACCUGGUCGAAGCGUACGUAGUGUUGUCAUUCUGGUCGCGAAUGUGUACGUACAUACUGGUCGAUGUAGAGGCGCGCACGUGUCGUAGUAGAGGCGCGCAUGUAGCAUGUACACGUACGUACAGCGGCCAGUGUGCAAGAAAGAAAAUACGGCCACGUACGUACAUACGGGCAGGGUCUCAAACGCCUAGUCGCGCAUACGUACGGCCAGGGUUCGUGUACAUGGCUGGGUCGGAACAGAGAAACAGCGUCGUCGUCGUGUUCAUGGCGAGCCAACCGGCUGGGUCGGAACGGAAUGCGUCUUCGUGUUCAUCGGGAGGGCUUGGACGGAACAGCCGAUGGAAACGAGGCCUGGCGUACCGCAGAACGAAGGAAAUGGCCUUGUGUUCGACCGGCCAUGGUCGAAACGGGAUCCUAUUCAUCGGGAGGGGUCUGGCGUACCGCAAAACGGAGGAAACGGACCUCCUACGGUCGAAACAGGGGCCAUGUUGAUCAGGAGGGGUGUGGCGUACCGCAAAACGGAGGAAACAGACUUGUGUUGGAGCGCUACGGUCGAAACAGGGGUCCUGUUCAUCGGGAGGGGUGUGGCGUACCGCAAAACGGGACUCCACGUGAUACUGUUCAUCUCCACCAUCGACCCCCUCCAGCCUCCACGGGCUACUGUUCAUCCACCGUCGACCUCCUCUAGCCUCCACCUGCGACUGUUCAUCCACGGGCUCCUGUUCAUCCAGCCUCCACCGCACGCUUCUCCAUCAGCUACUGUUCAACCAGCCCUCUCCAUGGGCUCCUGUUCAACCACCCCUCCACGGGCUACAGUUCAUCCAGCCCUCCACCGUCUACUGUGUUGGGGAACGUAGUAAUUUCAAAAAUUUCCUACGCACACGCAGGAUCAUGGUGAUGCAUAGCAACGAGAGGGGAGAGUGUUGUCCACGUACCCUCGUAGACCGAAAGCGGAAGCGUUAACACAACGCGGUUGAUGUAGUCUUACGUCUUCACGAUCCGACCGAUCAAGUACCGAACGCACGGCACCUCCGAGUUCAGCACACGUUCAGCUCGAUGACGUCCCUCGACCUCUGAUCCAGCCGAGUGUUGAGGGAGAGUUUCGUCAGCACGACGGCGUGGUGACGAUGAUGAUGUUCUACCGACGCAGGGCUUCGCCUAAGCACCGCUACGAUAUUAUCGAGGUGUAAUAUGGUGGAGGGGGGCACCGCACACGGCUAAGAGAUCAAUAGAUCAACUGUUGUGUCUUUGGGGUGCCCCCCUGCCCCCGUAUAUAAAGGAGCAAGGGGGGAGGCGGCCGGCCUAGGAGGAGGGCGCGCCAAGGGGGGAGUCCUACUCCCACCGGGAGUAGGACUCCUCCUUUCCUUGUUGGAGUAGGAGAAGGGAAGGGAGAAGGAGAAGGAAGGGGGCGCCCCCCUUCCCUAGUCCAAUUCGGACUAGUCCAUGGGGAGGGGUGCGGCCACCCUUUGGGGCCUUUCUCUCCUUUCCCGUAUGGCCCAUUAAGGCCCAAUACGAAUUCCCGUAACUCUCCGGUACUCCGAAAAAUACCCGAAUCUCUCGGAACCUUUCCGAUGUCCGAAUAUAGUCAUCCAAUAUAUCGAUCUUUACGUCUCGACCAUUUCGAGACUCCUCGUCAUGUCCCCGAUCUCAUCCGGGAUUCCGAACUCCUUCGGUACAUCAAAACUCAUAAACUCAUAAUAAAACUGUCAAAGGAACGUUAAGCGUGCGGACCCUACGGGUUCGAGAACUAUGUAGACAUGACCGAGACACGUCUCCGGUCAAUAACCAAUAGCGGGACCUGGAUGCCCAUAUUGGCUCCCACAUAUUCUACGAAGAUCUUUAUCGGUCAAACCGCAUAACAACAUACGUUGUUCCCUUUGUCAUCGGUAUGUUACUUGCCCGAGAUUCGAUCAUCGGUAUCUUAAUACCUAGUUCAAUCUCGUUACCGACAAGUCUCUUUACUCGCUCAGUAAUACAUCAUCUCGCAACAAACUCAUUAGUUGCAAUGCUUGCAAGGCUUAAGUGAUGUGCAUUACCGAGAGGGCCCAGAGAUACCUCUCCGACAAUCGGAGUGACAAAUCCCAAUCUGGAAAUACGCCAACCCAACAAGUACCUUCGGAGACACCUGUAGAGCACCUUUAUAAUCACCCAGUUACGUUGUGACGUUUGGUAGCACACAAAGUGUUCCUCCGGUAAACGGGAGUUGCAUAAUCUCAUAGUCAUAGGAACAUGUAUAAGUCAUGAAGACAGCAAUAGCAACAUACUAAACGAUCGAGUGCUAAGCUAACGGAAUGGGUCAAGUCAAUCACAUCAUUCUCUAAUGAUGUGAUCCCGUUAAUCAAAUGACAACUCAUGUCUAUGGCUAGGAAACAUAACCAUCUUUGAUCAACGAGCUAGUCAAGUAGAGGCAUACUAGUGACACUCUGUUUGUCUAUGUAUUCACACAUGUAUCAUGUUUCCGGUUAAUACAAUUCUAGCAUGAAUAAUAAACAUUUAUCAUGAUAUAAGGAAAUAAAUAAUAACUUUAUUAUUGCCUCUAGGGCAUAUUUCCUUCAGUCUCCCACUUGCACUAGAGUCAAUAAUCUAGUUCACAUCGCCAUGUGAUUUAACACCAAUAGUUCACAUCACCAUGUGAUUAACACCCAUAGUUCACAUCGUCAUGUAACCAAUACCCAAAGGGUUUACUAGAGUCAAUAAUCUAGUUCACAUCGCUAUGUGAUUAACACCCAAAGAGUACUAAGGUGUGAUCAUGUUUUGCUUGUGAGAGAAGUUUAGUCUAUGGGUCUGUCACAUUCAGAUCCGUAUGUAUUUUGCAAAUUUCUAUGUCAACAAUGCUCUGCACGGAGCUACUCUAGCUAAUUGCUCCCACUUUCAAUAUGUAUCCAGAUUGAGACUUAGAGUCAUCUGGAUCAGUGUCAAAACUUGCAUGGACGUAACCCUUUACGACGAACCUUUUUGUCACCUCCAUAAUCGAGAAACAUAUCCUUAUUCCAUUAAGGAUAAUUUUGACCGCUGUCCAGUGAUCUACUCCUAGAUCACUAUUGUACUCCCUUGCCAAAAUCAGUGUAGGGUAUACAAUAGAUCUGGUACACAGCAUGGCAUACUUUAUAGAACCUAUGGCUGAGGCAUAGGGAAUGACUUCCAUUCUCUUUCUAUCUUCUGCCGUGGUCGGGCUUUGAGUCUUACUCAAUUUCACACCUUGUAACACAGGCAAGACACUCUUUCUUUGACUGUUCCGUUUUGAACCACUUCAAAAUCUUGUUAAGGUAUGUACUCAUUGAAAAAACUUAUCAAGCGUCUUGAUCUAUCUCUAUAGAUCUUGAUGCUCAAUAUGUAAGCAGCUUCACCGAGGUCUUUCUUUGAAAAACUCCUUUCAAACACUCCUUUAUGCUUUGCAGAAUAAUUCUACAUUAUUUUUGAUCAACAAUAUGUCAUUCACAUAUACUUAUCAUAAAUGUUGUAGUGCUCCCACUCACUUUCUUGUAAAUACAGGCUUCACCGCAAGUCUGUAUAAAACUAUAUGCUUUGAUCAACUUAUCAAAGCGUAUAUUCCAACUCUGAGAUGCUUGCACCGAUCCAUAGAUGGAUCGCUGGAGCUUGCAUAUUUUGUUAGCACCUUUAGGAUUGACAAAACCUUCUGGUUGCAUCAUAUACAACUCCUUUUUUAAUAAAUCCAUUAAGGAAUGCAGUUUUGUUUAUCCAUUUGCCAGAUUUCAUAAAAUGCGGCAAUUGCUAACAUGAUUCGGACAGACUUAAGCAUAGAUACGAGUGAGAAACUCUCAUCGUAGUCAACACCUUGAACUUGUCGAAAACCUUUUGCGACAAUUCUAGCUUUGUAGACAGUAACACUACUAUCAGCGCCCGUCUUCCUCUUGAAGAUCCAUUUAAUCUCAAUGGCUCGCCGAUCAUUGGGCAAGUCAAUGAAAGUCCAUACUUUGUUCUCAUACAUGGAUCCCAUCUCAGAUUUCAUGGCCUCAAGCCAUUUUGCGGAAUCUGGACUCAUCAUCGCUUCCUCAUAGUUCAUAGGUUCGUCAUGGUCAAGUAACAUGACCUCCAGAACAGGAUUACCGUACCACUCUGGUGCGGAUCUCAUUCUGGUUGACCUACGAGAUUCAGUAGUAACUUGAUCUGAAGCUUCAUGAUCAUCAUCAUUAACUUCCUCACUAAUUGGUGUAAGCAUCACUUGAACUAAUUUCAGUGAUGAACUACUUUCCAAUUUGGGGGAAGGUACAGUUACCUCAUCAAGUUCUACUUUCCUCCCACUCACUUCUUUCGAGAGAAACUCCUUCUCUAGAAAGGAUCCAUUCUUAGCAACGAAUUUGCCUUCGGAUCUGUGAUAGAAGAUAUACCCAAUAAUCAACUUUGGGUAUCCUAUGAAGACGCAUUUCUCCGAUUUGGGUUCAAGCUUAUCAUGUUGAAGCAUCGCAACCCCAAACUUUAAGAAACGAAAACUUUGGUUUCUUGCCAAACCACAGUUCAUAUGGUGUCGUCUCAAACGGAUUUAGAUGGUGCCCUUUUUUUACGUGAAUGCAGCUGUCUCUAAUGCAUAACCCCAAAACUAUAUUGGUAAAUCGGUAAGAAACAUCAUAGAUUGCACUAUAUCCAAUAAAGUACGGUUAUGACGUUCGGACACACCAUUAUGCUGUGGUGUUCCAGGUGGCACGAAUUUGUGAAACUAUUCCACAUUGUUUUAAUUGAAGACCAAACUCGUAACUCAAAUAUUUGUCUCCGCGAUCAGAUCGUAGAAACCUUAUUUUCUUGUCACGAUGAUUUUCCACUUCACUCUGAAAUUCUUUGAACCUUUCAAAUGUUUCAGACUUAUGUUUCAUCAAGUAGAUAUACCCAUAUCUGCUCAAAUCAUCUGUGAAGGUCAGAAAAUAAUGAUACCCGCCGCGAGCCUCAACACUCAUCGGAUCGCAUACAUCAGUAUGUAUUAUUUCCAAUAAGUCAGUUGCUCGCUCCAUUGUUCCGGAGAACGGAGUCUUAGUCAUCUUGCCCAUAAGGCAUGGUUCGCAAGCAUCAAGUGAUUCAUAAUCAAGUGAUUCCAAAGCCCAUCAGCAUGGAGUUUCUUCAUGCGCUUUACACCAAUAUGACCUAAACGGCAGUGCCACAAAUAAGUUGCACUAUCAUUAUUAACUUUGCAUUGUUUGGCUUCAAUAUUAUGAAUAUGUGUAUCACUACGAUCGAGAUCCAACGAACCAUUUUCAUUGGGUGUGUAACCAUAUAAGGUUUUAUUCAUGUAAACAGAACAACAAUUAUUCUCUAACUUAAAUGAAUAACCGUAUUGCAAUAAACAUGAUCAAAUCAUAUUCAUGCUCAACGCAAACACCAAAUAACACUUAUUUAGGUUCAACACUAAUCCCGAAAUUAUAGGGACUGUGCGAUGAUGAUCAUAUCAAUCUUGGAACCACUUCCAAUACACAUCGUCACUUCAUCCUUAACUAGUUUCUGUUCAUUAUGCAACUCCCGUUUCGAGUUACUACUCUUUAGCAACUGAGCCAGUAUCAAAUACCGAGGGGUUGCUAUAAACACUAGUAAAGUACACAUCAAUAACAUGUAUAUCCAAUAUACCUUUGUUCACUUUGCCAUCCUUCUUAUCCACCAAAUACUUGGGGUAGUUCCGCUUCCAGUGACCAGUCCCUUUGCAGUAGAAGCACUUAGUCUCAGGCUUAGGACCAGACUUAGGCUUCUUCACUUGAGCAGCAACUUGCUUGCCGUUCUUCUUGAAGUUCCCCUUCUUCCCUUUGCCCUUUUCUUGAAACUAAUGGUCUCGUCAACCAUCAACACUUGAUGUUUUUCUUGAUUUCUACCUUCGUCGAUUUCAGCAUCACGAAGAGCUCGGGAAUUACUUUCGUCAUCCCUUGCAUACUAUAGUUCAUCACGAAGUUCUACUAACUUGGUGAUGGUGACUAGAGAAUUCUGUCAAUCACUAUUUUAUCUGGAAGAUUAACCCCCACUUGAUUCAAGCGAUUGUAGUACCCAGACAAUCUGAGCACAUGCUCACUGCUUGAGCUAUUCUCCUCCAUCUUUUAGCUAUAGAACUUGUUGGAGACUUCAUAUCUCUCAACUUGGGUAUUUGCUUGAAAUAUUAACUUCAACUCCUGGAACAUCUCAUAUGGUCCAUGACGUUCAAAACGUCUUUGAAGUCCCGAUUCUAAGUCGUUAAGCAUGGUGCACUAAACUAUCAAGUAGUCAUCAUAUUGAGCUAGCCAAACGUUCAUAACAUCUGCAUCUGCUCCUGCAAUAGGUCUGUCACCUAGCGGUGCAUCAAGGACAUAAUUCUUCAGUGCAGCAAUGAGGAUAAUCCUCAGAUCAUGGAUCCAAUCUGCAUCUUUGCUACUAACAUCUUUCAACAUAAUUUUUCUCUAGGAACACAUCAAAAAUAAACACAGGGAAGCAACAACGCGAGCUAUUGAUCUACAACAUAAUUUGCAAAACACUAUCAGGACUAAGUUCAUGAUAAAUUUAAGUUCAAUUAAUCAUAUUACUUAAGAACUCCCACUUAGAUAGACAUCCCUCUAAUCCUCUAAGUGAUCACGUGAUCCAUAUAAACUAAACCAUGUCCGAUCAUCACGUGAGAUGGAGUAGUUUCAACGGUGAACAUCACUAUGUUGAUCAUAUCUACUAUAUGAUUUACGCUCUACCUUUCGGUCUCCGUGUUCCGAGGCCAUAUCUGUUAUAUGCUAGGCUCGUCAAGCUUAACCUGAGUAUUCCGCGUGUGCAACUGUUUUGCACUCGUUGUAUUUGAACGUAGAGCCUAUCACACCCGAUCAUCACGUGGUGUCUCAGCACAAAGAACUUUCGCAACGGUGCAUACUCAGGGAGAACACUUAUACUUUGAUAAUUUAGUGAGGGAUCAUCUUAUAAUGCUACCGUCAAUCAAAGCAAGAUAAGAUGCAUAAAAGAUAAACAUCACAUGCAAUCAAUAUAAGUGAUAUGAUAUGGCCAUCAUCAUCUUGUGCUUGUGAUCUCCAUCUCCAAAGCACCGUCAUGAUCACCAUCGUCACCGGCACGACACCUUGAUCUCCAUCAUAGCAUCAUUGUCGUCUCGCCAAUAUUAUGCUUCUACGACUAUCGCUACCGCUUAGUGAUAAAGUAAAGCAUUACAGGGCGAUUGCAUUGCAUACAAUAAAGCGACAACCAUAUGGCUCCUGCCAGUUGCCGAUAACUCGGUUACAAAACAUGAUCAUCUCAUACAAUAAAUUUAGCAUCAUGCUUUGACCAAAUCACAUCACAACAUGCCCUGCAAAAACAAGUUAGAUGUCCUCUACUUUGUUGUUGCAAGUUUUACGUGGCUGCUACGGGCUUAGCAAGAACCGUUCUUACCUACGCAUCAAAACCACAACGAUAGUUUGUCAAGUUGGUGCUGUUUUAACCUUCGCAAGGACCGGGCGUAGCCACACUCGGUUCAACUAAAGUUAGAGAAACUGACACCCGCCAGCCACCUCUGUGCAAAGCACGUCGGAAGAACCAGUCUCGCGUAAGCGUACGCGUAAUGUCGGUUCGGGCCGCUUCAUCCAACAAUACCGCCGAACCAAAGUAUGACAUGUUGGUAAGCAGUAUGACUUAUAUCGCCCACAACUCACUUGUGUUCUACUCGUGCAUAUGACAUCUACGCAUAAACCAGGCUCUGAUACCACUGUUGGGGAACGUAGUAAUUUCAAAAAAAAUCUACGCACACGCAAGAUCAUGGUGAUGCAUAGCAACGAGAGGGGAGAGUGUUGUCCACGUACCCUCGUAGACCGAAAGCGGAAGCGUUAACACAACACGGUUGAUGUAGUCGUACGUCUUCACGAUCCGACCGAUCAAGUACCGAACGCACGGCACCUCCGAGUUCAGCACACGUUCAGCUCGAUGACGUCCCUCGAACUCUGAUCCAGCCAAAUGUUGAGGGAGAGUUUCGUCAGCACGACGGCGUGGUGACGAUGAUGAUGUUCUACCGAUGCAGGGCUUCGCCUAAGCACCGCUAUGAUAUUAUCCAGGUGUAAUAUGGUGGAGGGGGGCACCGCACACGGCUAAGAGAUCAAUAGAUCAAUUGUUAUGUCUUUGGGGUGCCCCCUGCCCCCGUAUAUAAAGGAGCAAGGGGGGAGGCGGCCGGCCUAGGAGGAGGGCGCGCCAAGGGGGGAGUCCUACUCCCACCGGGAGUAGGACUCCUUUCCUUGUUGGAGUAGGAGAAGGGAAGGGAGAAGGAGAAGGAAGGAAGGGGGCGCCCCCCUUCCCUAGUCCAAUUCGGACUAGUCCAUGGGGAGGGGUGCGGCCACCCUUUUGGGCCUUUCUCUCCUUUCCCGUAUGGCCCAUUAAGGCCCAAUACGAAUUCCCGUAACUCUCCGGUACUCCGAAAAAUACCCGAAUCACUCGGAACCUUUCCGAUGUCCGAAUAUAGUCGUCCAAUAUAUCGAUCUUUACGUCUCGACCAUUUCGAGACUCCUCGUCAUGUCACCGAUCUCAUCCGGGACUCCGAACUCCUUCGGUACAUCAAAACUCAUAAACUCAUAAUAAAACUAUCAUCGUAUCGUUAAGCGUGCGGACCCUACGGGUUCGAGAACUAUGUAGACAUGACCGAGACACGUCUCCGGUCAAUAACCAAUAGCGGGACCUGGAUGCCCAUAUUGGCUCCCACAUAUUCUACGAAGAUCUUUAUCGGUCAAACCGCAUAACAACAUACGUUGUUCCCUUUGUCAUCGGUAUGUUACUUGCCCGAGAUUCGAUCGUCGGUAUCUUAAUACCUAGUUCAAUCUCGUUACCGGCAAGUCUCUUUACUCGCUCAGUAAUACAUCAUCUCGCAACAAACUCAUUAGUUGCAAUGCUUGCAAGGCUUAAGUGAUGUGCAUUACCGAGAGGGCUCAGAGAUACCUCUUCGACAAUCGGAGUGACAAAUCCCAAUCUGGAAAUACGCCAACCCAACAAGUACCUUCGGAGACACCUGUAGAGCACCUUUAUAAUCACCCAGUUACGUUGUGACGUUUGGUAGCACACAAAGUGUUCCUCCGGUAAACGGGAGUUGCAUAAUCUCAUAGUCAUAGGAACAUGUAUAAGUCAUGAAGAAAGCAAUAGCAACAUACUAAACGAUCGAGUGCUAAGCUAACGGAAUGGGUCAAGUCAAUCACAUCAUUCUCUAAUGAUGUGAUCCCGUUAAUCAAAUGACAACUCAUGUCUAUGGCUAGGAAACAUAACCAUCUUUGAUCAACGAGCUAGUCAAGUAGAGGCAUACUAGUGACACUCUGUUUGUCUAUGUAUUCACACAUGUAUCAUGUUUCCGGUUAAUACAAUUCUAGCAUGAAUAAUAAACAUUUAUCAUGAUAUAAGAAAAUAAAUAAUAACUUUAUUAUUGCCUCUAGGGCAUAUUUCCUUCAUAUUGUUCAUCCAGCCCUCCACGGGGUGGUCCUGUUCAUCCGGCCCUCCACAGGUGAGGGAGUCCUGGACUAAGGGGUCCUCGGGCGUCCGGCCUGUUAUCCAUGGGCCGGACUGAUGGGCUGUGAAGACAUGAAGGCCGAAGACUGCACCGUGUCCGGAUUGGACUCUACUUGGCGUGGAGGGCAAGCUUGGCGACCAACUAUGAAGAUUCCUUCUUAUGUAACCGACUCCAUGUAAACCCUAGAUCCCCCCCCCCCGAUGUCUAUAUAAACCGGAGGGGUUAGUCCGGAAAGCAUAUAUUCAUUACCAUAUACACAUAGGCUAGGCCUCUAGGGUUUAACCAUUACGAUCUCGUGGUAGAUCAACUCUUGUAACACUCAUAUUCAUCAAGAUCAAUCAAGCAGGAAGUAGGGUAUUACCUCCAUAGAGAGGGCCCGAACCUGGGUAAACAUCGUGUCCCCUGUCUCCUGUUACCAUCGAUCCUAGACGCACAGUUCGGGACCCCCUACCCGAGAUCCGCCGGUUUUGACACCGACAUUGGUGCUUUCAUUGAGAGUUCCACUGUGCCGUCGCCAAGAGGGUUGGUGGCUCGCCUUGUUUUCAAGGAUAAUAUCAUCUCCGGAGGAGCCCUGGCCCCAGGCCAAACCCUCCGGCUGGGCGGCUUCGUCAUGACCGCCGGGUCGGCCCUUAAGCCGACGAUGACCUCUCAAGUCAUGGAAAAUCGCCUCCGUGUUGAUCCCGAAUACUCCGCCCGGAUGGAUCGAACGGAGUUAUCGUCGUUGAACGAACUCCUGGAUCGCAUGGCCGCCUUGGGGGUCGCUACAGACUACGAUCGGGUCGGGCUUAAGCCCGACCAGAGAGAAAUUAAAACUCCGCCGAUCACCCACCAGAUAGCGGUAGUCGAGGAGCGGAGCAACUCUUCUACUAUAUUGAAGACGAACUAUGUCCGGAUCUCCGAUCUUGAAGGGCCGGAUAUUCUCCGGCAGAAAGGCAUGUCCCGUCCCCCGAACAUGGAGUUGGACGAUGCGCCUAAAAAAUCAGUCGAUAUCCCGGAACCCGAACUGCCAGGGCCGGUAGAUCUUCAAACUCCGGAUCCAAAAUCAGGUCAGGGUUCGGAUUUCGUUCCACCCACCCACCCGGACACAGAGGCUCUCAUGAGCAUAAAACAGCAGUCUCAGGAAAAGGUCCACCACUUCUGGGCCAGAUUCCUCCUUGUCAAGGACAAGGUAAAAGAUUGCCGUGACGAGGAAGCAAUAUCAGCGUUCUGCAAAAAUUGCGCGGAUGAAGGAAUCCUCAACGCAAUCACCGCCGCAUACUAAAAUUUGCUGACUUAGCAACCAUCGUACAAAAAUACUGCACGAUGGAAAGCGCCUGGGAAACUCGGGCAGCUCGCUGGGAACCACCAGCCCCAACCCAACUUCCCCUACAUGCAAAAAGGGCGUACCCUCGGGGCACGCCCAGUCCAACAGACAAAAAGCACAAAGCCGCUAUAUGGCACGGCACCGUUCUGGAGGGAUGGCUUAAUGGCCCGUGCAAAAUACACACGACGCCGGAUACCGCGGCAACCCAUAGCCUUAGAGCAUGUUGGAUACUUCGGCAGGUAGCCAAGAGCGGCGAAGACAUCCUUAUCAAGGAUACCCCAGAACAGCACCCUCCAGCAAACGACGACACUAGUGUAUUGACAGUCUUCGAGACAUUCGCUUCAAACAAUAAGCGUAAAAGGGCACUGCGCGAUCUCGCCGAAGUUUGCCAGGUCGCCACAAUUGACCUCUGGAACGACACGACCAUAACCUUUAACGCCAGUGACGAACCCAAAUACAGAACAGUCCGAGCGCUAGCUGCAUUAGUCCUCAGUCCCAUCGUGGACGGUUUUCGACUUACAAAGGUCCUCAUGGACGGCGGCAGCGGACUAAACCUCAUCUACGAGGACACGCUCCACGAGAUGGAAAUAGACAGGAGCUGCAUCGAGAAAAGCAGCACGACCUUUCGAGGUAUCAUUCCCAGUCGGGAAGCGCGGUGUGCGGAAAAAAUUACACUCGAUGUGGUAUUUGGCACGCCGGAGAAUUAUUGAUCCAAAGAAAUAACCUUCCAGGUGGCUCCUUUCAACAGCGGAUACAACGCCCUGUUAGGGCGAGAGGCCUUCAUGCGCUUUCAAGCCAUACCCCAUUAUGAGUAUAUGAAGCUAAAAAUGCCCGGGCCUAAUGGAAUAAUCACCCUCGUCAGCGAUCCGGAUAUAGCACUCCGUGCCGAGAACAAAACUGCAUCCUUGGCCCUCGAGGCAUUAUCUGAGGCCCUUACGGCUGAAGAACUAACCGCACUACGCUCCACUGUGGACAGAGACGAUGUUAUCCUGGACAAACGGCCCAAAUCUACCUCCUUCAAGCCAGCAGAAGAAACGGUCAAAUUUCAGGUCCAUCCAACAAACCCGAAGAAGACAGCCUCUAUCGGAGCGCAACUCAGCUCCUCAGUAGACGCAGCACUGCGAGACUUCCUGCGUGAAAACUGGGAUAUAUUCGCCUGGCACCCAUCCGAUAUGCCAGGAAUCCCACGUGAGUUGGCCGAACACAGCCUCAACAUACUAAAGGGAUAUAAGCCGAUCAAACAAACCCUGCGGCGCUUUUCCAAACCCAAACGACAAGCUAUGGGAGAGGAGCUAGCCAAACUCAUCGGGGCCGGAUUCAUCAAAGAUAUUAAACAUUCGGACUGGUUGGCAAACUUGGUAAUGGUACCAAAGAAGGAUAAAUCCUGGCGCCUAUGCGUCGAUUUCAAAGACCUUAACAAGGCUUGCCCUAAAGAUCCCUUCCCCCUUCCUCGCAUUGAUCUAAUCAUUGAUGCUAACGCAGGACACGACUCGCUAUGUUUCCUCAAUGCAUAUUCCGGAUGCCACCAAAUCAAAAUGAAGGAGUCCGAUCAAGCUGCAACAGCAUUCAUUACACCAUACGGGCCAUUUUGCUUCAACACCAUGCCUUUCGGGCUCAAGAACGCCGGCGCCACCUACCAGCGCAUGAUCCAAACAUGCCUCGAGAAACAGAUCGACAAGACAGUGGAGGCCUACGUGGACGACGCCGUCAUCAAAACUAGACACGUCGAAACACUAAUAGACGACUUGCGUCUAACAUUCGACAACCUCCGCGCAUACGACAUCAAGCUUAACCCCGAAAAAUGCGUCUUCGGCGUCCCCGCUGGUAAACUACUUUGCUUCAUCAUUUCCAACAGAGGAAUUGAAGCAAAUCCAGCCAAAAUCCGAGCUCUGUCACAGUUGGCCACGCCAACCGAACUCAAACAGGUCCAAAAACUCACCGGGUGCGUGGCAGCUUUAAGCCACUUUAUCUCCAGGUUGGGGGAAAAGGCACUGCCCCUUUAUCGCCUUCUGCGGCGCACCGAUAACUUCGAAUGGACAGACGCAUCGACAGCCGGACUGGAGGAAAUAAAAUCCCUUUUAGCAAGCAACCCAAUCCUGGCCGCACCAAACGUCGGCGAACCAAUGCUCCUAUAUAUAUAUAUAUAUAUAUAUAUAUAUAUAUAUAUAUAUAUAUAUAUAUAUAUAUAUAUCGGCAACACACCAGGUGGUGAGCACCGUACUCGUCAUCGAACGAGAACAGGACGGACACAAAUUUCUGCUCCAAAAGCCGGUAUACUACGUAUCCACCGUCCUCACACCAUGCAAAUCUCGGUACCCUCACUAUCAAAAGAUAGCAUAUGCAGUCUUCAUGGCAUCUCGAAAAUUGCGACACUACUUUCAGGAGUGUCCGAUCACGGUGGCUUCCGAAGUGCCCCUCAAGGAUAUAAUCAACAACCGGGAUGCAACGGGCCGGAUUGCCAAAUGGGCCAUUGAGCUCCUGCCAUUCGACAUCACGUACAAACCACGCCGAGCCAUCAAAUCUCAGGUACUGGCUGACUUCGUCGCCGAAUGGACAGAAGCCGAACUCCCUAAAGAGUACAUCGCAUAUUCCAACUGGGUUAUGCAUUUUGACGGCUCCAAAAUGUUGGCAGGGCUAGGGGCGGGCAUCGUAUUAACGUCCCCCACAGGAAAUAUCGUCCAGUACGUACUCCAAAUAUUAUACACAGACUCCAACAACGCAGCCGAAUACGAGGCCUUGCUACAUGGCCUUCAGAUGGCCGUAUCAAUGGACAUACAACGCCUGGAGGUGCGCGGGGACUCGAACCUCGCAAUAUCCCAAUUUAAUGGAGACUUUGAUGCCAAAGAUCCAAAGAUGGCAGCUUAUCGCAAUGCCGUCUUGAAGAUGUCGGCUCGGUUCGAGGGGCUCGAAUUUCAUCACGUCGCCCAUGAAAGCAAUCAGGCGGCAGACGUCCUUGCUUGCAUCGGCGCUAAGCGCGACCCCGUCCCACCUAACAUCUUCCUCGAAAGGCUCUUUAAGCCAUCCGUGGUGUGGCAAGGGGGAGACAGCAACGACAGUCCCGUUCCGAACACAAACACAGAUAGCGAACACGCCGAUAUCAUCGGAGGCUCAGCCACCAAAAUAAUACCAUCGGCCCAACUUAUCAUGCCAGUAAUUGCCCCGUGGACCGAACCAUUCUUGGCCUACGUUAAUAGGAAGGAGCUCCCAGAAGAUCAGAACGAGGCUCGCCGCAUCGUCCGGCGUUCGAAGGCCUAUAAAGUUCACGAGGGAGAGCUCUACAAGAAAAGCACUACCGUAGUCCUUCAAAGGUGUAUCUUCGAGGAGGAGGGGCGGCAACUCUUGGCAGAAAUUCACGCCGGUCUCGGUGGGCACCACGCCGCAGCCCGAGCACUUGUCAGCAAGGCCUUCCGGACAGGAUUUUAUUGGCCUACGGCCCGGGCAGACGCACAGGACCUCAUCCAGCGCUGCUUGGAUGCCAACUCUUCGCCAACCAAAGCCAUAUGCCCCCAACCUCCCUACAAACAAUCCCCAUUACAUGGCCCUUUGCGGUCUGGGGCUUGGACAUGGUUGGACCCCUUAAAGGGGGAAGCCAUAAGAAAAAAUAUCUGCUGGUCAUGGUGGACAAAUUCACCAAGUGGAUAGAGGCUAGACCAGUUAAAAUGGCCGAGUCCGGACCGGUGAUCGCAUUUAUAUCCGAUGUGGUGCACCGUUAUGGUGUACCGCACAGCAUCAUCACUGAUAACGGUUCCAAUUUCACAGCUGAUGAGGUAAAAACCUGGUGUGCUAAUCUGGGCAUUAAGCUCAAUUACGCCUCUGUCUACCACCCGCAAACAAAUGGUCAAGUCGAGCGAGCUAAUGGUCUUAUUAUGAGCGGCAUCAAACCCAGGCUAGUGCGGUCUUUGAAAGAAUCAGACAAACACUGGGUCAACGAGAUUGACUCCGUACUCUGGGGGCUGCGGACCACGCCCAACCGUACUACCGGAUACACACCUUUCUUCAUGGUGUACGGUGUAGAGGUUGUAUUGCCCUGCGAUAUUAUACAUGACUCACCUCGAGUGCAUAUGUACGAAGAGAAAGAGGCCGAGUUGGAUCGGCAGGACGGCUUAGAUGCCCUGGAGGAGGAGCACGACAUCACCAAAGCCCGUUCAGCAUUUUAUCAGCAGCAGGCUCGAAGAUAUCAAAGAAGAGAAGUACGGGCCAAGACUUACAAUGUUGGCGAACUCGUUCUACGCUUGCCGGAGAAGAAAAAAGACAAACUCAAGCCCAAAUGGGAGGGUCCCUUCAUAAUUGACGAAGUUCUUACCGGAGGAGCGUACCGUCUUCGUGACGCAUCAGACAAUCGCCUAGAGCCGAACCCCUGGAACGCGGCCAGACUCCGAAGGUUCUAUGCCUAAGCGCCAAACUCUUUGUUAGUCUCCUUCUCCCCUAUAGUUUCCACUACUUUUUCUCCCUUUUACACAAUUCUUUUUUUCUCACUUUAAAACUCUCAUUCGGCUCGUCCGAACACCGCGGACGUACACAUCUUUACAUAUGUACGUCCACUAUACCUGGGGGCUUCUUGAACAGAAGCUUCUUAACAUUAUUUGCCGAGCGUCAAGCUCAUCAUACAUAUGUGUUUUUCCCGUGUGUCUUUUCUUCACCAUUAUAUGCAUCGAUAUGACUUAAGUUUUGGCCAAGCUGGGUUGCCUGGCUCCUGUGCUUACCCCUACGUUCCCGAUUGUUCAGCUAGGUGGUAAAGGGAGCACCUCUGCGAUUGUACUACCGGGUCAUCCGGAUGUGUACCUCAGACUGGGUGAAGCCGAAAGCUAGCGUUCUUAAGGGAAUAUUUGGUCGGUGGAUGAAAAAUAUUCUUUGUACUCACUCUAUUGUGAACCCCCAGAAGCUAUACACACUGUGAUUUUUACAUCACAAUUCAGACAUGUCUACUAAUGCAUGCACACCCAGGGAAAGGAACCCUUAACGAAACUAUUCUCCCUAGAAGAUGUUUCUUACAAUCUCAAUGUAAUAUAACAUAACUAGUCGGAUACAACUUGUCUGUUCAAGCAACUAUGACCCCUACACUUAGUUUUCCACGCAUACCCCGACCUGUUCGGCCGUAUCGGUAUUCGGAAACACUCCGCACCUUCGGGUCCGGAGGUUGAAGCGAAAAGGUCUGCCAUGACAAAUGAUAUACAAUUUAGCUAGAAUUUCACAUGGUGGGGAAAGUACAUAGUCACUUGGACUCAAACACUUCCUCCUCUAUACCAUCCAACAGGCAGUCUAGCUUACAAUCCUGUUGGGAAUAUUUUGCGGCCACCUCUACUUGGUCAUAUACUAAACUAACGGGAAUUUCUUCCCCAUCUGACCCUAGUGGUCCGACCCUGGCCAUGUGAUCCGGGUCCAGCUUGGUAUAUCGCGUUUUCACUAUGGCCCAGGCUUCCCGCGCACCCUCUCGGCAGGCUGAUAUCUUCCAUAGCCGGAUAUGCUGUCGUGCUGCCUUGAACAGCUCUACAAGCUCCUCCAUACUUCCCGGAGGGGAGGCGGAUGUCCAUAAGGCCUUGGCAACACUCCGCAUGGCCAGCCGAGCAUGCUCGUGCACUUGCGACAAUCUUUGCAGCAGAUCACUUGCUGAUCCGGACACCUCCUCUUCAGGACGGCCCGUCAAUAUACCUGCAAGCAUACCUAUAUCAGUUCCAUUUAUCUCCGAACUACUAAAAAACAACAAGUUCGGAAACAUACUGAACAUGCUGCCCCGCAGCUUCUUGUUCUCCUUUACGGAGUCGGCUAGCUGGGCCCGCACAUCUUUCAACUCUUCACCCAACUUAGUGUUGGAAUCAUGUAGCUUGUUUUUCUCAUCCCUGACGCGGGUCAGCACACGCUUGCCUGCGGUGUGUUGCCUCUUUGCCUUUUUUCCUCCCUCUUGGGCAAUCUUCAACUUCUUCUCAAGUUGAUCAGGCGACCCUAUUAUGCGAUCAGUGGCAGUAUUAGCACAGUUGGUAUACAUUUACUGUUCCUCGAUGGAGGGGAACGUUACCAGUGGACGACUUCUUCAAGUCUCCCAGUUCAGCGGUAGCAGCUUUUAGCUACGCCCGACACUGCUCCAGCUCUUGGGCUAGCAGACUAUUCCUCUCUGCGAGGACCUGGUUGUUCAACAAUCCUUAAAUCAGUUGUGCCAACUGCUUUCAGUCUUGGGGGCUACGGGUAUAUGGCUAUCCUUUUUUGACAAAGAAAACUUACCUGCACAUCUUUCAGAUAUUGCCUCGUGGCUUUUCUAAGCCCGUCUCGAGUAGCUCGGAUGUAUGCGUCGCCCGAGCUAAAGGCAUUAAAUGCCUCGUCCGAGAACUUCGGGUCUCGUAAAAUAGCUCUGCAGCACCGAUGAUUCAUGGCGCUCUCUACUUCCGAUUUGGUAACAGACAUAUUGUCCGAACCCUCGGCCGAAGGGCAGUCCGACUUUGUUCCUACAUCGGCCCCCGUCUCCCCGACUGGAUCUAAAUCUUGGUUGUUGGGAGCGCGGCCAGCCGGAUCCCCGGACACAGUUCGGCGAACCUUUUUCCUGUAAUCAAAUAGGCGCAUAGGUCACAGUUGGACACGGCCACUGGAAAAUAUAUUUAUCCGUACCUCCUCGAUGAGGGCCCAGCGGUUCCUUCACCGGCCCUCCUCUUCGAAGGCCUGCCCGGCGCAAUAACCAAUUCCCUCGGUAUCGUCAAACGCCUCCCCUGUAGAAUGCGCGAUAAUGCGGUGAAUGAGGCAGAGUAAGAGCACCCUCUCAGAGAAGGUGUUUCUUGAUUACUUACCUGUGAAGCAGGAAGAAGACCAGGGUAGUCGGCAACUAUGGCCACUUUUGUGCCAUCAUAGCUCGUCUGGUAAAACACCCCCUCCGCGAGCACCACAAAUAUAUCCGGAUCCUCUUCAAACCCGGGAUCAAGCUCCCGGUUGUGGUCCUCCGGUUGUGGGGCGGGACUAUAAAAUCCCUCGGUGACCUUUCGCCAGUGCUGUCAUAAGCAAACAAACUAGAAAUUUAUCAAAGGCAAUUCGGAGAUGGAAGGAGUAAAAAUAGAGGGGUCGGGCCUUACCCAACUGGGAGGGUUAUACAUAGAGUACCCGUCUCUAAGUUUGAUGCGAAGAAAUUCCUUUUCCUCCCCUUUGAACAGUUUGGCUAAUAUCUUAGCCAAAGCGGUAGGGGUAUCCGGACCUUUCCGGCCGCAACGAGAGGCGUCGUCCUCCCCAUUGUAGUGCCACAUUGGAAGCCCUCUGUAUUGGAGCGGCUGAACCCCUCGCGCUAUGGAGAUCGCCAUAACCUUGAUUACUAUAAGUCCGGACUGAGUGAGCUCUUUUAUCUUGCUCAUCAGCUGACGAACCUCCGUGCCAUCUUCCUCUUCAAGACUCCGGGGACGCCAACUGUGGCGUUUCUUCAGCGGGACGCGUGCAAAUUCAGGAAGACCCUUUUGAACCGGGUUGGGAAGCGCAACGUCCUCUAUAUAAAACCAUUCGGAGGGCCAUUCAUCAGGUGCCUUCCUUGGUGUGCCGGAUGGAUAUCCGGUAUCGGCGACGCGCCAUACUUCGGCUCCGCCCACUUCAAAUAUUGACCCUUCGUGAUUGCGCGGGACGAGACAGAACAACUUCCUCCACAACUCGAAAUGAGCCUCGACGCCCAGGAAUAGUUCGCAUAAAGCGAUGUAACCCGCAAUGUGCAGAAUAGAGGCCGGAGUGAAGUUGUGCAGCUGGAGGCCGUAGUACUCCAGAAGCCCUCGGAGGAACGGAUGGAUUGGAGAUCCAACGCCUCUCAGCAGGUAGGGGACAAAACACACUCGCUCUCCCCCGGACAGAUUGGGGAAGUCCUCUGCCUGAGUCCCCUCACUGAAGGAAGCUAGCCCCGUUCGAACAGGGACUAGAUCUACAUGGGGAAGGAAUCCUUGCGUUUGCAACUUCGUCAAUCGGCUAUGAGACACAGAACACCUCUCCCACUCGCCGUUCUCUGGGCCGGGACGAGCAGAGGAGCUGGGAACACUAGCCAUGCUGGAAUGGUUUCCCCUAAGCAGUCUCUGGGGAUUUCUUCUGCGUAGCGCUGAAUGGGUCUAGGAUCCAAUCUCUUCAAAUAGGCGCUCUUCCUCGCGUGGAUGGGGUGUUAUUCGCAAAAAUACCCUGACUUUCCACAUUCGCUCGACACACGGAGGACGAAGAUUAUUUAAUGUGCGGAAGCCAAGGAGGCGACAUUGGAUCAAUGGCCGAAUACAUUACUUGGAGAUUAUUGAAGGGGGAACCCGCCUUGCAAUGCCGAAGAAAAUAUGUGUGCCGAGCACCUCGCUAUUGAAGACUGGUUCGGGGGCUACUGAGGGAGUCCUGGACUAAGGGGUCCUCGGGCGUCCGACCUGUUACCCAUGGGCCGGACUGAUGGGCUAUGAAGACAUGAAGGCCGAAGACUGCACCGUGUCUGGAUUGGACUCUACUUGGCGUGGAGGGCAAGCUUGGCGACCAACUAUGAAGAUUCCUUCUUAUGUAACCGACUCCAUGUAAACCCUAGAUCCCCCCGGUGUCUAUAUAAACCGGAGGGGUUAGUCCGGAAAGCAUAUAUUCAUUACCAUAUACACAUAGGCUAGACCUCUAGGGUUUAGACAUUACGAUCUCGUGGUAGAUCAACUCUUGUAACACUCAUAUUCAUCAAGAUCAAUCAAGCAGGAAGUAGGGUAUUACCUCCAUAGAGAGGGCCCGAACCUGGGUAAACAUCGUGUCCCCCGUCUCCUGUUACCAUCGAUCCUAGACGCACAGUUCGGGACCCCCUACCCGAGAUCCGCCGGUUUUUACACCGACAACGGGGUCCUGUUCAUCCAGCCCCAACCGGCUCGAUCGAUCGGGGUCCUGUUCAUCCAGAGGCAACACCACGGGGUCCUGUUCAUCCACCUCCACCGGGAACUGCUCAUCCAAACCCCCCAGCAACGCUCACUGUUCAUCCAAAGGCAGCAUCGAUCGGCUUCAGUUAGCAGCAGUAGCGAAGGAAUCGCUCGAUCGGGUUCAGUUAACAGCCAUCGAUCGAUCGCUCGGGUUCAGUAACGCGUAGCCUGCAGUGCAAUCGCUCAGGUUCAGUUAGAGCCCAACGCCUCGCUCGGGUUCAGUUAGAGCCCAACACCUCGCACCCACGCGCGUGCGUGUACGAGAGAAACGCGUAUCGCUCGGCCCCGACCUGUUGGAAAUAUGCCCUAGAGGCAAUAAUAAAAUGGUCAUUAUUAUAUUUCCUUGUUCAUGAUAAUUGUCUAUUGUUCAUGCUAUAAUUGUGUUAUCCAGAAAUCGUAAUACAUGUGUGAAUACAUAGACCACAACGUGUCCCUAGUAAGCCUCUAGUAGACUAGCUCAUUGAUCAACAGAUAGUCAUGGUUUCCUGACUAUGGACAUUGGAUGUCAUUGAUAACGGGAUCACAUCAUUAGGAGAAUGAUGUGAUGGACAAGACCCAAUCCUAAGCAUAGCACAAAGAUCGUGUAGUUCGUUUGCUAGAGCUUUUCCAAUGUCAAGUAUCAUUUCCUUAGACCAUGAGAUCGUGUAACUCCCGGAUGCCGUAGGAGUGCUUUGGGUGUACUAAACGUCACAACGUAACUGGGUGACUAUAAAGGUACACUACAGGUAUCUCUGAAAGUGUCUGUUGGGUUGACACGGAUCGAGACUGGGAUUUGUCAGUCCGUAUGACGGAGAGGUAUCUCUGGGCCCACUCGGUAAUGCAUCAUCAUAAUGAGCUCAAUGUGACCAAGUGUUUGGUCACGGGAUCAUGCAUUAUGGUACGAGUAAAGUGACUUGCCGGUAACGAGAUUGAACGAGGUAUUGGGAUACCGACGAUCGAAUCUCGGGCAAGUAACGUACCGAUUGACAAAGGGAAUUGUAUACGGGAUUAAUUGAAUCCUCAACAUCGUGGUUCAUCCGAUGAGAUCAUCGAGGAACAUGUGGGAGCCAACAUGGGUAUCCAGAUCCCACUGUUGGUUAUUGACCGGAGAGUCGUCUCGGUCAUGUCUGCAUGUCUCCCGAACCCGUAGGGUCUACACACUUAAGGUUCGGUGACGCUAGGGUUGUAGAGAUAUUAGUAUGCGGUAACCCGAAAGUUGUUCGGAGUCCCGGAUGAGAUCCCGGACGUCACAAGGAGUUUAGGAAUGGUCCGGAGGUGAAGAAUUAUAUAUAGGAAGUCCAGUUUCGGCCACCGGGAAAGUUUCGGGGGUUACCGGUAUUGUACCGGGACCACCGGAAGGGUCCCGGGGGUCCACCGGGUGGGGCCACCUAUCCCGAAGGGCCCCAUGGGCUGAAGUGGGAGGGGAACCAGCCCCUGGUGGGCUGGUGCGCCCCCCCUUGGGCCUCCCCCUGCGCCUAGGGUUGGAAACCCUAGGGGUGGGGGCGCCCCCCACUUGGCUUGGGGGGGAAGCCACCGCUUGGCCGCCGCCCCCCUUGGAGAUCAGAUCUCCCAGGGCCGGCGCCCCCCCAGGAGGCCUAUAUAUAGGAGGGGGGAGGGAGGGCAGCCGCACCACAGCCCCUGGCGCCUCCCUCUCCCUCCCGUGACACCUCUCCCUCUCGCUGUGCUUGGCGAAGCCCUGCCGAGAUCCCCGCUACUUCCACCACCACGCCGUCGUGCUGCUGGAUCUCCAUCAACCACUCCUUCCCCCUUGCUGGAUCAAUAAGGAGGAGACGUCUUCCCCAACCGUACGUGUGUUGAACGCGGAGGUGCCGUCCGUUCGGCGCUCGAUCAUCGGUGAUUUGGAUCACGACGAGUACGACUCCAUCAACCCCGUUCACUUGAACGCUUCCGCUCGCAAUCUACAAGGGUAUGUAGAUGCACUCCUCUCCCUCAUUGCUAGAUGACUCCAUAGAUUGAUCUUGGUGAUGCGUAGAAAAUUUUAAAUUUCUGCUACGAUCCCCAACACGACCACCCACCGUAACCGGGAACACCCCGAUAUUUUCCUCGCCCUCACUUCUACCACGGUUUUUUUCGUCAUGGACGGCCCAAAGAAUGUCAUGCAGCUGCGUCUCCGGCCCAUCAAGGAUGAAAAGCCCAUUUGAUGUCAUGAUUUUUUGUCAUAGAAGUAGGACCCCACCACAUCUAUGAUGAUACCGUGUUUUGUCACAAUUAUUGUCAGAGAAGUGUCAUAAGUAUGACAGAAAAAAUAUUCGUUUGGCCCAAAAUGUCACGGAUGUGUCUUUUUGUAGUGGUACAUGGGUAUAUAGGAGGAAGAAGUAGGUCGGUGGAGCUGCGAGGGGCCCACGAGGGUGGGGGCGCGCCCAGGGGGGCAGGAGCGCCUCCCUGCCUCGUGGCCUCCUCGCUUCUUUCUUGACGUCCACUCCAAGUCCUCUGGAUCAUGUUUGUUCCAAAAAAUCACUCUCCGGAAGGUUUUAUUCCGUUGGGAUUCCGUUUGAUAUUCCUUUUCUGUGAAACACUGAAAUAGGCAAAAAAACAGCAAUUUGCACUGGGCCUUGGGUUAGUAGGUUAGUCCCAAAAAUAAUAUAAAAGUGUAUAAUAAUGCCCAUUAAACAUCCAAAACAAAUAAUAUAAUAGCAUGGAACAAUCAAAAAUUAUAGAUACUUUGGAGACGUAUCAUUACCUCAAUGGGGAUAAGCAUUUCAUAUUUAUUUUUGACAGUAGGUAGAGGUAUUUGAAAACUUCCAAUAGUGAUUGUCAGAGAUUUUUCAAUAACAUUAAUACCAUUCACUUAGAAUUGUUUCUUCGGAAAGUGCACCGUAUGCUCAUUACCAUUAAUAUGAAAAGUGACCUUGCUUUUAUUGCAAUCAAUAACAGCCCCUGCUGUAUUCAAGAAGGGUCUACCAAGGAUAAUCGACAUGUUGUCGUCCUCGGGCAUCUCAAGUAUAAAAAAGUCAGUCAAAAUAGUAACAUUAGCAACAACAACGGGCACAUCCUCACAGAUACCGAUAGGUAUGGCAGUUGACUUGUCAGCCAUUUGCAAAGAUAUUUCAGUAGGUGUGAGUUUAUUCAAGUCAAGUCUUUUAUAUAAAUAGAAAGGCGUAACACUAACACCAGCUCCUAAAUCACACAAAGCAGUUUUCACAUAAUUCUUUUUGAUGGAGCAAGGUAUAGUUGGUAUUCCCGGAUCUCCAAGUUUUUUAGGUACUCCAUCUUUGAAAGUGUAAUUAGCAAGCAUAGUGGAGAUUUCAGCUUCCGUUAUUUUUUCCUUAUUUGUGAUGAUGUCUUUCAUAUACUUUGCAUAAGGAGGCAUUUUCAAGAUAUCAGUCAAGCGAGUACGCAAAAAGACUGGCCUCAGCAUUUCAGCAAAGCGUUCAAAUUCUUCAUCAUCAUUCUUUUUAGUUAACUUGCGUGGAAAAGGCAUAGGUUUUUGAACCCACGGUUCUCUUUAUUUACCGUGUUUUCUAGCAACAAAGUCUCUUUUAUCAUAUCUUUUAUUUUUGGGUUGUGGGUUAUUGCUACCUCUUGAGCAUGCAUUGGUUUUCCCUUGAAGAGGAAAGGGUGAUGCAGCAAAGUAGCGUAAGAAUUUCCCUCGGUUUCUGAGAACCAAGGUAUCAAUCCAGUAGGAGAUUACACGCAAGUCACCUAGUACCUGCACAAACAAUCAAGAACCUUGCAACCAACACGGUAAAGGGGUUGUCAAUCCCUUCACGGUCACUCGCAAAAGUGAGAUCUAAUAAAGAUAGUAAAGGAAAUAUUUUUGGUAUUUUUGUUGUAUAGAUUGGAAAGUAAAUAUUGCAAAAUAAAAUUAUAGGAAACUAGAACUAUAGAUCGGAAACUUAUAUGAUGUAAAAUAGACCCGGGGGCCAUAGGUUUCACUAGUGGCUUCUCUCAUGAUAGCAUGUAUUACGAUGGGUGAAGAAAUUACUGCUGAGCAAUUGAUAGAAAAGCUCAUAGUUAUGAGAAUAUCUAGGCAAUGAUCAUGAAUAUAGGCAUCACGUCCAUGUCAAGUAGACCGAAACGACUCUGCAUCUACUACUAUUAAUCCACACAUCGACCGCUAUCCAGCAUGCAUCUAGAGUAUUAAGUUCAUAAGAACAGAGUAACACAUUAAGCAAGAUGACAUGAUGUAGAGGGAUAAACUGAAGCAAUAUGAUAUAAACCCCAUCUUUUUAUCCUCGAUGGCAACAAUACAAUAUGUGCCUUGCUGCCCCUACUGUCACUGGGAAAGGACACCGCAAGAUUGAACCCAAAGCUAAGCACUUCUCCCAUUGCAAGAAAGAUCAAUCUAGUAGGCCAAACUAAACUGAUAAUUCAAAGAUACUUGCAAAGAUAUCAAAUCAUGCAUGUAAGAAUUCAGAGAAGAACCAAAUAUUAUUCAUAGAUAAUCUUGAUCAUAAAUCCACAAUUCAUCGAGUCUCGGCAAACACACCGCAAAAAGUAUUACAUCGAAUAGAUCUCCAAGAACAUCGAGGAGAACUUUGUAUUGAGAAUCAAAGAGAGAGAAGAAGCCAUCUAGCAAAUAACUAUGGACCCGAAGGUCUGUGGUAAACUACUCACGCUUCAUCGGAGAGGCUAUGGUGUUGAUGUAGAAGCCCUCCGUGAUCGAUUCCCCCUCCGGCAGAUCGCAGGAAAAGGCCCCAAGAUGGGAUCUCACGGGUACAGAAGGUUGCGGCAGUGGAAAAGUGGUUUCGUGGCUCCCCCUGAUGUUUUUAGGGUAUAAGAGUAUAUAUAGGCGAAAGAAGUACGUCGGUGGAGCUCUGUGGGGCCCACGAGGGUGGGGGCCACGCCUACCCCCCUGGGCGCGCCCUCCUACCUCGUGGCUGCCUUGCGGAGUUCCAGACUUGAACUCCAAGUCUUCUGGAUUGCGUUUGUUCCAAAAAAGAUCCUCGCGAAGGUUUCAUUCCGUUUGGUAUUCCUCUUCUGCAAAACACUGAAAUAGGCAAAAAAACAUAAACUAGCACUGGGCCUUUGGUUAAUAGGUUAGUCCCAAAAAUAAUAUAAAAGAGCAUAUUAAAGCCCAUUAAACAUCCAAAACAGAUAAUAUAAUAGCAUGGAAUAAUCAAAAAUUAUAGAUACGUUGGAGACGCAUCAAGCAUCCCCAAGUUUAAUUCCUGCUCGUCCUCGAGUAGGUAAAUGAUAAAAACAGAAUUUUUGAUGUGGAAUGCUACCUAACAUAAUUUUCAAUGUAAUUCUCUUUAUUGUGGCAUGAAUUUUCAGAUCCAUAAGAUUCAAAAUAAAAGUUUAAUACUGACAUAAAAAACAAUAAUACUUCAAGCAUACUAAUAAAGCAAUCACGUCUUCUCAAAAUAACAUGGCCAAAGAAAGUUAUCCCUACAAAAUCAUAUAGUCUGGCUAUGCUCUAUCUUCAUCACACAAAGUAUUUAAUCAUGCACAACCCCGAUGACAAGCCAAGCAAUUGUUUCAUACUUUUGAUGUUCUCAAACCUUUUCAAUCUUCACGCAAUACAUGAGCGUGAGCCAUGGACAUAGCACUAUAGGUGGAAUAGAAUGGUGGUUGUGGAGAAGACAAAAAAGGAGAAGAUAGUCUCACAUCAACUAGGCGUAUCAACGGGCUAUGGAGAUGCCCAUCAAUAGAUAUCAAUGUGAGUGAGUAGGGAUUGUCAUGCAACGGAUGCACAAGAACUAUAAGUGUAUGAAAGCUCAACAAAAGAAACUAAGUGGGUGUGCAUCCAACUUGCUUGCUCACGGAGACCUAGGGCAAUUUGAGGAAGCCCAUCAUUGGAAUAUACAAGCCAAGUUCUAUAAUGAAAAAUUUCCCACUAGUAUAUGAAAGUGACAACAUAGGAGACUCUCUAUCAUGAAGAUCAUAGUGCUACUUUGAAGCACAAGUGUGGUAAAAGGAUAGUAGCAUUGCCCCUUCUCUCUUUUUCUCUCAUUUUUUUAUUUGGGCCUUUCUCUUUUUUUAUGGCCUCUUUUUUUCGUCCGGAGUCUCAUCCCGACUUGUGGGGGAAUCACGGUCUCCAUCAUCCUUUCCUCACUGGGACAAUGCUCUAAUAAUGAUGAUCAUCACACUUUUAUUUACUUACAACUCAAGAAUUACAACUCAAUACUUAGAACAAAAUAUGACUCUAUGUGAAUGCCUCCGGCGGUGUACCGGGAUGUGCAAUGAUUCAAGAGUGACAUGUAUGAAAAAUUAUGAACGGUGGCUUUGCCACAAAUACGAUGUCAACUACAUGAUCAUGCAAAGCAAUAUGACAAUGAUCAAGCGUGUCAUAAUAAACGGAACGGUGGAAAGUUGCAUGGCAAUAUAUCUCAGAAUGGCUAUGGAAAUGCCAUAAUAGGUAGGUAUGGUGGCUGUUUUGAGGAAGGGAUAUGGUGGGUGUAUGAUACCGGCGAAAGAUGCGCGGUAUUAGUGAUGCUAGCAAUGGUGGAAGGGUGAGAGUGCGUAUAAUCCAUGGACUCAACAUUAGUCAUAAAGAACUCACAUACUUAUUGCAAAAAUCUAUUAGUUAUCGAAACGAAGUAGUAUGCGCAUGCUCCUAGGGGGGUAGAUUGGUAGGAAAAGACCAUUGCUCGUCCCCGACCGCCACUCAUAAGGAAGACAAUCAAUAAAUAAAUCAUGCUCCGACAUCAUCACAUAACGAUUCACCAUACGUGCAUGCUACGGGGAUCACAAACUUUAACACAAGUAUCUCUCAAAUUCACAACUACUCAACUAGCAUGACUCUAAUAUCACCAUCUUCAUAUCUCAAAACAAUCAUAAUGAAUCAAACUUCUCAUAGUACUCAAUGCACUUUAUAAGAUAGUUUUUAUUAUACCCAUCUUGGAUGCUCAUCAUAUUAGGACUAAUUUUAUAGCCAAAGCAAAUUACCAUGCUGUUCUAAAAGACUCUCAAAAUAAUAUAAGUGAAUCAUGAGAGUUCAAUAAUUUCUAUAAAAUAAAACCACCACCACGCUCUAAAAAGAUAUAAGUGAAGCACUAGAGCAAAAUUAUCUAGCUCAAAAGAUAUAAGUGAAGCACAUAGAGUAUUCUAAUAAAUUCCGAUUCAUGUGUGUCUGUCCAAAAGGUGUGUACAGCAAGGAUGAUUGUGGUAAACUAAAAAGCAAAGACUCAAAUCAUACAAGACGUUCCAAGCAAAACACAUAUCAUGUGGUGAAUAAAAAUAUAGCCUCAAGUAAAGUUACCGAUAGACGAAGACGAAAGAGGGGAUGCCUUCCGGGGCAUCCCCAAGCUUAGGCUUUUGGUUGUCCUUGAAUUUUACCUUGGGGUUCCUUAGGCAUCCCCAAGCUUAGGCUCUUGCCACUCCUUAUUCCAAAAUCCAUCAAAUCUUUACUCAAAACUUGAAAACUUCACAACACAAAACUUAAAAAGAAAAUCUCAUGAGCUACAUUAGUAUAAGAAAAUAAACCACCACUUUAAGGUACUGUAAUGAACUCAUUCUUUAUUUAUAUUGGUGUUAAACCUACUGUAUUCCAACUUCUCUAUGGUUCAUACCCCCCGAUACUACUCAUAGAUUCAUCAAAAUAAGCAAACAACACACAAAAAACAGAAUCUGUCAAAACAGAACAGUCUGUAGCAAUCUGUAUCAAACGAAUACUUAUGGAACUCCAAAAAUUCUGAAAUAAAUUGGUGGACGUGAGGAAUUUGUCUAUUAAUCAUCUGCAAAAAGAAUCAACCUAAAAUCACUCUCCAGUAAAAAAUGGCAUCUAGUCUCGUGAGCGCAAAAGUUUCUGUUUUUUACAGCAAGAUUGCAAAGACUUCACCCAUGUCUUCCCAAAGGUUCUACUUGGCACAAACACUAAUUAAAACAUCAAACCACAUCUAAACAGAGGCUAUAUGAAUUAUUUAUUACUAAACAGGAACAAAAAGCAAAGAACAAAAAUAAAAUUGGGUUGCAUCCUGAUACGUCCAUUUUGCAUCAUGCUUUUAUAUCGAUAUUUAUUGCAUUAUGGGCUGUUAUUACACAUUAUGUCACAAUACUUAUGCCUAUUCUCUCUUAUUUUACAAGGUUUACAUAAGGAGGGAGAAUGCCGGCAGCUGGAAUUCUGGGCUGGAAAAGGAGCAAAUAUUAGAGACCUACUCUGCAUAACUCCAAAAGUCCUGAAACUCCACGAAAGUUAUUUUUGGAAAUAAUAAAAAAUAUUGAGCGGAAGAAAUACGUCAGGGGGGCCUCCUCCUGGCCACGAGGGUGGGGCGCGCCCCCUGCCUCGUGGGCCCCUUGUUGGCCCUCCGGUGCCCAUCUUCUGCUAUAUGAAGUCUUUCGUCCGAAGAAAAAUCAUAAGCAAGCUUUCGGGACGAGACUCCACCGCCACGAGGCGGAACCUUGGCGGAACCAAUCUAGGGCUCCGGCAGAGCUGUUCUGCCGGGGACACUUCCCCCCGGGAGGGGGAAAUCAUCGCCAUCGUCAUCACCAACGCUCCUCUCAUCGGGAGAGGGCAAUCUCCAUCAACAUCUUCACCAGCACCAUCUCCUCUCAAACCCUAGUUCAUUUCUUGUAUCCAAUUCUUGUCUCCAAGUCCGGUAUUGGUACCUGUAGGUUGCUAGUAGUGUUGAUUACUCCUAGUAGUUGAUGCUAGUUGGUUUAUUUGGUGGAAGAUCAUAUGUUCAGAUCCUUUAUGCAUAUUAAUACUCCUCUGAUUAUGAACAUUAAUAUGCUUUGUGAGUAGUUACGUUUGUUCCUGAGGACAUGGGAGAAGUCUUGUUAUUAGUAGUCAUGUGAAUUUGGUAUUCGUUCGAUAUUUUGAUGAGAUGUAUGUUGUCUAUCCUCUAGUGGUGUUAUGUGAAUGUCGACUACAUAACACUUCACCAUUAUUUGGGCCUAUAGGAAGGCAUUGGGAAGUAAUAAGUAGAUGAUGGGUUGCUAGAGUGACAGAAGCUUAAACCCUAGUUUAUGCGUUGCUUCGUAAGGGGCUGAUUUGGAUCCAUAUGUUUCAUGCUAUGGUUAGGUUUACCUUAAUACUUUUGUUGUAGUUGCGGAUGCUUGCAAUAGAGGUUAAUCAUAAGUGGGAUGCUUGUUCAAGUAAGAACAGCACCCAAGCACGGGUCCACCCACAUAUCAAAUUAUCAAAGUACCGAACGCGAAUCAUAUGAACGUGAUGAAAACUAGCUUGACGAUAAUUCCCAUGUGUCCUCGGGAGCGCUUUUCUUUAUAUAAGAGUUUGUCCAGGCUUGUCCUUUGCUACAAAAGGGAUUGGGCCACCUUGCUGCACCUUAUUUACUUUUGUUACUUGUUACUCAUUACAAAUUAUCUUAUCACAAAACUAUCUGUUACCUAUUAUUUCAGUGCUUGCAGAGAAUACCUUGCUGAAAACCGCUUAUCAUUUCCUUCUGCUCCUCGUUGGGUUCGACACUCUUACUUAUCGAAAGGACUACGAUAGAUCCCCUAUACUUGUGGGUCAUCAAGACUCUUUUCUGGCGCCGUUGCCGGGGAGUGAAGCGCCUUUGGUAGGUGAAAUUUGGUAAGGAAAAAUUUAUAUAGUGUGCUGAAAUUUACGGUCACUUGUUACUAUGGAAAGUAAUCCUCUGAGGGGCUUGUUCGGGGUAUCUUCACCCCGACCAGUAGAGCAAAGAGUUGCUCCUCAACCUACUGAACCUACUGAAGAUGAAAAUGUCCACUUUGAAAUUCCAUCGGGUAUGUUAGAAAAACUGCUAGCUAAUCCUUUUGCAGGAGAUGGAACAAAGCAUCCUGAUGAGCACCUAAUAUAUGUGGAUGAAGUUUGUGCAUUAUUUAAGCUUGCAGGUAUACCCGGUGAUUUUAUUAAGAAGAAGGUCUUCCCUUUAUCUUUGAAGGGAGAUGCAUUGACAUGGUAUAGGCUAUGUGAUGAUACGGGAUCAUGGAACUACAAACGAUUGAAAUUGGAAUUUCAUCAGAAAUUUUAUCCUAUGCAUCUUGUUCAUCGUGAUCGCAAUUAUAUAUAUAAUUUUUGGCCUCGAGAAGGAGAAAGCAUCGCUCAAGCUUGGGGGAGGCUUAAAUCAAUGUUAUAUUCAUGCCCCAAUCAGGAGCUCUCAAGAGAAACGAUUAUUCAAAAUUUUUAUGCUCGGCUUUCUGAUAACAAUCGCACCAUGCUCGAUACUUCUUGUGCUGGCUCUUUUAUGAUGAAGACUAUUGAAUUCAAAUGGGAUUUAUUGGAUAGAAUUAAACGCAACUCUGAAGAUUGGGAUCUCGACGAAGGUAAGGAGUCAGGUAUGACACCUAAGUUUGAUUGUGUUAAAUCUUUUAUGGAUACCGAUGUUUUCCGUAAAUUUAGCACUAAAUAUGGACUUGACUCUGAGAUAGUAGCUUCUUUCUGUGAAUCUUUUGCUGCUUAUGUUGAUCUCCCUAAGGAGAAGUGGUUUAAAUAUCAUCCUCCCAUAGAAGUAAAAGUAGUUGCACCUAUUCAAGUUGAAGAAAAGACUAUCACUUAUAAUGAUCCUAUUGUUCCUACUUCUUAUGUUGAGAAACCACCUUUCCCUGUUAGGAUAAAGGAUCGUGAUAAAGCUUCAACUGUGGUUCGUAAAAGCAAUAUUAGAACUUAUACACCUCCUGAGCAAAUUAAAGUUGAACCUAAUAUUGCUAUUGUUAAAGAUCUCUUGUCUGAUAAUAUCGAUGGGCAUGUUAUUCAUGUCUGUGAUGAAACUGCUAGAAUUGCCAAACCUUGUGCUAAAGAUAAACAUAGACCUAUGGUAGGCAUGCCUCUUAUUUCUGUUAAAAUAGGAGAUCAUUGUUAUCAUGGCUUAUAUGAUAUGGGUGCCAGUGCUAGUGCUAUACCUCAUGACUUAUACAAAGAAAUUAUGCAUGAUAUUGCACCUACUGAGAUAGAAGAUAUUGAUGUUACCAUCAAGCUUGCCAAUAGAGAUACCAUAUCACCCAUUGGAAUUGUUACAGAUGUUGAAGUCUUAUGUGGGAAAACUAAAUAUCCUGCUGAUUUUCUUGUUCUUGGCUCCCCACAAGAUAGCUUUUGCCCCAUUAUAUUUGGUAGACCCUUCUUGAAUACUGUUAAUGUUAAGAUAGACUGCAAAAAGGAUGUCGUUACUAUUGGUUUGGGUGAUAUGUCUCAUGAGUUUAAUUUCUCUAAAUUUAGUAGACAACACCAUGAAGAGGAAUUGCCUAGUAAGGAUGAAAUUAUUGGUCUUGCUUCUAUUGUCGUACCUCCUAGUGAUCCUUUAGAACAAUAUUUGCUAGACCAUGAAAAUGAUAUGUUUAUGAAUGAAAGAAGGGAAAUAGAUGAAGUAUUCUUUAAACAGGAACCUAUCCUGAAACACAAUUUGCCUGCUGAAAUCCUAGGGGAUCCUCCUCCACCCAAGGGUGAUCCCGUGUUUGAGCUUAAACCGUUGCCAGAUACUCUUAAAUAUGCUUAUCUUGAUGAGAAAAAGAUAUAUCCUGUUAUUAUUAGUGCUAACCUUUCAGAGCAUGAAGAAGAGAGAUUAUUGAAAACUCUGAGGAAGCACUGUGCUGCUAUUGGAUAUACUCUUGAUGAUCUUAAGGGCAUUAGUCCCACUCUAUGUCAACAUAAAAUAAAUUUGGAGGAAGAUGCCAAACCAGUUCGUGAUCAUCAACGACGGCUUAAUCCUAAGAUGAAAGAAGUAGUAAGAAAGGAAAUACUAAAGCUUCUUGAGGCAGGUAUUAUUUAUCCCGUUGCUGAUAGUCAGUGGGUAAGUCAUGUCCAUUGUGUUCCUAAGAAGGGAGGUAUUACCGUCGUUCCUAAUGAUAAAGAUGAGUUGAUACCGCAAAUAAUUAUUACAGGUUAUAGGAUGGUAAUUGAUUUCCGCAAAUUAAAUAAGGCUACUAAAAAGAUCAUUACCCCUUACCUUUUAUCGAUCAAAUGCUAAAAAGAUUAUCCAAACAUACACAUUUUUGCUUUCUAGAUGGUUAUUCUGGUUUCUCUCAAAUACCUGUGUCAGCCAAUGAUCAAUCAAAGACUACUUUUACUUGCCCUUUUGGUACUUUUGCUUAUAGACGUAUGCCUUUUGGUUUAUGUAAUGCAGCUGCUACCUUUCAAAGAUGCAUGAUGGCUAUAUUCUCUGACUUUUGUGAAAAGAUUUGUGAGGUUUUCAUGGACGAUUUCUCCGUCUAUGGAUCCUCUUUUGAUGAUUGCUUGAGCAACCUUGAUCGAGUUUUGUAGAGAUGUGAAGAAACUAAUAUUGUUUUGAAUUGGGAAAAGUGCCACUUUAUGGUUAAUGAAGGUAUUGUCUUGGGGCAUAAAGUUUCUGAAAGAGGUAUUGAAGUUGAUAAAGCCAAGGUUGAUGCUAUUGAAAAGAUGCUAUGUCCCAAGGACAUCAAAGGUAUAAGAAGUUUCCUUGCUCACACUGAUUUUUAUAGGAGGUUCAUUAAGGACUUCUCAAAAAUUUCUCGGCCUCUGACUAAUUUAUUACAAAAGGAUAUACCAUUUGUCUUUCAUGAUGAUUGUGUAGAAGCAUUUGAAAUACUUAAGAAAGCAUUGAUUUCUGCACCUAUUGUACAGCCACCUGAUUGGAAUUUACCCUUUGAAAUUAUGUGUGAUGCUAGUGAUUAUGCUGUAGGUGCUGCUCUAGGGCAAAGAGUUGAUAAGAAAUUAAAUGUUAUUCAAUAUGCUAGUAAAACUCUAGACAAUGCUGAGAGAAAUUAUGCUACUACUGAAAAAGAAUUCUUAGCAGUUGUAUUUGCAUGUGAUAAGUUUAGACCUUAUAUUGUUGAUUCUAAAGUAACUAUUCACACUGAUAAUGCUGCUAUUAAAUAUCUUAUGGAAAAGAAAGAUGCUAAACCUAGACUUAUUAGAUGGGUUCUCUUGCUACAAGAAUUUGAUUUGCAUAUCAUUGAUAGAAAGGGAGCUGAGAACCCCGUUGCAGACAACUUGUCUAGGUUAGAAAAUGUUCUUGAUGACCCACUACCUAUCGAUGAUAGCUUUCCGAAUGAACAACUAAAUGUCAUAAAUGCUUCUCAUACUGCUCCUUGGUAUGCUGAUUAUGCUAAUUACAUCGUUGCUAAAUUUAUACCACCUAGUUUCACAUACCAGCAAAAGAAAAUGUUUUUCUAUGAUUUGAGACAUUAAUUUUGGGAUGACCCACAUCUUUAUAAAGAAGGAGUAGAUGGUGUUAUUAGAUGUUGUGUACCUGAGCAUGAACAGGAACACAUCCUACGCAAGUGUCACUCCGAGGCUUAUGGAGGACACCACGCUGGAGAUAGAACUGCACAUAAGGUAUUGCAAUCCGGUUUUUAUUGGCCUACUCUCUUCAAGGAUGCCCGUAAGUUUGUCUUAUCUUGUGAGGAAUGUCAAAGAAUUGGUAAUAUUAGUAGACGUCAAGAAAUGCCUAUGAACUAUUCACUUGUUAUUGAACCAUUUGAUGUUUGGGACUUUGAUUAUAUGGGACCUUUUCCUGCCUCUAAUGGAUACACACAUAUUUUAGUUGUUGUUGAUUACGUUACUAAGUGGGUAGAAGCUAUUCCAACUAGUAGUGCUGAUCAUAACACUUCUAUUAAAAUGCUUAAAGAAGUUAUUUUCCCGAGGUUUGGAGUCCCUAGAUAUUUAAUGACUGAUGGUGGUUCACAUUUUAUUCAUGGUGCUUUUCGUAAAAUGCUUGCUAAGUAUGAUGUUAAUCAUAGAAUUGCAUCUCCUUAUCACACGCAGUCUAGUGGUCAAGUAGAAUUGAGUAAUAGAGAGAUCAAAUUAAUUUUGCAAAAGACUGUUAAUAGAUCUAGAAAGAAUUGGUCCAAGAAACUUGAUGAUGCAUUAUGGGCUUAUAGAACUGCAUACAAAAAUCCUAUGGGUAUGUCUCCGUAUAAAAUGGUUUAUGGAAAAGCAUGUCACUUACCUCUUGAACUAGAACAUAAGGCUUAUUGGGCUAUUAAGGAGCUCAACUAUGAUUUCAAACUUGCCGGUGAGAAGAGGUUAUUUGACAUUAGCUCACUUGAUGAAUGGAGAACCCAAGCCUAUGAAAAUGCCAAAUUGUUUAAAGAAAAAGUUAAAAGAUGGCAUGACAAAAGAAUACAAAAGCGUGAGUUUAAUGUAGGUGAUUAUGUAUUGCUAUACAACUCUCGUUUAAGAUUUUUUGCAGGAAAACUUCUCUCUAAAUGGGAAGGCCCUUACGUUAUCGAGGAGGUCUAUCGUUCCGGUGCCAUAAAAAUCAACAACUUCGAAGGCACAAAUCCGAAGGUGGUGAACGGUCAAAGAAUUAAACAUUAUAUCUCAGGUAAUCCCAUAAAUGUUGAAACCAAUGUUAUUGAAACCGUAACCCCGGAGGAAUACAUAAGGGACACUUUCCAGAACGUUUCAGACUCCGAAAAGGAAUAGGUAUGUGGUACGGUAAGUAAACCGACUCCAAAACAGUUUUUAUGGCAAUAUUUCUCCGUUUUGGAAUAUUUAGAAAAAUAGAAAAAUAAGAAGCAGUCCGGGAAGGACACGAGGCCUCCACGAGGAUGGAGGGCGCACCCUACCCUACUGGGGGCGCCCCCUACCUCGUGAGCACCUCGUGUGCUCUCUGGACUCCGUUUUCUUGCACGAUACGUAUUUUGGUCAGUAAAAAUUCAUUAUAUAUUCUCCCGAAGGUUUUGACUCCUGUAUCACGCAAUUGUCCUCUGUUCUUGUUUCGAGCAGUUUUCUGUCAGGAUUGUCAAGGCCAGGCAUCAUGUCGUCCCCCUCCUCCAACAAUGGUGACAAUGAUGCUUGGCUAAUGAAGAUAGAGCUGAAGAGGGAAGAACCCGUGGAGAUCAACAAGGAUGAAGGGAUCAAGAAGGCCACGGAGGACCAAGUUCCGGCAGCAGGAGACACCCUUCAACUCGAUCACAAUCUUCUUACUCCAACUGAGAUCGAAGCUUUCAAGAUGAUUGAGUUAGCUCGUAUACAAAACAAGUAUCUCACACGUGAAAAUAUUUUAUUGAAGGAGCAUAUCGUCGCACUCAAGGGCAUCAUCCGCAAGUUGGAGGAUCUCUUACGCUCGAUGUGCGAUUACCAAUCAUCAACAACUCCACCUUCUUCACCAGCAAAGGAGACAUAAUCGUAUGGGUAUGGGCACUCCCCUUGGCAACUGCCAAGCUUGGGGGAGGUGCCCCGGUAUCGUAUCACCAUCAUACUCCUAUCCUUACCGUUUUUGUUAGUUGAUCCUAUUUAGUAGUAUCUUGAUCUAGUAGAAUAAAAGUUUUGGUAUGAUCUAGUUUUGAGUUUUGCUUUAUGAUCUCUCUAUGUAAUCGAGUCCGUGAGCCAUAUAUAAUAAAGAUUAGUGUUGAGUCAAGGGCUUGAUUAUUUUGCUAUGAUCUUGAGUGAAUAAAAGGAAAGAGAAAAGAAUAAAAAGGAACAAAAAUAUCAUAUUGAUCUUAUUGAGAGUAAUGACUUCACAUAGAAAGAGUAUGAUGAUUAAAAAUUGUUGAGAGUUGACAAACAUAGCUUUGGUCAUCAUUGCAAUUAAUAGGAAGUAAUAAAGAAAGAGAGGUUUCACAUAUAAAUAUACUAUCUUUGACAUCUUUUAUGAUUGGGAGCACUCAUUAAAAUAUGACAUGCUAAAGAGAUGAUGUUGGACAAGGAAGACAACGUAAUGGGUUAUGUUUUCUUAUAUCUGAGAUAAAGUAUAUUGUCAUGGAUCAUCCAACAUGUUGAGCUUGCCUUUCCCCCUCAUGCUAGCCAAAUUAUUUGCACCAAGUAGAGAUACUACUUGUGCUUCCAAAAACCCUUAAACUAGUUUUGCCAUGAGAGUCCACCAUAUCUACCUAUGGAUUGAGUAAGAUCCCUCAAGUAAGUUGUCAUCGGUGCAAGCAAUAAAAAUUGCUCUCUAAAUAUCUAUGAUUGAUUGGUGUGGAGGAAAUAAGAUUUAUACGAUCUUGUGAUGUGGAAGAAAUAAAAGCGACGGACUGCAUAAUAAAGGUUCAUAUCACAAGUGGCAAUAUAAAGUGACGUUCUUUCGCAUUAAGAUUUUGUGCAUCCAACCCUGAAAGCGCAUGGCAACCUCUGCUUCCCUCUGCGAAGGGCCUAUAUUUUAUUAUUACCUUCUAUCUUAUGCAAGAGUCAUGGUGAUUUUCACCUUUCCUUUUUACAUUUUAUCCUUUGGCAAGCACAGGAUGUUGGAAAGAUCCUGAUAUAUAUAUCUAAUUGGAUGUAGGUUAGCAUGAAUUAUUAUUGUUGACAUUACCCUUGAGGUAAAAGGUUGGGAGGCGAAACUAUAAGCCCCUAUCUUUCUCUGUGUCCGACUAAAACUCCGUAACCACAAGUAUUGCGUGAGUGUUAGCAAUUAUGAAAGACUAAAUGAUAGUUGAGUAUGUGGACUUGCUAGAAAGCUCUGACAUAGACUCUUUCUGAUGUUAUGAUAAAUUGCAAUUGCUUCAAUGACUGAGAUUAUAGUUUGUUGGUUCUCAAUAAAGUUUCUGAUUCAUACUUUGCAUUGUGAAUAGAUUAUUACUUGAGCAUAAGAAAUCAUAUGACAAUAUCCAUAUAUGUUGCUGUUAUGAGGACAAGCGUGGUCUAAGCUUGGGGGAGUUGAUACGUCCAUUUUGCAUCAUGCUUUUAUAUCGAUAUUUAUUGCAUUAUGGGUUGUUAUUACACAUUAUGUCACAAUACUUAUGCCUAUUCUCUCUUAUUUUACAAGGUUUACAUAAGGAUGGAGAAUGCCGGCAGCUGGAAUUCUGGGCUGGAAAAGGAGCAAAUAUUAGAGACCUACUCUGCACAACUCCAAAAGUCCUGAAAACUCCACGAAAGUUAUUUUUGGAAAUAAUAAAAAAUAUUGAGCGGAAGAAAUACGUCAGGGGGGCCUCCACCUGGCCACGAGGGUGGGGGGCGCGCCCUACCCCCCUGGGCGCGCCCCCUGCCUCGUGGGCCCCCUGUUGGCCCUCCGGUGCCCAUCUUCUGCUAUAUGAAGUCUUGCGUCCGAAGAAAAAUCAUAAGCAAGCUUUCGGGACGAGACUCCGCCGCCACGAGGCGGAACCUUGGCGGAACCAAUCUAGGGCUCCGGCAGAGCUGUUCUGCCGGGGACACUUCCCUCCGGGAGGGGGAAAUCAUCGCCAUCGUCAUCACCAACACUCCUCUCGUCGGGAGAGGGCAAUCUCCAUCAACAUCUUCAUCAGCACCAUCUCCUCUCAAACCCUAGUUCAUCUCUUGUAUCCAAUUCUUGUCUCCAAGUCCGGGAUUGGUACCUGUAGGUUGCUAGUAGUGUUGAUUACUCCUAGUAGUUGAUGCUAGUUGGUUUAUUUGGUGGAAGAUCAUAUGUUCAGAUCCUUUAUGCAUAUUAAUACUCCUCUAAUUAUGAACAUGAAUAUGCUUUGUGAGUAGUUACGUUUGUUCCUGAGGUCAUGGGAGAAGUCAUGUUAUUAGUAGUCAUGUGAAUUUGGUAUUCGUUCGAUAUUUUGAUGAGAUGUAUGUUGUCUAUCCUCUAGUGGUGUUAUGUGAACGUCGACUACAUAACACUUCACCAUUAUUUGGGCCUAGAGGAAGGCAUUGGGAAGUAAUAAGUAGAUGAUGGGUUGCUAGAGUGACAGAAGCUUAAACCCUAGUUUCUGCGUUGCUUCGUAAGGGGCUGAUUUGGAUCCAUAUGUUUCAUGCUAUGGUUAGGUUUACCUUAAUACUUUUGUUGUAGUUGCGGAUGCUUGCAAUAGAGGUUAAUCAUAAGUGGGAUGCUUGUUCAAGUAAGAACAGCACCCAAGCACCGGUCCACCCACAUAUCAAAUUAUCAAAGUACCAAACGCGAAUCAUAUGAACGUGAUGAAAACUAGCUUGACGAUAAUUCCCAUGUGUCCUCGGGAGCGCUUUUAUUUAUAUAAGAGUUUGUCCAGGCUUGUCCAUUGCUACAAAAGGGAUUGGGCCACCUUGCUGCACCUUAUUUACUUUUUUUACUAGUUGCUCGUUACAAAUUAUCUUAUCACAAAACUAUCUGUUACCUAUUAUUUCAGUGCUUGCAGAGACUACCUUGCUGAAAACCGCUUAUCAUUUCCUUCCGCUCCUCGUUGGGUUCGACAUUCUUACUUAUCGAAAGGACUACGAUAGAUCCCCUAUACUUGUGGGUCAUCACCUCCCAACAAGCGCUGUCGUCUAACGCCCCUAGCUAGGCAUAAAAACAAGAAUAGAUCUAGGUAUUGCCAUCUUCUCCCUUUUGGUGAUAAAGAGAAAAUUUCUUAUCUAAAGCACUUAUCUUUCUAUUUUUUGAAAGCAUGUGGCCAUUAAUGGAAGAAGAAAGAUUAAGCACACUACAAAAAUUUGCAUCUAAACUAGCCUUCAUCUCUUUGAUAAUUUCAUUCUGAUAAAAACACAAAAUAGAAGUAGAUUCAACUUUUUCACUCAUAGGGUGCCCAAAUAUAGCUUUCAUCUUUUCAUAGGUAUCAAUGGCAUCCCCCUUAAGAAAACCUUCUUCAAAAAUAGAAUCCAAAACUUGCUUAAAAGAAGAAGGUAAGUCAACAUAAAAACUUUUUAAGUAUAUCUCGAUUUGAUAUUGGGGCACAUAGCUAGCUCGGAUCCUUAAUAGCCUAUCCCAAGCAUCUUUCAAAGUUUCAUCAAGAAAAUAACAUAAAAUUCCGGGGUUAUCUUCAUCGACAUUAUUCAAACUUUCAUCGAUAACCCCGAUAGGUCUUUCCACAACAUCAUUAUUUAUGAGCUUAGAAAGGACAGAGGGACAAUCCAAACUAUUAAAACCCAGGAGAAAACCCUUAGCCCCUUUUGGUUCGGCCAUGGCGAUAGAAAUACAAAGGUUUUUGAAAAUCGUUUUAGAAGUGGGGGAGCAGAAAACGAGAGGCGAAUGGCAAAUAAUGUAAUGCGAGGGAGAAGAGUUUAUGAUGGAUACUUGGUAUGUCUUGACUUGAGCGUAGAUCUCCCCGGCAAUGGCGCCAGAAAUUCUUCUUGCUACCUCUUGAGCAUGUGUUCGUUUUCCCUUGAAGAGGAAAGGGUGAUGUAGCAAAGUAGCGUAAGUAUUUCCCUCAGUUUUUGAGAACCAAGGUAUCAAUCCAGUAGGAGAUUACACGCAAGUCACCUAGUACCUGCACAAACAAUCAAGAACCUUGCAACCAACGCGAUAAAGGGGUUGUCAAUCCCUUCACGGUCACUCGCAAAAGUGAGAUCUAAUAAAGAUAGUAAAGUAAAUAUUUUUGGUAUUUUUGUUGUAUAGAUUGAAAAGUAAAGAUUGCAAAAUAAAAUAAAUAGGAAACUAGAACUAUAGAUCGGAAACUUAUAUGAUGUAAACUAGACCCGGGGGCCAUAGGUUUCACUAGUGGCUUCUCUCAUGAUAGCAUGUAUUACGAUGGGUGAACAAAUUACUGCCGAGCAAUUGAUAGAAAAGCGCAUAGUUAUGAGAAUAUCUAGGCAAUGAUCAUGAAUAUAGGCAUCACGUCUAUGUCAAGUAGACCGAAACGAUUCUGCAUCUACUACUAUUACUCCACACAUCGACCGCUAUCCAACAUGCAUCUAGAGUAUUAAGUUCAUAAGAACAGAGUAACGCAUUAAGCAAGAUGACAUGAUGUAGAGGGAUAAACUCAAGUAAUAUGAUAUAAACCCCAUAUUUUUAUCCUCGAUGGCAACAACACAAUACGUGCCUUGCUGCCCCUACUGUCACUGGGAAAGGACACCGCAAGAUUGAAUCCAAAGCUAAACGCUUCUCCCAUUGCAAGAAAGAUCAAUCUAGUAGGCCAAACUAAACCGAUAAUUUGAAGAGACAUGCAAAGAUAUCAAAUCAUGCAUAUAAGAAUUCAGAGAAGAACCAAAUAUUAUUCAUAGAUAAUCUUGAUCAUAAAUCCACAAUUCAUCGGAUCUCGGCAAACACACCGCAAAAAGUAUUACAUCGAAUAGAUCUCCAAGAACAUCGAGGAGAACUUUGUAUUGAGAAUCAAAGAGAGAGAAGAAGCCAUCUAGCUAAUAACUAUGGACCCGAAGGUCUGUGGUAAACUACUCACGCUUCAUCGGAGAGGCUAUGCUGUUGAUGUAGAAGCCCUCCAUGAUCGAUUCCCCCUCCGGAAGAUCGCCGAAAAACGCCCCAAGAUGGGAUCUCACGGGUACAGAAGGUUGCGGCGGUGGAAAAGUGGUUUCGUGGCUCCCCCUGAUAUUUUUAGGGUAUAAAAGUAUAUAUAGGCGAAAGAAGUACGUCGGUGGAGCUCCGUGGGGCCCAUUGAAGGAAAUAUGCCCUGGAGGCAAUAAUAAAGUUAUUAUUUAUUUCCUCAUAUCAUGAUAAAUGUUUAUUAUUCAUGCUAGAAUUGUAUUAACCGGAACCAUAAUACAUGUGUGAAUAGAUAGACAAACAUAGUGUCACUAGUAUGCCUCUACUUGACUAGCUCGUUGAUCAAAGAUGGUUGAGUUUCCUAGCCAUAGACAUGAGUUGUCAUUUGAUAAACGGGAUCACAUCAUUAGGAGAAUGAUGUGAUUGACUUGACCCAUUCCGUUAGCUUAGCACUUGAUCGUUUUAGUUUACUGCUAUUGCUUUCUUCAUGACUUAUACAUGUUCCUAUGACUAUGAGGUUAUGCAACUCCCGAUUACCGGAGGAACACUUUGUGUGCUACCAAAUGUCACAACAUAACUGGGUGAUUAUAAAGGUGCUCUACAGGUGUCUCCGAUGGUACUUGUUGAGUUGGCAUAGAUCGAGAUUAGGAUUUGUCACUCCGAUUGUCGGAGAGGUAUCUCUGGGCCCUCUCGGUAAUGCACAUCACUAUUAUCCUUGCAAGCAAUGUGACUAAUGAAGUUAGUUGCGGGAUGAUGCAUUACGGAACGAUUAAGGAGACUUGCCGGUAACGAGAUUGAGCUAGGUAUUGAGAUACCGACGAUCGAAUCUCGGGCAAGUAACAUACCGAUAACAAAGGGAACAACGUAUGUUGUUAUGCGGUUUGACCGAUAAAGAUCUUCGUAGAAUAUGUAGGAACCAAUAUGAGCAUCCAGGUUCCGCUAUUGGUUAUUGACCGGAGACGUGUCUCGGUCAUGUCUACAUAGUUCUCGAACCCGUAGGGUCCGCACGCUUAACAUUCGGUGACGAUCGGUAUUAUGAGUUUAUGUGUUUUGAUGUACCGAAGGUAGUUCGGAGUCCCGGAUAUGAUCACGGACAUGAUGAGGAGUCUCGAAAUGGUCGAUACGUAAAGAUCGAUAUAUUGGAUGACUAUGUUCGGACACUGGAAGUGUUUCGGGAGGUUUCAGACAUAUACUAGAGUACCGGGGGGUUACCGGAACCCCCCAGGGCAGGCCGCGCGCCCGCUCCCCCUCUAGUCCGAAUUGGACAAGGAGGGGGCGGCGACCCCCUUUCCUUCCCCUCUCUCUCCUCCUUCCCCUUAUCCUACUCCAACUAGGAAAGGAGGAGUCCUACUCCCGGUGGGAGUAGGACUCCCCCCUUGGCGCGCCCUCCUCCUUGGUCGGCCGCCUCCCCCCUAGCUCCUUUAUAUACGGGGGCAGGGGGCACCCCAUAGACACAACAAUUGAUCAUUGAUCUUUUAGCCGUGUGCGGUGCCCCCCUCCACCAUAAUCCACCUCGGUCAUAUCGUAGCGGUGCUUAGGCGAAGCCCUGCGUCGGUAGCAUCAUCAUCACCGUCAUCACGCUAUCGUGCUGACGGAACUCUCCCUCGAAGCUCUGCUGGAUCGGAGUUCGUGGGACGUCAUCGAGCUGAACGUGUGCUGAACUCGGAGGUGCCGUACGUUCGGUACUUGGAUCGGUCGGAUCGUGAAGACGUACGACUACAUCAACCGCGUUGUUCUAACGCUUCCGCUUUCGGUCUACGAGGGUACGUGGACAACGCUCUCCCCUCUCAUUGCUAUGCAUCACCAUGAUCUUGCGUGUGUGUAGGAAUUUUUUUGAAAUUACUACGUUUCCCAACAGUGGCAUCCGAGCCAGGUUAUGCGUAGAUGUUAUAUGCAUGAGUAGAACACAAGUGAGUUGUGGGCGAUACAAGUCAUACUGCUUACCAGCAUGUCAUACUUUGGUUCGGCGGUAUUGUUGGAUAAAGCGGCCCGGACCGACAUUACGCGUACGCUUACGCGAGACUGGUUCUACCGACGUGCUUUGCACACAGGUGGCUGGCGGGUGUCAGUUUCUCCAACUUUAGUUGAACCGAGUGUGGCUACGCCCGGUCCUUUAGAAGGUUAAAACAACACUAACUUGACAAACCAUCGUUGUGGUUUUGAUGCGUAGGUAAGAACGGUUCUUGCUCAACCCGCAGCAGCCACGUAUAACUUGCAACAACAUAGUAGAGGACGUCUAACUUGUUUUUGCAGGGCAUGCUGUGAUGUGAUAUGGUCAAGACAUGAUGCUAUAUUUAUUGUAUGAGAUGAUCAUAUUUUGUAACGGAGUUAUGGGCAACUGGCAGGAGCCAUAUGGUUGUCGCUUUAUUGUAUGCAAUGCAAUCGCCCUGUAAUUGCUUUACUUUAUCACUAAGUGGUAGCGAUAGUCGUAGAAGCAAUAGUUGGCGAGGCGACAACGAUGCUACGAUGGAGAUCAAGGUGUCGCGCCGGUGACGAUGGUGAUCAUGACAGUGCUUUGGAGAUGGAGAUCAAAGGCACAAGAUGAUGAUGGCCAUAUCAUAUCACUUAUAUUGAUUGCAUGUGAUGUUUAUCCUUUAUGCAUCUUAUUCUGCUUUGAUUGACAGUAGCAUUAUAAGAUGAUCUCUCACUAAAUUUCAAGGUAUAAGUGUUCUCCCUAAGUAUGCACCAUUGCGAAAGUUCGUCGUGCCGAGACACCACGUGAUGAUCGGGUGUGAUAAGCUCUACGUUCAAAUACAACGGGUGUAAGCCAGUUUUGCACACGCAGAAUACUUGGGUUAAACUUGACGAGCCUAGCAUAUGCAGAUAUGGCCUCGGAACACUGAGACCGAAAGGUCGAGCAUGAAUCAUAUAGUAGAUAUGAUCAACAUAGUGAUGUUCACCAUUGAAAACUACUCCAUCUCACGUGAUGAUCGGACAUGGUUUAGUUGAGAUGGAUCACGUGAUCACUUAGAUGAUUCGAGGGAUGUCUAUCUAAGUGGGAGUUCUUAAGUAAUAUGAUGAAUUGAACUUAAAUUUAUCAUGAACUUAGUACCUGAUAGUAUUUUGCUUGUCUAUGUUGUUGUAGAUAGAUGGCCCGUGCUGUUGUUCCGUUGAAUUUUAAUGCGUUCCUUGAGAAAGCAAAGUUGAAAGAUGAUGGUAGCAAUUACACGGACUGGGUCCGUAACUUGAGGAUUACCCUCAUUGCUGCACAGAAGAAUUACAUUCUGGAAGCACCACUAGGUGCCAGGCCUGCUGCAGAUGCAACUGACGACGUUAAGAACGUCUGGCAGAGCAAAGCUGAUGACUACUCGAUAGUUCAGUGUGUCAUGCUUUACGGCUUAGAACCGGGACUUCAACGACGUUUUGAACGUCAUGGAGCAUAUGAGAUGUUCCAGGAGUUGAAGUUAAUAUUUCAAUCAAAUGCCCGGAUUGAGAGAUAUGAAGUCUCCAAUAAGUUCUAUAGCUGCAAGAUGGAGGAGAAUAGUUCUGUCAGUGAACAUAUACUCAAAAUGUCUGGGUAUAUAAUAAUCACUUGAUUCAACUGGGAGUUAAUCUUCUGGAUGAUAGUGUCAUUGACAGAAUUCUUCAAUCACUGCCACCAAGCUACAAGAGCUUUGUGAUGAAUUAUAAUAUGCAAGGGAUGGAUAAGAAAAUUCCCGAGCUCUUCGCAAUGCUAAAGGCUACGGAGGUAGAAAUCAAGAAGGAGCAUCAUGUGUUGAUGGUCAACAAGACCACCAGUUUCAAGAAAAAGGGUAAAGGGAAGAACAAGGGAAACUUCAAGAAUGGCAAACAAGUUGUUGCUCAGGAGAAGAAACCCAAGUCUGGACCUAAGCCUGAGACUGAGUGCUUCUACUGCAAACAGACUGGUCACUGGAAGCGGAACUGCCCCAAGUAUUUGGCGGAUAAGAAGGAUGGCAAGGUGAGCAAAGGUAUAUGUGAUAUACAUGUUAUUGAUGUGUACCUUACUAAUGCUCGCAGUAGCACCUGGGUAUUUGAUACUGGUUCUGUUGCUAAUAUUUGCAACUUGAAACAGGGACUACGGAUUAAGCGAAGAUUGGCUAAGGACGAGGUGACGAUGCGCGUGGGAAAUGGUUCCAAAGUCGAUGUGAUCGCGGUCGGCACGCUACCUCUACAUCUACCUUCGGGAUUAGUUUUAGACCUGAAUAAUUGUUAUUUGGUGCCAGCGUUGAGCAUGAACAUUGUAUUUGGAUCUUGUUUGAUGCGAGACGGUUAUUCAUUUAAAUCAGAGAAUAAUGGUUGUUCUAUUUAUAUGAGUAAUAUCUUUUAUGGUCAUGCACCCUUGAAGAGUGGUCUAUUUAUAUUAAAUCUUGAUAGUAGUGAUACACAUAUUCAUAAUAUUGAAGCCAAAAGAUGCAGAGUAGAUAAUGAUAGUGCAACUUAUUUAUGGCACUGCCGUUUAGGUCAUAUUGGUGUAAAGCGCAUGAAGAAACUCCAUACUGAUGGACUUUUGGAAUCACUUGAUUAUGAAUCACUUGGUACUUGCGAACCAUGCUGUGACGCCCGGAUAAUUAAGCUACAGUAAACCCCCGCUAAUGAUACCAGGUCAUCACUCCUACUGUUGCUAAUCCUCACUUGAUCCAAAUUAUGAUUCAAAUUCAAAUUCAAAUUUAAGUCCAAGAUUCAAAUUUCUCAAACAUGAAAAACAAAAUGUUCAAGGUGCUGUAAAUAAUCCCUGGAUAUUUUUCAUGUUGAAACCCAUAUUAUAUAAAUUGUUUAAAUGCCCUUAAAUGAAUAAAACAGGGGUUAAAACAAUAUUUUAAAUCACUUUUAAAGUUAUAAAAAUUCUAAGGCUUUUCAACUGCUUCUCAAACUUCUUGAGGCAGUGCUAAAUAUUACAUAAUAAUUAUUGAUACAAACUACACAUUUUACAAAAGUCUUUUGGAGCAAAAAGAAAAUGCAAAAUAGAAAAGACCAUGGGAAAACAGAAUAGUUUUUGUUAAAGAAAAGGAGAGAGGCCCCCACCCCUCCCUGGGCCUUAGCCUAGUUACCCCCAGGCCACAAGGCCCACCCCGCCCCCUGUAUAAUCCCUUCCCGAAACCCUAGCUAACCAUCAGAUCCCCCCGCACGAUCCCCUCGAUACCCCACCUCUUCCUCUCACCCCCUUCGAUCUGGAUCGGGGGCACCCGAUCCCGCCGCCCCGUCGCGACCCCCGACCUCGCCUCUGCCCCAACGGCAGCCGGCGCCCCCAUCGCCGCUACUGCCCCAUGCCGCCCAACGGCGACGGCCUUCCCGACGUCGCGCCCGACCCGCCGGCCAUGGAGGCCCCGUGCGCCCGCAGCUUCACCUCCAGCAGGCCGCCGCCUCACGCCGUCCUCGUCUCCACUCAACCUCAAGCGCGGCCACGCCUGAAGACCGCUGCCUCCGCCCCGCCGACCUCGCGCCGUCCUCUGCCCGCCGGAGGACCAUGGCGCCGCCGGCCACCCCGAACGCCUCCCCGGCCGCCCCCCUACGCUCCAUCUGUGAGCCCCGUCCGCCCUCCUCUCUCUCCCCCGUCGCCGGUUCCGUGGUCGUCGCCGCCUGACCGUGCGCCCGCCGCACCGGAUUGCGCCCUGCCUCUGCUUCGUCGCGUCGCCACCCGCACCUCACCUCUGACCUCGAGCGCUCGCGUCUGUCGCCGCUCCGUGUGCCACCGCAGCGCUCUGUCAUCGCCAGCGAACACGCACGCACGCGCGCGAGCGAUUGAACCGGCCCCUGGCCACUAACUCGUGGGCCCCGCAAGAUUAACCUCUAACCCUCCCACUAAACCUCACUGACGCCGGGCCCCGCUGACACUAAUAACCCUGUUAAAAAAUAACCCUAGUAUCUGACUAGAGUAUGACAGGCGGGCCCCGGCCUUUUACUUAAUAAAAUGUGUUAGUUAAAUUAGUUUAACCCUGAGUCACUUACAUGUGGGACCCGCAGCACUGUUCUUUCGGAUAAGGUUGACUAGGUCAGCUGCUGACUCAGCAGUGGGGCCCUCUGUCAGCCCCACUUACACAUCUCUGGGUACACUCUCUGUGUACCCAUGGCAAUUACACUUGAUAUAUUUUCGAAUUAAAAUAAAUCCUGUUAUUUUUUUUGAAAUGGUUUAAUCUUUGAAAAUUAAUUUAAAUUAAUCUAUAACUCGGAUGAAAAUGUUUUAUACAUGAAAGUUGCUCAGAACGACGAGACGAAUCCGGAUACGCGACCCGUUCGUCCGCCACACACCCUUAGCAUAUCCAACAUGCAACCUUUCCCCUGCAUUUCGUCUGCCCGAAAAUGCCGAACUUCGGGAAAACAUUCCUGGAUGUUUCCCCCCUUCGCCGGUAUCGUGUAGCACCGCGGUAGAACACCCCUAGCACUGCUUAUUGUCUUGUCAUGCUUAGUAUGGCACUUGUUUGCAUUAUAUUUACUGUUUCUUCCCCCUCUUCUCUUUGGUAGACCCCGAGACCGUUGCUGAUGCCCCUGUGAUCGACUACGUCGACGACGACCCUUCUUCCCUUUCAGCGGAGCUCCCAGGCAAGCCCCCCCUUUGAUCAUCCCGAUAUCGCCCAUUCCAUUCUCUCAUGCUUGCAUUAGAUUUUGCUGCUGUUAUUGAUUGCUCUUAUUCUGAUGCAUAGCCUGCUUUUGUACCUGCUAUUGUUACCUACCUGCUUAUCCUAAACUGCUUAGUAUAGGUUGGUUAGUGAUCCAUUAGUGACCCCCACCUUGUCCUUGUUGCCCCUGCUUCAUCAUCGAUGACUCAAUCAGCGUGAUCGACGACCAGAGCCCGACACCUCACACCACAUCACGCCCCUUUUGUUGCUCGACUCUGCAGAGCUACUAUCGAGUGCCGAGGGUGAUCCCUCAUAACGCACUCCUAAUGAUAAUUCUGUAGUGUAGCUAUUCGGUCGUGGUCAUCGAGGGUGAUUUCCUCUUUCACCAUUCCCGAUACGGCUCUGACGUGCAACACCUCAAGUGUGAACCUCGAGGGUGGUCCCUCUUACGUUCACCUUGAUGAUUACAUUGAGUGGAAUCCACCGGGGGUGAUUCCUCGGGUUUUCCCCUUGAUGUCUGGACACACAGUUACCUUGACUUUACUUGAGACCGUUGUGAAAGCCGGGCGGGCCCGGAGAGCACCCGUGCGAUGUGACAGUGGCGGCUGGCUGUUUAGCGGUAUCACCCAGGAGGGGGUGGUAGCUCCGGACUUGUCCCGAGAGCCGCCACUACUUUAAUUGUUAAUGCACUAACAGGUUUGGGUAUUUGUUCUGAAUUGGGCUUUGGCCUUUACGCACUAACCACCACGCGAGAAUAAUUAUGGGCCUUGACGUCGCAGUAUCAGCCGAAGCUUUGUCAGACGUCCAGUUCAGCAUUACGGCACCGCUGGGCCGGCACCAUCCUGUAGUGGUGGAGCCUGGUCCGCCCUGCUCGCAACGACCCGGAGUGCAACGGGCGAUGGGCCCAGGCCCUGGAGUGCUUAGGAUGUAGACCGGCGGGGACCUCUCUGCUGAGCCUAAGUAGGGCUACGACGUGUUGAUCUUCCGAGGCCGGGCAUUGACCCCAUAAAGGUGUGUCCGGUCAGAGUGAUCGAGCGUGUUGGAAAACGUGGUGCACCCCUGCAGGGAAGACAUAUAUUCGAAUACCGUGUCCACGGUAAUGGAUGUUCAGACUUAUAUCUUGAUCUAAUACAACUAGAAAUGGAUACUUAAGAUAUGUGGCUCCGGGAUUGCUUUCUCGUAGGGAGUCGAGGAAGGAUCUCUGGGCGUUAAUGUUACAACAUGUUUGAUAAUUAUAAAACUUCUAUUCUUUACUCUUCUACAUGCUGCAAGAUGCUUGGAGCUGCUUGAAGAUGCUAGUCUUCGAUAGGCUAGGCCUUCCCCCUAUUCUGGCAUUCUACAGCUCAAUCCACAGAUACAGCCCUUCCAUUUGAUACCAAUGCAUACUUAGUAUAGAUCUGAUGCUUGCGAGUACUUUGGAUGAGUACUCACGGUUGCUUUGCUACCCCUUUUCCCCCUUCCUUCUUCUUUCCGGUUGAUGCAACCAGAUGGUGGAUCCCUGGAGCUAGAUGCCACCGCCGACGGAUACUACUACAUGGAGACCGCCGACGACUAGGAGUAGCUAGGAGGUCCCAAGCAGGAGGCCUUGCCUCUUCGAUCGUUGAUGUUUGUGCUAGCCUUCUUAAGGCAAAACUUAUUUGACUUAUGUCUGUACUCAGAUAUUGUUGCUUCCGCUGACUCACUUAUGUAAUGAGCUAUGUAUUCGAGCCCUCGAGGCCCCUGGCUUGUAAUAUGGAGCUUGUAUGACUUUCAUUUGUGUCUAGAGUUGUGUUGUGAUAUCUUCCCGUGAGUCCCUGAUCUUGAUUGUACACGUUUGCGUGUAUGAUUAGUGUACGGUCGAGUCGGGGGCGUCACACAUGCCUCAUGGGCAAGAUGACUAAAACGCCGUUCUCCGGAACAAUGGAGCGAGCAACAGAUUUGUUGGAGAUCAUACAUACUGAUGUAUGUGGUCCAAUGAAUAUUGAGGCUCGCGGCGGGUAUCGUUAUUUUCUCACCUUCACAGAUGAUUUGAGCAGAUGUGGGUAUAUCUACUUAGUGAAACAUAAGUCUGAAACAUUUGGAAAGUUCAAAGAAUUUCAGAGUGAAGUGGAAAAUCAUCGUAACAAGAAAAUAAAGUUUUUACGAUCUGAUCGUGGAAGAGAAUAUUUGAGUUACGAGUUUGGUCUACAUUUGAAACAAUGCGGAAUAGUUUCGCAACUCACGCCACCCGGAACGCCACAGCGUAGUGGUGUGUCCGAACGUCGUAAUCGUACUUUAUUAGAUAUGGUGCGAUCUAUGAUGUCUUUUACUGAUUUACCGCUAUCGUUUUGGGGUUAUGCUUUAGAGACGGCUGCAUUCACGUUAAAUAGGGCACCAUUGAAAUCCGUUGAGACGACGCCUUAUGAACUGUGGUUUGGCAAGAAACCAAAGUUGUUGUUUCUUAAAGUUUGGGGCUGCGAUGCUUAUGUGAAAAAGCUUCAACCUGAUAAGCGCGAACCCAAAUCGGAGAAAUGUUUCUUCAUAGGAUACCCAAAGGAAACUACUGGGUACACCUUCUAUCAUAGAUCCGAAGGCAAGACAUUCGUUGCUAAGAAUGAAUCCUUUCUAGAGAAGGAGUUUCUAUCGAAAGAAGUGAGUGGGAGGAAGGUAGAACUUGAUGAGGUAACUGUACCUGCUCCCUUAUUGGAAAGUGGUUCAUCAUAGAAACCGGUUCCUAUGACACCUACACCAAUCAGUGAGGAAGCUAAUGAUAUUGAUCAUGAAACUUCAGAUCAAGUUACUACCGAACCUCAUAGGUCAACCAGAGUAAGAUCCACACCAGAGUGGUAUGGUAAUCCUAUUCUGGAGGUCAUGUUACUUGACCAAGGCGAACCUACGAACUAUGAAGAAGCGAUGGUGAGCCCAGAUUCCGCAAAAUGGCUUGAGGCCAUGAAAUUUGAGAUGGGAUCCAUGUAUGAGAACAAAGUGUGGACUUUGGUUGACUUGCCCGAUGAUCGGCAAGCCAUAGAGAAUAAAUGGAUCUUCAAGAAGAAGACUGACGCUGACGGUAAUGUUACUGUCUACAAAGCUCGACUUGUUGCGAAAGGUUUUCGACAAGUUCAAGGGGUUGACUAUGAUGAGACUUUCUCACCCGUAGCGAUGCUUAAGUCUGUCUGAAUCAUGUUAGCAAUUGCCGCAUUUUAUGAUUAUGAAAUUUGGCAAAUGGAUGUCAAAACUGCAUUCCUUAAUGGAUUUCUGGAAGAAGAGUUAUAUAUGAUACAACCAGAAGGUUUUGUCGAUCCAAAGGGAGCUAACAAAGUGUGCAAGCUCUAGCGAUCCAUUUAUGGACUGGUGCAAGCCUCUCGGAGUUGGAAUAAACGUUUUGAUAGUGUGAUCAAAGCAUAUGGUUUUAUACAGACUUUUGGAGAAGCAUGUAUUGACAAGAAAGUGAGUGGGAGCUCUGUAGCAUUUCUAAUAUUAUAUGUGGAUGACAUAUUGCUGAUUGGAAAUGAUAUAUAAUUUCUGGAUAGCAUAAAAGGAUACUUGAAUAAGAAUUUUUCAAUGAAAGACCUCGGUGAAGCUGCUUAUAUAUUGGGCAUCAAGAUCUAUAGAGAUAGAUCAAAACGCUUAAUUGGACUUUCACAAAGCACAUACCUUGACAAAGUUUUGAAGAAGUUCAAAAUGGAUCAAGCAAAGAAAGGGUUCUUGCCUGUGUUACAAGGUGUGAAGUUGAGUCAGACUCAAUGCCCGACCACUUCAGAAGAUAGAGAGAAAAUGAAAGAUGUUCCCUAUGCUUCGGCCAUAGGCUCUAUCAUGUAUGCAAUGCUGUGUACCAGACCUGAUGUGUGCCUUGCUAUUAGUUUAGCAGGGAGGUACCAAAGUAAUCCAGGAGUGGAUCAUUGGACAACGGUCAAGAACAUCCUGAAAUACCUGAAAAGGACUAAGGAUAUGUUUCUCGUUUAUGGAGGUGACAAAGAGCUCGUCGUAAAUGGUUACGUCGAUGCAAGCUUUGACACUGAUCCGGACGAUUCUAAAUCGCAAACCGGAUAUGUGUUUAUAUUGAACGGUGGAGCUGUCAGUUGGUGCAGUUCUAAACAAAGCGUCGUGGCGGGAUCUACGUGUGAAGCGGAGUACAUAGCUGCUUCGGAAGCAGCAAAUGAAGGAGUUCAUAUCCGAUCUAGGUGUCAUACCUAGUGUAUCGGGUCCAAUGAAAAUCUUUUGUGACAAUACUGGUGCAAUUGCCUUGGCAAAGGAAUCCAGAUUUCACAAGAGAACCAAGCACAUCAAGAGACGCUUCAAUUCCAUCCGGGAUCAAGUCCAAGUGGGAGACAUAGAGAUUUGCAAGAUACAUACGGAUCUCAAUAUUGCAGACCCGUUGACUAAGCCUCUUCCACGAGCAAAACAUGAUCAGCACCAAGACUCCAUGGGUGUUAGAAUCAUUACUAUGUAAUCUAGAUUAUUGACUCUAGUGCAAGUGGGAAACUGAAAGAAAUAUGCCCUAGAGGCAAUAAUAAAGUUAUUAUUUAUUUCCUCAUAUCAUGAUAAAUGUUUAUUAUUCAUGCUAGAAUUGUAUUAACCGGAACCAUAAUACAUGUGUGAAUAGAUAGACAAACAUAGUGUCACUAGUAUGCCUCUACUUGACUAGCUCGUUGAUCAAAGAUGGUUGAGUUUCCUAGCCAUAGACAUGAGUUGUCAUUUGAUAAACGGGAUCACAUCAUUAGGAGAAUGAUGUGAUUGACUUGACCCAUUCCGUUAGCUUAGCACUUGAUCGUUUUAGUUUACUGCUAUUGCUUUCUUCAUGACUUAUACAUGUUCCUAUGACUAUGAGAUUAUGCAACUCCCGAUUACCGGAGGAACACUUUGUGUGCUACCAAAUGUCACAACGUAACUGGGUGAUUAUAAAGGUGCUCUACAGGUGUCUCCAAUGGUACUUGUUGAGUUGGCAUAGAUCGAGAUUAGGAUUUGUCACUCCGAUUGUCGGAGAGGUAUCUCUGGGCCCUCUCGGUAAUGCACAUCACUAUUAUCCUUGCAAGCAAUGUGACUAAUGAAGUUAGUUGCGGGAUGAUGCAUUACGGAACGAUUAAGGAGACUUGCCAGUAACGAUAUUGAGCUAGGUAUUGAGAUACCGACGAUCGAAUCUCGGGCAAGUAACAUACCGAUGACAAAGGGAACAACGUAUGUUGUUAUGCGGUUUGACCGAUAAAGAUCUUCGUAGAAUAUGUAGGAACCAAUAUGAGCAUCCAGGUUCCGCUAUUGGUUAUUGACCGGAGACGUGUCUCGGCCAUGUCUACAUAGUUCUCGAACCCAUAGGGUCCGCACGCUUAACGUUCGGUGACGAUCGGUAUUAUGAGUUUAUGUGUUUUGAUGUACCGAAGGUAGUUCGGAGUCCUGGAUAUGAUCACGGACAUGACGAGGAGUCUCGAAAUGGUCGAGACGUAAAGAUCGAUAUAUUGGAUGACUAUGUUCGGACACUGGAAGUGUUUUGGGAAGUUUCGAACAUAUACCGGAGUACCGGGGGCUUACCGGAACCCCCUGGGGAGUGUAAUGGUCCUAUUGGGCCUUAGUGGAGAAGAGGAGGGGCGGCCAGGGCAGGCCGCGCGCCCCCUCCCCCUCUAGUCCGAAUUGGACAAGGAGGGGGCGGCGCCCCCCUUUCCUUCCCCCUUCUCCUACUCCAACUAGGAAAGGAGGAGUCCUACUCCCGGUGGGAGUAGGCCUCCCCCCUUGGCGCGCCCUCCUCCUUGGCCGGCCGCCUCCCCCCUAGCUCCUUUAUAUACGGGGGCAGGGGCACCCCAUAGACACAACAAUUGAUCAUUGAUCUUUUAGCCGUGUGCGGUACCCCCCUCCACCAUAAUCCACCUCGGUCAUAUCGUAGCGGUGCUUAGGCGAAGCCCUGCGUCGGUAGCAUCAUCAUCACCGUCAUCACGCCAUCGUGCUGACAGAACUCUCCCUCGAAGCUCUGCUGGAUCGGAGUUCGUGGGACGUCAUCGAGCUGAACGUGUGCUGAACUCGGAGGUGUCGUACGUUCGGUACUUGGAUCGGUUGGAUCGUGAAGAUGUACGACUACAUCAACCGAGUUGUUCUAACGCUUCCACUUUCGGUCUACGAGGGUACGUGGACAACACUCUCCCCUCUCGUUGCUAUGCAUCACCAUGAUCUUGCGUGUGCGUAGGAAUUUUUUUGAAAUUACUACGUUUCCCAACACCCACGAGGGUGGGGGCGCGCCUACCCCCCCCGGCGCACCCUCCUGCCUCGUGGCCACCUCGCAGAGUUCCAGACUUCAACUCCAAGUCUUCUGGAUUGCAUUUGUUCCAAGAAAGAUCCUCGCGAAGGUUUCAUUCCGUUUGGUAUUCCUUUUCUGCAAAACACUGAAAUAGGCAAAAAAACAGAAACUGGCACUGGGCCUUCGGUUAAUAGGUUUGUCCCAAAAAUAAUACAAAAGAGAAUAUUAAAGCCCAUUAAACAUCCAAAACAGAUAAUAUAAUAGCAUGGAACAAUAAAAAUUUAUAGAUACGUUGGAGACGUAUCAGUUAUCAAGAUCAACAGGUGGUUUUAUCUCAACAUCAUUAUCUGGUUCUUUAUCAUUAGUUGGUUGAGUGUCUUCAUGAACAUCAUCAUUAUCUUUUUCAUUAUCACUAGGUGAGUGUUCAUUACCAUAUUGAGUUUCAGCAUCAGAGAUAGAAGUUUCAUUUUCGUUAUCAGGAGGUUUCUCUAUUUCAGGUUCACUAGAAGUGUGCAAAGUCCUAUCAUUUUUAUUUUUUCUUUUUCUUUUUAGGAGGACUAGGUGCACUAGUGUUGUUUCUUUGUGAAUCUUGUUCAAUUCUUUUUGGGUGUCCCUCAGGAUAAAGUGGUUCCUGAGUCAUUUUACCUCCUCUAGUUGCAACUCUAACAGCAAAGUCAUGCAUAUUAUGAUUCAUUUCAUCAAGUAAUUCUGUUUGUGAUUUAGCAACUUGUUCUAACUGAGUUUGAACCAUAGAAGCAUGUUUUCCAACACCUCUAACAUCAUUUGAUAUUCUAAAUAACAAGUCACUCAAGCGAGCAAUCAUAUCAGAAUUGUAUUUCAAUUGUCUCAUAACAUUUGCAUUGAAGUGAUCUUGUUUUCUAAUCUAGUUUUCAAACUCAUAAAGGCAUUGGCUAGGAUGCAUAUUGUGAGGAUUAUCAUUUUCAUUGAACUUCAUAAGAGAAUUUACCUCUACCACCUUAGGCAUUGGUGGUGUAUUAAGCCCAUGUAUUUCUUCAAUAGGAGGUAAAUUUUUAACAUCCUCAGCUUUAAUACCUUUUUCCUUCAUAGAUUUCUUUGCCUCUUGCAUAUCUUCAGGACUGAGAUAUAAUAUACCCCUCUUCUUUGGAGUGGGUUUAUUAGCCGGUGGUUCAGGAAUAGUCCAAUCAUCAUAAUUUUCCAAUAUGUUAUUCAAUAAUUCUUCAGCUUGAGCAAUAGUUUGUUCCCUGAAAACACAACUAGCACAACUGUCUAGGAAGUCCCUAGAAGCAUCGGUUAGUCCAUUAUAGAAGAUAUCAAGUAUUUCAUUUUUCUUAAGAGGAUGAUCAGGCAAAGCAUUAAGUAACUCGCAAAGCCUCCUCCAAGCUUGUGGGAGACUGUAUUACUCUAGCAAUUUGUUCAUCAAGAAAAUCACCAAGUGGCACAUCAUCAUUAUCAAGCAAGGUACUAGCAUCAUCAUAAGCAUCAUUCGUAGUAGAAGUAGCAUCAUCAAUAACUUGCGACAUAUUAGAAUUGAUAGCAUGUGGUGGUGUUGUAAGUUUACUCAUAACAGAAGGUGAAUCUAAAGCAGAACUGGAUGGCAGUUCCUUACCUCCCCUCAUCUUUGAGGGAAGUAUCUUAGUCUUUGGAUCCUUCAGAUUCUUCAUAGUGAUAAUAUGAUAAUAAUCCCAAGUGACUAAACAAAUAUUGCUAUGCCCCCCGGCAACGGCGCCAGAAAAAGGUCUUGAUAACCCACAAGUAUAGGGGAUCGCAACAGUUUUCGAGGGUAGAGUAUUCAACUCAAAUUUAUAGAUUCAACACAAGGGGAGCCAAAGAAUAUUUGAAGAUAUUAGCAGCUGAGUUGUCAAUUCAACCACACCUAGAGAUUAAUUAUCUGCAGCAAAGUGAUCAGUAGCAAAGUAGUUUGAUAGUUUUGGUAAUAGUGACAGCAAUAACGGUAACAGUAACAGUGAUAGCAGUAUUUUGUAACAAGUGUAAUAGUGAUGAUAGCAGUAGUAACGCAGCAAGAUCAAUAUAAAUAAAUUCGUAAGCAUUGGAUCGGUGACUUGUUGGAUGAUAUUCAUCAUGUGACAGUUAUAACCUAGGGCGAUACGGCACUAGCUCCAGUUCAUCGAUAUAAUGUAGGCAUGUAUUUCGUAAAUAGUCAUACGUGAUUUAUUAAAAGAACUUGCAUGACAUAUUUUGUCCUACCCUCCCGUGGUAGCGGGCUCCAUAUUGGAAACUAAGGGAUAUUAAGGCCUCCUUUUAAUAGAGAACCGGAACAAAGUAGGGAGUGGGCCCAGUUGUUGUCACUCCGGGGUUGCCAGAUCAUAACACGUAGUAGCUGACUAUAACUUGCAAGAUCGGAUCUAAAACAUGGAUAUAAUGAUGAAUUCAUAAACGGUUCAGAUCUGAGUUCAUGGCACCUGGGCCCAAAGUGACAAGCAUUAAGCAUAGCAAAGUCAUAGCAACAUCAAUCUAAGAACAUAGUGGAUACUAGGGAUCUGGCCCUAACAAAACUAACUCGAUUACAUGAUGAAUCCCAUCCAACUCCUCACCGACUAGCGAGCCUAGGAAGGAAUUACUCACUUCCGGUGGGGAGCAUCAUGGAAUUGGCGAUGGAGAUUGAUUGGUGAUGACGAAGAACGAAGACCCCCCUCUCCGGAGCCCCAAACGGACUCCGGAUCUGCCCUCCCGAGGAAGAACAGGGCUUGGCGGCGGCUCCAUCUCAUGGAUCGCGAUAAUUCUUUCUCCCUGAUUUUUUCUGGAAUAAUGUGAAUUUAUAGUAUCAGGGGGUCGUCAGCGGGGCCACCAGGUGGGUACAACCCACCUGGGCGCGCUAGGAGAGGGGGCGCGCCCUGGUGGGUUGUGCCCAACCAGGGGGCCCUCUCUGGUGGGUCUUGGCUCCAGAAAUUCUUAUUAUUGAUAUAAAAAUCCUUGCAAAGUUUCCUUCCAUUCCGAGAACUUUUAUUUCUGCACAAAAACAACACCAUGGUAGUUCUGCUGAAAACAGCGUCAGUCCAGGGUUAGUUUCAUUCAAAUCAUGCAAAUUAGAGUCCAACACAAGAGGAAAAGCAUGAGACGUAUCACACAACAGCUGUCUGUUCCGCAGCGGCGGCCUUAGCCCUGAUGGAGGCCGCCCACGACCAUGUCGAGGCCACCCACGCCCAGCUCGUGGCGGUCACUGCACAAAUCGAACAAAACUUCUCCGACAACGGUCGGCAACCCACGGCCGAAGAGUUGGCAAUCGCCGAGAGCGUUCGAGCAGCCAUCCGUUCCUCUGCCGCAUACCUUGCGACGACGGAGCCCGUCCAAGCCCAGAUCGCGGCCGCCCACGCCCAGCUCAUGGCUGCCUUUUCCAAAGAGAUGGCGCACGCGGAUGGCGAGAUGCUUGCCGAGUAUGGUGCGAUGGAUGCCAUGGAGCCCCUUCCCCAGGAGACCGUCGGGCACGAGCUGGACAUGGGGGUGGCGGUGGAGAUCGACGAGCACCAGCCGUAGUACUAGUACUCUUUGUUUUGUUUAAUUAAGAGCGAUGGUCUUUAAUUUGUUAGAGUAAUGUUUAGGUCAGCGAGCUCUGUUUAAUUGCUGAACUUUCUCGAUUAAGAAGUGUGGGUGUGCUAUAGUCUCCUUUGUGUACCCAAAUUAUGCAAUGACAUGGAUGACCACUGCAAUCAUGGAAAUUCGAACCAAAUUUUUUGACGUUCAAACUCAUCACACACGGGUUAAGCUAUCUGAAUUGUUUGUGAUGUUCACAUAUCGUACACAGUUUUGAAUAAGGGACCGUGUCUGAUGACACUUUGCGCGCCAGUUUCUUCGCUGAAACGAUUCCAAAUUUUUGGCUUCCGCGGAAAUAUCUACCUCCCCGCCCCCUCCCCCUUACCAAAAGCCACAUUUCCCCUGUUUCCGCCUUCCUUUCCAAGUUGAAACCUUCACUCCUUGCUUGCAGCGCCGCCUCCUCACCGGCAACCCUCCUUCACGCUACUCGGCCUCGUCUAUCCAGGCAGGUAAUCCACACCCAAGCCCCAUCCUCCUCCUCCUUCCACAUCCCACAUGCCCCAACUGCCGGCACGAGCACGACACCUUCCACCCAAAUCACCGACCCCUCCACCAAAUAAUUAAGCGCCGCCCUAAGCCAUGAUGCACGCAGUAUAGCCAGAAUCUCAAGGAGCAUUUGGCAGCGGAGAAGCAAAUCGCGGCCGCACGCGCGGAUGAGGUCGCGAUGGCUGCCAUUCGUGCCGACCCCCAGAUCUUGGAGGAGCACCUUGCCAUUUGCUAGCUACGCCGGUUAAGCAUGCUCGGUUUACCCGUUGCGUGUGCUGCUCCUGCCUUUCCUUCACAAAUUCUAGUGAAUUGUGCUAUCUAAUUUUACCAUGCAAUCUGUUGCUCUAGUGUAUUGAUUGCUCUCUGACUAUAGCGCCAAAAAAGCUCCUGUCUGCUAGGACUACGUCGGUAUUUCCCCAAACAGGAAGGGAUGAUGCAGCACAGUGACGUAGGUAUUUCCCUCAGUGAUGAAACCAAGGUUAUCGAACCAGUAGGAGAACCAAGCAACACAACGUAAACAACACCUGCACACAAAUAACAACACCUUGCAACCCGAUGUGUUAAAGGGGUUGUCAAUCCCUUUCGGGUAACGAUGCCAGAAAUUUGUAAUAGAUUGAAAUAAUAGAUCGUAAAUAAAUAAAGUGCACCAAAGUAUUUUUGGUUUAAUAGAUCUGAAUAAAAAUGCAAAGGAAAAGUAGAUCACAAGAAAAUAUAUGAGAAAGAAGACCCCGGGGCGGUAGGUUUCACUAGUGGCUUCUCUCGAGAAAGAUAGCAAACGGUGGGUAAACAAAUUACUGUUGGGCAAUUGAUAGAACCUCAAAUAAUUAUGACGAUAUCCAUGUAAUGAUCAUUACAUAGGCAUCAUGUCCAAGAUUAGUAGACCGACUCCUGCCUGCAUCUACUACUAUUACUCCACACAUCGACCGCUAUCCAGCAUGCAUCUAGUGUAUUAAGUUCAUGGAAAAACGGAGUAAUGCAAUAAGAAUGAUGACAUGAUGUAGACAAGAUCCGUUUAUCUAUUGCGUAGAUACAGAUCCCAUCUUUUUAUCCUUAGUAGCAACGAUACAUACGUGUUGUUUCCCUUUCUGUCACUAGGAUCAAGCACCGUAAGAUCAAACCCACUACCGGGCACCUCUUCCCAUUGCAAGAUAAAUAGAUCAAGUUGGCCCAACAAAACCCAAAUAUUGGAGAAGAAAUACGAGGCUAUAAGAGAUCAUGCAUAUAAGAGAUCAAAGAAACUCAAAUAACUUUCAUGGAUAUAAAAAGAUAUGACUGAUCAUAAACUCAAAGUUCAUCCGAUCCCAACAAACACACCGCAAAAAGAGUUACAUCAUAUGGAUCUCCAAGAGACCAUUGUAUUGAGGAUUCAGCGAGAGAAAGCCAUCAUCUAGCUACUAACUAUAGACCCGAAGGUCUACAAAGAACUACUCACGCAUCAUCGGAGAGGCACCAAUGGAGGUCGUGAACCCCAUCCGAGAUGGUGUCUAGAUUGGAUCUGGUGGUUCUGGACUCUACGGCGGCUGGAUGAAUAUUUCGUCGACUCUCCUAGGGUUUCUAGAAUAUUGGGGUAUUUAUAGAGAAAAGAGGCGGUCCGGGGGGCACCCGUGGUGGGCACAACCCACAAGGGCGCACCUGGGCCUCCUGGCGCGCCCUGGUGGGUUGUCCCCUCCUCGGGACUCCCCCAGGUGCAACCAGGGCCCAACAUCUUCCAUCUGGUCCAUAAAAAAUCAUCAUGGAGUUUCAUGGCAUUUGGACUCCGUCUGAUAUUGAUUUCCUGCGAUGUAAAAAAAUGGAAAAACAACAACUGGCACUUGGCACUAUGUCAAUAGGUUAGUACCAAAAAAUGAUAUAAAAUGACUAUAAAAUAAUUAUAAAACAUUCAAGAUUGAUAAUAUAACAGCAUGGAACAAUCAAAAAUUAUAGAUAUGUUGGAGACGUAUCAGCAUCCCCAAGCUUAACUCCUGCUCGUCCUCGAGUAGGUAAGUGAUAAAAACAGAAUUUUUGAUGUGGAGUGUUGUUUAUCAUGUCAUAUCACAUUCUUUUCUUUAUAGCAUGGACAUUUGGACUUUUUAUGUGAGUCAAAGCAAUAGUCUAGUUUUGACAUAAUAAUUUAGAUACUCAAGCAUAUCGACAAGCAACCGUGUCUUUCAAAAUAUCAACGCUAAAACAAGUUAUCCCUAGCCCAUCAUGCUCAAACAUUGAUCAAUUCAUGAAACACACUCGAAUAUUAGCUACGCCCAAUACUUAAGCAUGAUCAUAUUGCCUCCUAGUUGGUGCUUUUGUAAGAGAGGAUGGAGACUCAAAUUUCAAAAUAAAAAUUGCAUAAAGUAAAAGAAAGGCCCUUCGCAGAGGGAAGUAGGGAUUUGAAGAGGUGCCAGAGCUCAAAGCAAAAAAAAUUAGAGAUAAAAACAUUUUGGGAGGUGUAUCCAUCCCACCAACGAAAACGACUCAGAGUUCCGAACACUUUCCAUGCUAGAUAUGCCAUAGGUGAUUCCCAAACAGAAAAUAAAGUUUAUUCCUUUUUCCACCAUACUUUCACUUUCCAUGGCUAACCGUAUCCAUGGGUGCCCUCCAUACCAACACUUUCCAAGGAAUUUAUUAUUUGACAACAUAAAGUAAUUCAUUUUUGCAUUUCAGGACUGGGCAUCCCUAAAACCUUUGCCUUACUCUCGUGCAAUGACAAGUGAAUAAACACUCAUCGUGAGAAUAACACAUCCAGCAUGGAAAAUAUUAGCCACCCGUUACCGUUCCGCGAGCGAAACAAACACACAAAAUAGAAGUUUAUUUUGAAAAUUAGAGAUGGCACAUGUAAAUUUGCUUAGAACGGCAAAAGAAUACCGCAUAUAGGUAGAUGUAGUGGACUCAUGUGGCAAAACUGGUUUAAAGGAUUUUGGAUGCACAAGUAGAGAUCAUACUUAGUGCAAAAUGAAGGCUAGCAAAAAGAUUGAGAAGCGACCAACCAAGAAACGAAUAAUCUCAUAAGCAAGCAUUAAGCAUAAUUAACACCGAAUAAUGCACCACAAGUAGGAUAUAAUUUUCAUUGCAUGAUUAUUGACUUUCGUGCAUGCAUAGGGAAUCACAAACCUUAACACCAAUAUUCUUACUAGAGCACAAUUACUCAUCAACAUAACUCACAUAUCACAUCAUCGUAUCUCAAAACUAUUACUAAGAAUCAAGUUUUUUUUGUUUUUUUUUUUGACUAUGUACUGUGAAGCAAAAGCUCCACAGUCUUUUAUUUAAUAUUAAAAGAAUAGAGGUCCACCUAUAUACAAACUAGAAAGGCAGAAAAGAAACUUACCUACUUACCUAUGCUACAAAAUACAACAAUCUAAGGAAGAUUAUGAACCCAAGCUAAGAAAGCAGGUUUAACACUCUCCCUCACUCUAUGGUACAACAAGUUGAUGUCAUGUACAAAUUUACCCCUCCAGACGCCAAACGAGGCCCUCUCUGAUCUGAAGAUCUUCCCAUUCCUAGUAGUCCAAAUGCACCAGGCCACAGUGAGCAUAACCUCAAAGAAGAAUGGUUGCAGAAAAUUCUUCUUGGCGUGCAAAAGGCAGGAGGUCACAUCCUGUCCGCCCAACCAAUCAAUCUGGAGAUAAGACCAGACCCGUUGACUGAAAUUGCAGUUGAAGAAGAGAUGGAACCUAUCCUCAUGCAGACGGGCAUGACAAAGUACACAAAGAUUAUCAUCUUGAUCAGUCCUCCAAUGUCUCCUGAGAAGGAGGUCUCGAGUGUUUAGGCGAUCAAAAAAGAGCAACCAACCAAAAACAUUGAUUUUCAUCGUGCAUGAACUUCUCCAAAGCCAAACACAAGGCGUAAUUUUUUUAGGUAAUCAAGUUUAUUUUGUCCAAUGAUCUUCAUGACAUUUUUUUCUUUUUCUUUAUCCUUCUUGGAUAUCUAUCACUUUGGGACUAAUUUUCAUGUGUUGCUUUUCAUAAGCUCAAACAAAUAUAAGUGAAGAUCAUGAGCAUAACAAAUUUUCUUUCUCUCAAAAUAAUUUAAGUGAAGCAAGAGAGAAUUUCUUCAAAAUUUUACUAACUCUCAAAUAAAUCUAAGUGAAGCAAGAGAGCAUUUCUUCAAAAAUACUAAGCACACCGUGCUCAAAAAGAUAUAAGUGAAGCACUAGAGCAAGUCCUAGCUCAUAAAAGAUUUAAGUGAAGCAUAGAGAGCAAUUCUAACAAGUCAUGAAAUAAUUUUGGCUCUCUCAAAUAGGUGUGUCCAGCAAGGAUUGAUGACUUAUAACACAAAACAAAACAAGCAAAGACACAUAUCAUACAAGAUGCUCCAAGCAAAACACAUAUCAUGUGACGAAUAAAAAUAUAGCCUCGAGUAAAAUACCGAUGGUCGUUAUAAGAAAGAGGGGAUGCCACUCGGGGGAAUCCCCAAGCUUAGUUGGUUGCUCAUUCUUGGAUAAUAGCUUUGGAUGUCGGGGCAUCCCCAAGCUUAGGCUCUUCUAUCCUUCUUUCAUCCAUCGUAAGAUAACCCAAAACUUGAAAACUUCAAUCACACAAAACUCAACAAAACCUUCGUGAGAUCCGUUAGUGUAAGAAAAAUAAAUCACUACUAUAAGUGUUAUAUCAAACCAAUUCAUAUUUUUUGUAUUAUAUCUACUCUAUUCCAAAUUUUCUAUGGCAAAAACUCAUCAAAGAAAACCAUAGAGCCAUCAAAAUAAGCACACAACACAAAGAAAACAGAAUCUGUCAAAACAGAACAGUCUGUAGCAAUCUGACUUUUCCGAAUACUUCUGGAACCCCAAAUAUUCUACCAAAUUAGGACGACCAGGGUAAUUUGUAUAUUAAUCUUCUGCAAAAAGAAUCAGGGCAAAAUCUCUUUUCUGCGAUUUAUGAAAAUUAUUUUCGUGAGCGUAAAGUUUCUGUCUUUUUCAGCAAGAUCAAACAACUAUCACCCAAGAAGAUCCUAAAGGCUUUAAUUGGCACAAACACUAAUUAAAACACAAAAAAUACAAUCAUAACAGUAGCAUAAUUGUUUUAACACUCUAGAACAGAAAGCAAAAAGCAAAAAUAAAAUUUAUUCAUUGGGUUGCCUCCCAACAAGCGCUAUAGUUUUACGCCCUUAGCUAGGCGUAAAGCAAGGAUCUAAGUUUUUUCAUCUUUGUCCAACUCUUCAAUCAAACACUUAGAAUCCUUCAAAGAUUUAGCAUAAAGACCUUCAAUAGCAAUACUCUUCGGAGUAAAUUUAAAUAUUUCAUUCUUACAAAAAGGAUCUCUUAUCACUUCAACAAAAUCCGGAUGGAUGCUAAUCAUCUUAAGGUCCCCCUUAUCAUUAUUACUAGAAGAUGCACCCUUGUUCCUAGAUCUCCUACUCUUUACGGGAGUUUCCUCAAUAAUUUUAGUGGUAGUAAAAGUCGUGCUUAGAUUACUAAAGAUUUCUUCCAAUUUAUCGAUCAGAGAUGGACUUUCUUCUAUUCUUUCAUGGAUUAAGGUACCCCUCUCUUUUAACAACUUAAAAAUAUCGCCCACUUUUGACCCAAGAUUAGUAGCAAAAUUAUGCAUCUUUUUACGUAUAAUUUCCAUAUGAUCUUCGGUGAGCAUUUUCUUUUCGAUGGCAUCUAGUCUUUCCAUAACAUGCUCAAGAGUUAGAAUUGUUUCAUUAACCAUAAGAGGUGGUGAGCCCACUAAAUGUCCCAUAGCAUUAAGAGCAUAAAAGGAGGACUCAUUAAGAAAUUUCCACCGGUAAUCGUAUCAAGGACGAAUCUAUACCAAGUGGUGAUGCCAACAUAAAAACAAUGCAGAAGCACAACGGUAGAUUGCUUACGGAUAGAUCUAUUAUGAGCAUUGCAAAUUCUAUGCCAAGCAUCUUUUAAAUUUUCUCCUCCCCUUUGUUUAAAGUUGAGGACCUCAUCCUCGGGAGUGCAAGCAAUAGGGGAAGAACUAUCCAUAACGGCAAACAAGAAUGCACGCAAAAACAGAUCCGGCAAGAAAACGGCGAACAGAAAAAGAGAGGCGAAUAAAACGAUAAUUUUUUUGUGAAGUGGGGGAGAGGAAAACGAGAGGCAAAUGGAAAAUAAUGUAAAUUGCGAAGAGAUGAGAUUUGUGAUUAGGAACCUGGUUAUGUUGAAGAUCCUCCCCGGCAACGGCGCCAGAAAUUCCUUUUGAUUGCUCUCUGACUAUAGCGCCAAAAAAGCUCCUGUCUGCUAGGACUACGUCGGUAUUUCCCCAAAGAGGAAGGGAUGAUAUAGCACAGCGAUGCUAGGUAUUUCCCUCAGUGAUGAAACCAAGGUUAUCGAACCAGUAGGAGAACCAAGCAACACAACGUAAACAACACCUACACACAAAUAACAACACCUCGCAACCCGACGUGUUAAAGGGGUUGUCAAUCCCUUUCGGGUAACGAUGCCAGAAAUUUGUAAUAGAUUGAAAUAAUAGAUCGUAAAUAAAAUAAAGUGCACCAAAGUAUUUUUGGUUUAAUAGAUCUGAAUAAAAACGCAAAGGAAAAGUAGAUCGCAAGGCAAAUAUAUGAGGAAGAAGACCCGGGGGCCGUAGGUUUCACUAGUAGCUUCUCUCGAGAAAAAUAGCAAACGGUGGGUAAACAAAUUACUGUUGGGCAAUUGAUAGAACUUCAAAUAAUCAUGACGAUAUCCAGGCAAUGAUCAUUUCAUAGGCAUCACGUCCAAGAUUAGUAGACCGACUCCUGCCUGCAUCUACUACUAUUACUCCACACAUCGACCGCUAUCCAGCAUGCAUCUAGUGUAUUAAGUUCAUGGAAAAACGGAGUAAUGCAAUAAGAACGAUGACAUGAUGUAGACAAGAUCCAUCUAUCUAUUGCGGCAGAUAUUAGAUCUCGUCUUUUUAUCCUUAGUAGCAACGAUACAUACGUGUCGGUUCCCCUUCUAUCACUGGGAUCAAGCACCGUAAGAUCGAACCCACUACCGGGCACCUCUUCCCAUUGCAAGAUAAAUAGAUCAAGUUGGGCAAACAAAACCCAAAUAUCGGAGAAGAAAUACGAGGCUAUAAGAGAUCAUGCAUAUAAGAGAUCAAAGAAACUCAAAUAACUUUCAUGGAUAUAAAAAGAUAUGACUGAUCAUAAACUCAAAGUUCAUUAGAUCCAACAAACACACCGUAAAAAGAGUUACAUCAUAUGGAUCUCCAAGAGACCAUUGUAUUGAGAAUUUAGCGAGAGAGAGAAAGUCAUCUAGCUACUAACUACGGACCCGAAGGUCUACAAAGAACUACUCACGCAUCAUCGGAGAGGCACCAAUGGAGGUGGUGAACCCCAUCCGAGAUGGUGUCUAGAUUGGAUCUGGUGGUUCUGGACUCUGCGGCGGCUCGAUGAAUAUUUCGUCGACUCUCCUAGGGUUUCUGUAAUAUUGGGGUAUUUAUAGAGCAAAGAGGCGAUCCGGGGGCACCCGAGGUGGGCACAACCCACCAGGGCGCGCCUGGGCCUCCUGGCAUGCCCUGGUGGGUUGUCCCCUCCUCGGGACACCCCCAGGUGCAACCAGGGCCCAACAUCUUCCAUCUGGUCCAUAAAAAUCAUCGUGGAGUUUCGUGGCAUUUGGACUCCGUCUGAUAUUGAUUUCCUGUGAUGUAAAAAACAUGGGAAAAACAGCAACUGGCACUUGGCACUAUGUCAAUAGGUUAGUACCAAAAAAUGAUAUAAAAUGACUAUAAAAUGAUUAUAAAACAUCCAAGAUUGAUAAUAUAACAGCAUGGAACAAUAAAAAAUUAUAGAUACAUUGGAGACGUAUCAUGUAUAUGUUCUAUAUGUCGUGCAGUGUGGUGCUCACUUAUUAACUGUUUUGUUAAUUAGUUGUCGUCUUCAGUUAACUGUUUGGUUCAAUUCUGCAAAUGUGAUGUUCAAUUCUUCAGGCUGCAAUUUUGUAUUGUCUUCCAUGUGAGAAAUAAAUCGAAUUUGUCUUUACAAAAUACAUGAGAAAUGAGUACAAUUGCUAUAUUUCCAAGUUGUCAAGCAUGCUUGGUUUGGUUAUACAUUAUGCAAUGUGGUGCUCAGUUAACGUUUGGUUCGUUUUUGUUGUGGUGUUUAGUUAACUGUUUGGUUCAACUCUGCAAUGCGAUGUUCAAUAUUUGUGGGUGCAUUCUGUUAUUGUAUACCAUGUGAGGAAUAAAUUGAAUUUGACUGUAGUAAAUACAUGAGAAACAAAUACAAUUGCUAUAUUUUCAAGUUGUUAAGCAUGCUUGGUUUGGUUAACUGUCUGAUCUUCUAUUAGGAGUAUGUUAUAUUGUGCAAUGUGGUGCUCAGUUAAUGUUUCGUUCAUUUGUUAUGGUGUUUAGUUAACUGCUUGGUUUAAUUCUGCAAUGCGAUGUCCAAUUGUCGUGGGUAGAAUUUUGUAUUGUUGUGCAUGUGAGGAAUAAAUCUAAUUUGGCUGCACUUAAUACAUGAGACAUAUACAAGUGCUAUAUUUCCUAGUUCUUAAUCAUGCUUGGUUUGGAUAAAUGGCUUUUCCAUGUGGCUUGAAUUAAUCUAAUGAAUCUGCAAUGUGCUUAUUUUUCAUCAACAUAUUUUACUGAUAGCAUGCGAACCCUUACUUAACCUGAUGACUAACUACCUUAUAUGUGUUGCAGGGAAACAAUGGGAAGCACUGAGGUUUACAAUCGAGGUUAGAACGUGCAUGGUCCGUUGUCUAAUAGCACAUUAUUGUGCAAUUGCAGGAACCAUUCUAAUAUUUAGGUUUUUAACAAUUUGGUCUUGCACAUGUAGGCCCUGCUGUCAGAGGUUUUGACCCACUGUUCCACCCUUUUUGCAUAAGGGAAAAUGAGUUGUCUAUGAAUAUCAAUCAAAUCAAGAAACUCAGAAAGAUUGUUAGGAUAAAGAAAUUAGCGAGAAAAAACAACAAGAUCUUUGUCUAACAAUGAAGAAGACAUUAGUUCACUACAAGAUGGUACUAACUAUUAUACCUUGCCUUUUUUUAUUCCUUUGCCCCAUUUCCAAUAUAGAGAAGAUAUUUAUGCACAUCCUUGUUUUCAGGCCUUUCCAAAGCAGUUCACUGAUGAUUACCUCUCAAACCACCUCUAUGGUCAGGAGGCGAGGAAGGUUUCCAUACAAUACUCACGAUUCAAUAUUGAAGUGUUCCUGAAGAGGAAGAAGGACGGUCAUCAUCCACAGGCACUGGCCUAAAAUUGCAAAGACCUUCAACAUGAAUAAGGCUCAAUAUUCGCCUUCCGCUUCAGCAGUUUUUCAGAUGAGAUGCAUCUGUCUAUAUACCGUCUAUGAUGCUAAUUUCAAAAGGUUCUACAUGUUGCACGUGAAACUUGGUGCUGGUGCAGUUGUGUAAUGGGGUAGCUGAGUGAUGAAGCUAUAUCAUGUUGUACUCUGAUGUAUUUCAAUUAUGAAAUUUUGCUUCCUUAAUAUGGAAAUAAAAUAUAUUAUGUGUUUAAUAUGAAUGUCAAUUAGAUUAAUAAAUGGAUUAUUAAUAAUAGGGCAAUUAGCCUGCUAAUGGCGAAUUAGCCUGCUAAUUGGGUUUUGCUAUUGCAAAUGGUUAUUGAAACAAUACCGUGGGCGAUGAUCUCAGGCAACGCACACAGUUUCUAGAAAUAAACCGUGUUGAAUCAAUGAACAAUCACACACGACUUUCUCUUGAAAACUGUUUGCGUUAGGCCACCUUGCGCAAAAGUUUACCACAUAAAAACCGUGUGUGAUGGAUAGCCUUUGCCACACAGUUUCUUUUACGGGCCGUGUGUGAUGCAUUCAAUAACACAAACGAUAAAAUUGUUAAUAUCGUGUGCAAUGGCAACGCUAUCACAAAUGAUUUAACGAAAAAAAUUGUGUGUGAUGUACCUGUGAACGGAAACGUUUUCCUUGGAACGACUGUGUGGGAUGUACAUACGAAUGGAAACGUUUAGCGGGGACUGACUGUGUGGGAUGUACUUGCGACCGGAAACAAUUUCGCCUGUAUAAUUGUAUUUUUUUAGCUCUACUGUACAUAUUUCCGUAUUUGAGCGCUCGCCGGUCGCACACGACCACAUUUUGCCGAGCGUGUGUGCCAGGAAGGCAUAUCCCCGAUGGUUUCUGGGUCGUGUGGGAAGGACCCCCCUAUCGCCGUCACUCACUAGGCGACGGUUCCAAAUGUCGUCGCGGAAAGGGGUUAAAAACCGUUUGUAUAGCACCGACGCGUACUAGUGUAUACCUUGCAAGAUCCUUCGCUGCUUCGAUGGCCAGCGACAAGAUCCUUCGCGCCAACUAUGCAACACCAAGGACGGGGAUGUGGGCCUGCGACCUGGAGUCGGGGACGGCGGGACGAUGGGAGAGCAUAUGGCGGGACGGUGGGCGGCGGGACGCCGAGCGGUGACUGAGACCGGUGGGCUUGCGGCGGCGACCGACGAGGAGUAGCCAGGCAGGGCAGUGUGGCCUGUGGCGGCUAGGGUAGGGGUAGGAACAGUGCCAUCAGGGAACUGGGGAUUGGGGAAGGGUGAGUGGGGAACGUGGGGACUGGGGAGGAGUUGGCGUCGCUGUGGAACUAGGAAGGAUGAAACUAGGCCAAGGUAAAUGGGCUAGGGAGUGGCGAGUAACUUCUGUCUUUUGCUAUUCGGGCUUUGGCUUGUUCGGGUACUAGGACAAAAAACCCAAAUUUCCCAAAAUAAUUUCGGAUUUUCAUACCAGCCAACCGAGAAAUGCAUUCGGGUUCUGGGUUCGGAUUAUACGGCUUCGGGUUUUUCGAGUUUGGGCUUUGGGUUCGGGAAAAAACGCCCAGGGUGAGCAUCCCAUCUCUGUUGUUCUUAUCCUCCUUAUCACCAUCGCUGACGAUGGCCUCAGUGUUCACACAAGCACAAUGUGUUUGAAUGUUGUCAAUCAUAAGGCAUCUCUCUCUCUCGGCAUAAGAUGAGAAAUCUGUUUUUUUCUUUUCAUGUGAGGUUUUAGCGAGACGUGCAUGCGUGGUUAUAGAUGGUUUCUUUCGUCUCCUGAUUUUGCUGAGUUGUUCAUUUUCAAUCCGGCUCGGCACCGGGAUGAAAAAAGAUGGAUCAUGUGCAAUUGUUUAAGUUGCAUCCUAAAUGUAUUUUAAAAAUGGUUAAUAGAUAAAAUAACAUCAUAUUCAUAUUAUAAAAAAAUUCUAAUAAAAUUUCAUAUAUAAUUUGUUAAAUUUGAAGUUAGGGUUAGAAAAUAUUAAUGUUUUUGGAAAGCAUUUGAUAUGUACUACAGGUUCAUUAACCCAAUUAUCAUGGUGUUUUCUGCAAAAGAAAAAUCUAACUUAUAAUUGGUGUGUGGGUUGAUUAUCUAAAACAUAAGGGGAUUUUCUGUAAAAACGGAAAUCUGACUUAAAACUAGAAUGCGAGUUGAUUACCAUAAACACUAAGUCACUCGCGCCCGUAAAGGAUAUCGAGUCACUCGCGAUUGGAGGCGGCUGGAUUUUCUGUAAAAGCGAAAAUUUGACUUAAAAUUGGAAUGCAUCCAUUGCCAUCGCCAACCUCUCCUUGCCUGAGCGUGUGGCCCAAUACUUCCGCCUCCAACGAGGUCAUGCCAUGGCCGCAUCCUUGUCGAAUUCACCAUGAUAGCCAUCAUCGCAGAACGCCAAAGGCCGUCGUCGUGCCGCCACCAUCAUAAGUGUUUAUAUAUCAUUGAAAUGCAUGUGUAAAAAACUGCAGAGAAUUCAGUAUAUGUGUUACACCUUAUAAGCAAGUUUGCUGACAAACCUACAAUUGCCUUGAUUGGGUUGUUGGCAUCUGUUUCUAAUACAUGUAAUGUUAAACAUGACUACAUACCAUAUUUUUUCAAUUUCUCGCCACUAUUUCUCCUUAUUUUUUCCUCUUUGUCCCACUUGAUCCAACACGUGGGCUCACUUUUUAUCUGCAAUGUAGAAAGAGUUAAUGGGUGAUCAAAGAUGCGCUAAAUAAUAUGUAUAUGGAGCCAUGAGUAGAAGCAAGGUGUGUAGGUUCAAUGAGUGUAGUGCCUUCUCUGUUUCUUUUUUCAAAAAUGUUUGGAAGAAAGAGAAACUAUAGUCUUUGGUUUUCAAAUGGAUUAAUUUAAGAUAUUUCUUAAAUGUAAAAAAUUGCUUUCUUGAUAUCUUUCCUCAUAUUAGCACAUGUUGUCAUUGAUUCGAUGUUUUUAGGUUGUGUCUUAUCGCAUGUUAUUAACACGUCACCGCCCAUACUACGGAGAUGAUUGGAAGUAAGAAAAAUUUAUCAAGAGUUCAACAACAAUUAAACCACCAUUUUAUUAGUUUUUUUUCACUUUGAGAUUUUGAACGUGUGUUUGUUGGCAGGAACUGUCAUGCACGCCAACACUGAUUACAUGGUCUUAUUUUCAUAUCUUUCUAUUUGAAACGGGCGAAACGGUUGUCACUGGGAUCUUUCUAUUUGAUCUUUCUAUUUGAACUGUCACUGGGAUCGAGCACCGCAAGAUUGAACCCAAAGCUAAGCACUUCUCCCAUUGCAAGAAAGAUCAAUCUAGUAGGCCAAACCAAACUGAUAAUUCGAAGAGACUUGCAAAGAUAUCAAAUCAUACAUAAAAUAAUUCAGAGGAGAUUCAAAUAUUGUUCAUAGAUAAUCUUGAUCAUAAACCCACAAUUCACCAGAUCUCGACAAACACACCGCAAAAAGAGUUACAUCGAAUAGAUCUCCAAGAAGAUCGAUGAGAACUUUGUAUUGAGAUCCAAAGAGAGAGAAGAAGCCAUCUAGCUAAUAACUAUGGACCCGAAGGUCUGAGGUAAACUACUCACACAUCAUCGGAGAGGCUAUGGUGUUCAUGUAGAAGCCCUCCGUGAUCAAUGCCCCCUCCGGCGGAGCGCCGGAAAAGGCCCCAAGAUGGGAUCUCAUGGGUACAGAAGGUUGCGGCGGUGGAAAUAGGGUUUCGGCUCCUCUUCUGUUGUUUCCAGGGUAUAUGAGUAUAUAUAGGCGAAAGAAGUCGGUCAGGAGAGCUAAGAGGGGCCCACGAGGGUGGGGGGCGCGCCUCCCUGCCUCGUGGCCUCCUCGUUGAUUGCUUGACGUCCUCUCCAAGUCCUCUGGAUCACGUUUGUUCCGAAAAUCACGUUCCCGAAUGUUUCAUUCUGUUUGGACUCCGUUUGAUAUUCCUUUCCUUCGAAAGACUGAAAUAGGCAAAAAAACAGCAAUUUGGGAUGGGCCUCCGGUUAAUAGGUUAGUCCCAAAAAUAAUAUAACAGUGUAUAAUAAAGCCCAUUGAACAUCCAAAACAGAUAAUAUAAUAGCAUGGAACAAUCAAAAAUUAUAGAUACGUUGGAGACGUAUCACAUGGCUCCAUUAGCCCCCAGGUUAGGCUAUUUUUUCACCUGCUUUGUGUGUUUGAGGAAAUAUAGCUUACUUGAUGUACUUGGAGUGUUUGGAGUGAUGUGGAUCUUGGUGAAUUUUUCCAAUAUGAGAGGAAUUUGUAUCAAAUCAAAUGCACUUUUGUUAUGGAAGCAUGAUUUGGGCCUAUGAUCCGUGUUUAGUUUUUUUUCUCUUGUUUGACUCUUUUUAUUGCUCUGUGAUGAUUUAAGUAGCAGGGUUACGUGAAUGUAGAUGGUGUAUCUUUGUUUUACUAAUAUGAAGGCCUUCCCGAAGCAUAUACCGCUUCCCAACUCCUGUCUACAAAAAAAUCCUCUAAAAAAUGCUCUCUCAAAUCAUGUGUCACGGUCGAAAAAAAGGAAAAAAACCACGUCAUCGUCAGUAGUGACGAGGGCAGAGCAUCGACAACGUGCUCAGAGAGGCAGCACAUCAACAACACAGUGACCUUUCCAGUCCCCCCUCCAUGUCCUCUCCCCCGAAUUCUAGCGGAUCCACCGUCGACGAUGAUCGCUAGAGGAGAUGCGGACAACCUGUCUGGUUGCAGUGGUGGAGAUCCGCAGUGGGUGGAGGGACACAUCUGCUUCUCGGUUUCCUAAAGAAGCCUCAACCGACGCAAUAUAUUGUCCACCUAUUCCCGGUCCCCUCCUCAGUCCCAAUCAACGGCACCCUUCUCUUUCCCAAAUCCCCCCCCCCACCCGUCAGCACCCAUAAUCUCUCGGUCUAGGGUGUGAGGCAAGACCAUCACAGUAAUAUGAGUAGUGCGACCACCAAGUCGGUCAAAACUAAAACACAAGACAAUAAGCUAAACACACUAAAAAACAGCCAAAAAUGGCAACAAGGACCUGUAUGUAUCACGCAAAAAUGCAAUAACUUGCAUGAAUCCGCUAAGUAAACAAAAGGCAUAACUCCACCAGCUCCCUUUAAAAGCCACCAUGUCUUUUUCUCAUGCAAAACAAACAACAAAGGCACACACAGAGUCGCCAACUGGCGCGGCGUGCCUCCGCGCCUCCACCCGCUAGUUAUAUGGAAAAGCCUUGUCUAGUUUGUCGCGGCGACAUGGGUCGUGCCCCUCCCGGCAGCGGCCAUGUUGUGGGUCACCCGAUGGGGUGUCUGGGCUCAAUGUUUUGUGGCUGCUUUGAGCGAGUCUUUGUCUCCCGGUUGCGCGACUCAACGAUGCUGCGUUCGUCGAUGGAUCUUCCAGCGAUGGUCUCGGUUGGCCCUAGACUACGUCAUGGCGAGGCGCGGGGCGUUAUGCCGUCCUUGAGCUGGGAUUUUGGAUUUGACGAUGGUUGGUCGAUGGGCAUGCGACCGGCUCACUCUGCGACAAGCUGGAUGGCGCGUGUGGUGGUGUCGGUGGCUAGCCAACCAUGGGUUUGGAUGGAAGACAACCGGUGAAAUCAGUGCUCAACGCGUCCUGGCCCGACUAUGAUGGCUUUUGCGGACGUCGUUUCCUUGAUGAAGGUGUCGUUGUUGUUAUUCUCAUCCCUCUGCCCUUGUUUCUCAGGGGAAACCCUAGGUCCGAGCUCCUCGGUCUGGAUGAUGCUGACAUGUAUGAUGUCGUGUUCACUCUUGGCGGCACCAUCCUGGAGUCUGAUUUGGCUGGAAAGACCCGUGGUUGGCAUGGUGGUCAUUGAUGGCUCGUGUGGCAGCGGCAAUGUGGGUGUGCGAGGUCGAGGCUGCAGUGAGACUGUGGUAGUCGGCUGACUCUCUAGGUGUCCGUGGGCUCAUUGUGGUAGUUUGUUGUAGUGGAGGCAAAACUGUGUGGAGGGUCCUUGUGGCAACGACGACAAGCGGGGGAUGGCCCAUCUCGAUGAUUCUUCACAGCGCCAACCUUGCAUAGUGCUAUGUCGCUCGUUUAUUCCCGGAUCCAUUGUUGGCCCCGUUGCUGGCGUGUGUGUUGUUCAUUUCGCUUGGAUCUUCAUGUGGCCGCUUCUGCCACUUCGUUGUGUACUCAGUCAUUGGUUGCCUCCUUUAAGUCAAAACGCUUGCUCGGGAAGAAUUGGUGACGAUGUCGCUAAGGUACAAACUCGUCAAUAUUUCCUUCGUAGCAGUGUGUGGUUUAUAUUGUGUCAUGUGCAGUGAGUUGUAUAGUUUAUCGUCUGUUUUUUCUCUAAUUAACUGGGCAACACUCUUCUUCUUAAUCAUUGAAAAUGAGGUUGCAGGUUUAUUUAUAUAGAUAAAAAGAAAAUUUUGUUUCGCUUCUCCAGCCAUCCAGAAAAUUUUGUACUUAUGGUAGAAGAAAGACGAGUGAUACAAACAGCGAGAUCGAACGGCUCGCAGGAAGCAAGGAACGAUCGUCUGACAAGCGAGGCGAUUGAUCGGUGGCUUCCAUCGGUUAACCGACGCCCAUCGGCGUAAAACAACACGCAUACGACGAGCUCCGGCGGCUGGCGCCGCCGAUUCCCUUUAAUGUGGCGAUCGAUCGGUGCCUUCCUCCGCCUCUUCGUUGCCGUCUUGCCGACGGAUCUGACGAAGAAACGUGGCGCACCGGUAGCCGUAGGCACGCAGACUGGCGUGCCGCGACCAUGCAGCCACCGCUGGAGCUCUCGCCGCCGGCACCCGCCCCUAGGUCUGCACACCCUUGACCUCUCCCUCCCUCUCUUUUCCCCUCCUUUUCCUAGUGCAAAUUUGUUGGGUGGAUUAGAUCCAAACUAGAAUCAGCCAAGAACACAUCUCCACGGCAACUAUUGGUCAGUAGCCGUCGCGCAUCUUGGUAAUUUUGCUAGUUUCCUUGUCGCGGCCACGAAUGAAUGAUGCCCCCUGCCGAGAUGCACGCCCGCCCCUGAGCAAUGCUUUGGUUGUGUAAGGCGAGCGUACUGCGAGAUUGCAUAAAUGUUGUCCGGAUAAACAGGUGAGAGUUUUGCGAGAUUGGUGGCACUUGAUUUAUUAUUUGUUUUGAGUAUACUCUACAAAGUACAAACACCACCAGUUUAGCUACAUGUGGUUGCCUGAAUUUAUAAUUUGGGUCAGUCGAAUUUCACGUGAAGGAAGGAACAGCUGGAGGGAAGGAAGGAGCUCUCCUGGGGAGCCCUCUGGGUCUAUCUUAGGCUUGCAGGCGACCUCAUUAUCUAUCUUAGGGGUGUGGGGCAUGGUGCAGGUUCGUCGGAAAAAAACUGGUCAUCGCCGGGUGGUGGAAGCACGGCGGUGGGCGGCGGUUCAGGGGAGCGCCAUCCACCGGCGGUGGCGGAGGCAGGCGGUUAGGCUUGUGCUGGAUCGGUGAGGGAAGAGAAACAAUACAUGUACCGGUUUGAGGUUGAAGAUGAAGCAUUGUCCGUUGGAUCUUGAUCCAAUGAUUGAGAUAGGAGGGGGGACCGUUUUCAUAUUUUCACGCGACUGGCGCCUAACCGCUCCCAAAUAUCACCCUCCCAAAUGCAUGAUUCGGAAAUGUACCAAUUUUAGCUCACUAAAUAAGGUUAUCUUUAUUCUGUCGUACUGAGCAUCAAGCUGUUGGCUAUUCUGCGGUAGCUUAUUUUAAUUGUAGUGUGCCAUCUCGAUAUACAUCUUACUAUAUAAAGCAUUAAUGUUUAAUGACAUGAAUAUUUUUGUUUCCCUUUAAUGUGUAGUACUGCAGUAAGAGCCUAAUACUACCACAUUUCCAAUCUUUUUUCUAUGAUAUCUGAUUCCUCAAUGCUGAUACAUCGUUCUUGAAUUUUUUGUAUGACAGAGAAGUGGUCGUUGCAGAGUGGCCAUCUAAGAAAAUCUGCCACUGCUUGGUCUCUACCUCAGCCUCAUCUGAACAACGUGUUUGGGCAGACCUACCGGACAGCCUGCUUCACCUAAUCAUUGCUCUCUUAAGCUCAUUCCAUGACCUCCUUGCUUUUACUGGCACUUGUCACUCUUGGCGUGCUGCGGUCUUUUCCUUCCCAUUAUCCAUAUAUGCCUUCGUCUUUCCACCUCUCCAUCUCAAAGCAGCUUGGCGUAAGGCUAAUCGGGAUUGCGGCACAUGGUAUUAUCUUUUAUCGAACUACAAAUGGCGUCUUUGUGAUCCUGUGAGGACAGACUUAUCUCUUCGCCGCUCAGCUCCCCGUAAUGCUCCAAAUUACAUGCGCUAUUUGGGCUGCUCAUAUGGGCAUCUUAUUUUCUCCUGUUUGGAGCACCUUCUCCUUGUCGAUGUUUACACAGGUACUAAGGUGAAGCUGCCCAAACUCCAAGCCAACAGCGGUUGUGCGAUCUAUUGUGGCAUUCUUAUGGCUCCACUCAGUUCAUCCAGCUCGUGUCUCCUCCUUUUCUCAAAAUCAUCCAUGUUCCAGUGGCGGGUUGGAACAAAUUCCUGGACAGAGUACCCUUUUGUUUCUGAACAAUUAUUUCUUCAGAUUGUUUUGUUCAAAGGUCAGAUGUUUGCCAUGGGCUUGACCCACACGCUCAAAACCAUAUCCUUGGCACCUCAGCCCAGUGUGCAGGAAGUCGAUGUUGUGUGGGGAGAGGACCUCGUUGUUGGCUUGAAUUAUGAUCCAUGGUUGGUGGUCUGUGGUGACAUGCUUCUCAUGGUUGAUCUUGUUGAUGACUUGAUAAGCAAUGGCACCUUUCAAGUCUUGCACUUUGAUUCUUCAGCCGAACCAGCUAAGUGGACAAAGAUGGAGAAGUUGGAAAACUGGGCUCUCUUUGUUAGCCUUGAUAGGAGGAGCCCAACAUUUUCUUGCAUGAACCCUGAAAGAUGGGGUGGAAAGAGUAACUGCAUUUACGUUCCGAGUGCAUCCAAAGACUCUGAUGAACCCUGGAUUGCUGUAGAGCUUGGUCAGGCAGUUUACAGCACAACUCGCUCCGAUUCAUACAUUCUAGGAGGCAGAAGCGAUCAGCUUGAGAGCCUCUGGGUGCUCCCCAGCUUGGUCUAUGGUGUUGGCCAGUGAAGCAUCAUGUUUGCUUGUCGCAUGUUUUUUUACUCUUGCAUAUGCCCAUUCGACUGCUGCUUUUACAAGUAUAUUAUGUUGAGCUCCAGCCAGUGAUGUAGUGAACAAGAAAGUAUUUUAUGGACGAUUAUUCAUGCAUGUGUGUUCCUUGAUCUGCAUGCCAUGUGCCUCUCCUUGGCUUUAAUGGAGGGCAUAGUUCAGAAAAAUGAUGCUCCUGAAAUUGCACCUACUGUUAGCAUGCUAAAUGCAAUCUACUCCCUCCGUUCCUAAAUAUAAGUCUUUUUAGACAUUUCAGAUGGACUAUAACAUACGGAUGUAUGUAGACAUAUUUUAGAGUGUAGAUUCACUCAUUUUGCUCCGUAUGUAGUCACUUGUUGAAAUCUCUAAAAAGACUUAUAUUUAGGAACGAAGAAAGUACUACUGGUUAGCAGCCCUCUUGGAUUGCUUAUUAAUAAACAAUACACUGGGUUCUACUUUCAUGUCACGACAAGGUAACUUAAAUUUGCAGCAUUGUUUCUUUUGAUCUGCAGGCACGAGUUUGACGAAAAUUUGCCUAAGAAUGUUAGGCUGGUAUUUCCCCCCAAACCUUUAGAGUGAUAUUUGUAAUCUUUUGUCAUCAAGGAUGAAAGAGAUGUUUGUCCUAACGUUUAGGGACAUACCAACUCACAGGAAAAUCUCAAAAAGAUGAAGCUUUACUAGUUAGUCUACUGCUGUAUUCUACAGAAAAUCAAGGUGUUAGUUUUGAUGUAGCUUAUUGCGAUUGAAAUGUACCAUCCUUUUUUCUCCCUUGCUACUACGACCUAAGCAGCGUGUCAUUUGAGUAAAAUGCAUUGGUGGUCACUAGACUUGUCGUGUCCGUUCAGUUUGGUCACUGUACUCAAAAAUACAGUUAAUAUGGUCACUAAAUACGAGUUGUGGUGAUUAUACGGUCACUGUCACAUCGUAUAUCUUCGUAUUUUGUUGAGUUGACUAGUCAAACAGUUUGAAUGAUGCCUCCUCAGCUCUAUUUUUUUCUCUGUACCGAUGCAGGCAAAAUAAAAUAGUGACGCGGUGGGGAUUCGAACCCCAAACAGUGUACACUUAUAACAACCGUCACGAUUCCUUAUUGUACAUUAGCGUGCAUGCACACCGUGCACACACAGUAUGCGGCAAUUUUAGCAAAAAUAAAUUUGAGCUGAAUUUUAGCAAUUUUAAACUAAAGAUAUGCAUGAAAAUGUUGUGUAGAUGCAACACACACGAAGUGUUACAGAGAAUUUUUUGCCGCUACGUUCAAGUUCUGUGGUAUUUUUUUCUCUUAUAUUGAGGUUGUUUCAAGUCAGCCGAAACAUCUUAGUGUACCUCAUGAUCGAACUGACGGCUGCGCCAUUCAACAUGUACUUUCCAAUUGCAUACUAAGCAGCCCUAUCUACCUUGGUUUCGUGCCAUCCCACCAAUGCUUACAUAGCGGCGAGCUAGCUAUAUGCAAGAAAUAGAAACGAGGCCAUGCAUGUGUACAAGGCUGGGGGUUCACGCUACAUGUUCUCUUAAUCUGUGACGAAACUGAAGAAAUAUUAGCGCCUAGCAGCCGGAACGUGCAGCUUGAUUAACAGACUAACAGGGUAAAUGAAAAGAGCUUGAGAGUUGAGAGGUGCAUCAGAGUAAUUGGACUGGAGAAUGAAUUAUGUAUUGAUGGGAUGAUAAUAAUAUGCAGAUAUCACAAGCACGUACAAUAUAUGCAUACGCACACAACCACAAAUAUGCACGUACCCAUACAAGCUCAAGCACAGCAUGCAUGCACAGCAAGCAACAAACGACGUGUCAUGGCUGUCACGUGAAUGCAUAACGUUACAGCAGGAUGCCUUUCUCCAGUUUAGACACAAGGAGAGGUGAGCACAGCGGGCUAGCUUGCUGACAUCCUAGCGCUAUGUUUGGGGUUUGAUUCCACACUAUGUCACUAUUUUAUUUUGCCUCUACUUCUUUCUUCCACUCACAGACAAGUGGGGUCUGCGUCCAUAAAGAAAAAAAAGAGCUGACAAGGCAUUAUUCAAACUGUUUGACCGGUCAACUCAAUAAAAUACGAAGCUAUAUGAAGAAACAGUGACCGUAUAAUCACCGUAACUCAUAUUUAGUGACCGUAUUGAUCACAUUCUUACGUACAGUGACCAAAGUGGACGUACACGACAAGUUUAGUGACCACCAAUGCAAUUUACUUGUGUCAUUUUGUUAAGAAGAAAGAUCUCUCGAAACAUGCUCUCGCUUUGCUUUAUAGGUAACUUACAAACCAACGUGCACGGCGGAACAAUACAAUCUGCGCAGACUUCCCUUCACACACUUCAGACGUAGUGAUUUAAUCAAUGACUUGGUCUUUCCAAUGCUGCUGAUAUUUUCGCUCUCCUUGGUGUUUCCAUGGUGUCUAUCUAAAGAAGAUUCAUCACCCAGUGUAUCCUCAUCAUCUCUUCUUUUAGCAGAUGCCACAGCAGUUUCUCUGUUCUUUGUCAUCUCCUGAUUUGCAUCAGGUUUGUCAACUCCCUUCGAUUUUUUGACAAUAUUCUCAGCAAUGACGUCCCUCGUAGAUUUCUCAGCGGAAGAAGCCACAUCCUUACCAUGUUCACCAGCAGCAUCAAGCGCAUAUGACUUGCGAAGAAUGUUGAAAACUUCCAGUGUUCUAGUCCGGACCGUCAAACACGUGCUAAAUUCUGAAUGGAUGUAAGGGAUAUCUCCUACAUUGAGGUAACAAAGCAUCAACAUAGCCUCCUUUGCCAUGCCCAACAAGGCGGCAGAAACCGUGGCGCAUCCAGCCCCAUUGCUGACCAUAAGAUCCAAGGCAAACCUUCGGACAUGCCCAUUCCCCUGUAUGACUUCUACUCCAAAGCUGAUAACCGGUCUGAAGUCUGAACAACUCAAAGUUUUGAACUUGUGGGAAGAAAAGAGAAGCAUAGUGCUGCUAGGGUAUCUCAAUUUGUAUGCAUUUUUCCCGAUAAAGGGCGUCUUUAUUAACUCAAAAUGUCUCGAUUUGCAUGCAUAGUGUCGGAUCAGACAUAUAAAGCAGAAGCCGUCAUGUGCCAGGAGAAGUUGCUUAAGAUCCCAAGCCUUGUCAUCCUAGAUGAAGGCCGCACUCCGCGAAAUGAGAAAACUGACUUACUGGCUGCACUUGGAAAGUAUACGAACUCCUUGCAAAGUGGUGCUCUCAGGAACCUUGUUUCAGAAUCAUGUAAAACAGGUCUUCAACAUCUUGAACCUUGUCCGGCCAAAAUUCUUGAAAACGGAGGGAUCCCGGGCGAUAGUGAAGCACAUACUAAGCAAGGUGGACAUGUUGGGGAAAAAAUGCAAGGUCAAAGAACAUUUCAGUUAAGUUAUGUGAUUUUGUAGAAGAAAACCUUCAAAAGGACACAAAUGAUAAAAUGAGAGCGAUGAUCAUCCAGAGUCUGCGCGAGCUAACUGCAAAUGUACUCCACUAUUAUCAAGGCGAGCUUUCGGAGGAGCUACCAGGACUUUUGGACUUGACCGUGUUCUGAAAAUGAGAACUGAGUAGGAAGAGAUCCUGAGGGGUUUGGUGGGACUGGGGAAAUUCAGCAAAAGUGCAAAAUGUAGUGUUGUUUCUCUUCAUCCGUGCUUAAAGGAUAUUCAGAACGUUAAAGGCAAAAACCGAUAUAUUGUCGUUGAGAAGAUCGGUUCCGUCAUGUGUGGAAUUGAUAUCAAAGUUGUCGCGAAGGCCAAGUUUAUAUACAAUCUGUUGUGUCUUUCAGAAGCGGCAGGAGAGAAAGUACUCGUGUUCAGUCGGUAUGUGCGUUUUCUGAUUUUCUUGGAAAUGCUGCUCGUAAGAGAGAAAGGAUGGAUUCCAGAGGUGCACAUUUUCAGCAUGACUAGUGAAUCAACUCCAGAUCAGCGAGACGAGGCUGUCGAGAGAUUCAACCAAUCACCGGAUGCUAAGGUUUUCUUCGGUUCCAUCAAGGCAUGCGGCGAGGGCAUCUCCCUCGUCGGUGCGUACGAAAACCCUUCCGUGAUGCGCCAGGCGAUCGGGCGUGCUUUCAGGCCAGGGCAGUCCAAAAUGGUGUACUGCUACCGCCUUGUCACUGCCGACUCGCCAGAAGAGGAGGACCACAACACGGCCUUUCGAAAGGAAUGGGUGUCCAAGAUGUGGUUCAAAUCGAACGAGCUUUGUGGAAAUGAUGGUUUUGAGCUUGCUGCUGUGGAUGUUUCAGAGAGCGGGGAUAGAUUUCUUGACAACGAGGCGUUGCGACAAGAUAUCAAAUCCCUAUACAAAAGGUAUGUAUGUCUUUAAAUCAUGUGAAUGAAUGAAUCUCAUAAAAACUUCUGUUUUUGUGCAUCAAUGAGUACACCAUACUUCGUUUUCUUUGCAGGUGAACGACAGUGGUAAGCGCUGACGAACCAGUGAGGGAGAAUGAACCCGGGAAGGAACCGAAGCAAACUUUCUGUGCUUCUUGGCAGUGUUUUGCCGAUCGUCUUUGAUUGCGUUAGUAUGAGGAGAUAUAGCAGGGCACAAGUGUCUAGUAGUACAAGCAUCUGCACUCUGAAAUGUUGAAAGUAUCUAGUGGACAUGUAUGUUGGUAAAAAAGUCAUUUUGUUUUGAAUUCCUUUGAGAUUUUAUUGUUCAUCCCUGGAGCCAAAACGUAACCGCUGAUCGUGGAUCGCUGCAAGAACAUCCUUACCUUGUGUGCUUUUCUUCUGAGGGGGAGAAUUACACAACGGUCGGUGCAGCUAACCGCCGGACAGUGUAGUGCAAGUCCCUCUUUGCUAAAUAUAAGAUGUCUAGACAGUUCAAUUUAAACUGCCAAAACGUACAUGUAGAAAUAGUGGUAGUAUAUAUUUAGCUCUCGAGGGAAGCUCAGGGCUGUAAUUAUCACCACCAGAGAGAGCAUCAGUCUAAAAGUGUUGACAGCAAAAUAAAUGAAUUAAACAUUUUCCAGCUCACUGUGAUUUUGUAGAUUCUUUAUUCAUCAGUCUAAGCAAGCUACUUAGCUAGUUUGAUGAAGUUAGGAAUAGAUGAUGUCAUGAACACCAAAUGGAAAAAAGUUCUGAAGGAAAAGAAAAACAAUUGCACAUCAGAGUUCAGCAUGGUCCUCUGUAGACUUAAGGAAGUUCAGAAAGAUCCUGGAAACAGCGACGUUCUGUAUCAUCAUGGAACACUCAACAGAACUACAGAAAUAUGCAGUAGAGCUACAGAACUACAGAACUACAGAAAUAUGCAGGCUAUAUGGGAGAAGAUUCAACCCAUACACUCCCUAUGCAGGCAGUGUUCCUGCGGUUUACUCUAUUUUCGGAUUAACAGAAGAGUAGCAAAGAAUUUACCAACGACGCAUAUCAUUUCUUUUCGGUCUAAUGAAUAGGCGGUGUUCCUGCAGUUUACUCUGUUUAUUUUUUUCGAAGACCAACAUGACACAAGUCAGACGUGCCAAGGGAGCAAACUUGAAAGCAGCUUGCCAACACCUCAAUGGCAAUUCUCUGUAGACUGGUCCUUUUUAGCAGUUUAUGUAGCCUGGAACUCUGGAGACUCUGUAGCAAAGACUGUGUAAAAUUUGUGUGUGGUAGAGGAUAAGAUCUUGCAGCAUCCUUUGCUUGUAGAGAGAAAAGUAUCUAAACAAGAAAUGAUGUCGUCUGGAAUGAUUUGGCAUUUGAGCAUACAUGAGUUCUAAGCAAAUCAUCAAACCAUGAUCAAAUAGUAGAAAAUAAAUUGGAGAUGGGUUGAUUUGCGGUCUCCCAUGGGCGAUAUGCCUGAAAUUCAGUUUUCGCGAGAGAAUAUAUAAGCACUGCAAAUAAUACUAGAGGUUCAGAAUUUACAUAGGAUAAGCUCAGCCAACAACUAGUGCAUAUUUAGGGUCCAAAAUAUGAAUAACUUGGGGAGUUUGACAGAUAAUAACAGAAGUUCAAUUUUCAUUAGGUUCUUCUGAGCUUGUUGUGGUUCCUUGAUUGUCUUCAAUUGAUCCAGUUCCAGUGCCGCAUUGUUGCUCUGACUCACCCGUGACAGUUGCUAGGCAGUCUGAUGUUACAAAAACAGGAAGACCACACUCCAAUCUUUUGUCUGGGAUCCAAGUUGUUGUAUUGCAUUCAAAUGGCAUGAUAUUUCUGUAGUCGCGUGAGAUCUUAGAUUCACCGAAAUUAACACUCCAGGUCCUACCUAGGUAGGGCAGGCUGUAGUAUGGGGACAUGUAUGUAGCCAGUGGCGGACCCAGGAAUUGAAGUUAGCUGGGGCAAACAUUUAAUUUCUAAUUUUUUUGGGUACAAAUGCAAUUCUAUUCAACCAGAACUCAAGCAUUCAACAACAAAAAAAAGGCUCUUAGAAACAGUAAACUGCUAACAUGGAUCUUGUCGCUUGAAAUGCUCAUUUAUGCCACAAUAUGAUCCCAUAAUUCCAAUUUCCAAACGAGACCUACAAAAUUAUGAAUGCAUACCGUGCUUCUUUGAAGUUCCGCCAAUCAUUCCCAAAACGAGUACGAGGAAAAUCGUGACCAUACAAAUGCCCCACACCUUUCGACAAAUAUGCCCUUCUCAUUUCAUCUCUAAUUUCUGGAGUUGUGUACUCUUCAAUUUGCUUACGUGUGCCAGGAUCGGGAUUCACAUCAUCUGAACUAAAUGCCGGAGGAAUGCCUUGCAACAUCAAAUGGCACCAAAAUUGAGCUGCACCACUGCUGAAGAAUGUGCAAGAUGUGAUCUUUUGGUACAAUAUCGUCUGAAUGUGUCAGUAUUAUCAGUCAUUCAGUGAUUCAGGAUGCAGCAGAGGAUGAUAGUUGGGUAGGUUUUGCUUUUAAUAAAUGACAACGCCUUUGGCGUACGUGGCACAUCAGUACACGGCACAGGAAAACUGUGGCUUCCGUCUAUACCGUUUCAUCAGGUGCAUCUAGACCCGGGUACCAAAAUGAAUAUCCGAUCUUUUUUUUCUUUUUCUGGAUCGAUUGGAGGACAUGUCGUCUGUUUGGGCCUGUAGGCUGUAGUAACACGGUUUACCGGACCAGCCCAACUGCCCAAAUCUCUCUCUACCUCACGGCCUCACGUACCCCUUCAACCGCUCCCUGAUGUACCGGUUUGAGGCUUCAACGGUUCGACCUCUGGCUUUCUGAACUCUGAAACAGAGAACAGCGCUGCAGCAGGCAGAUGUGUAGGUGGGGGUCGAUCCUCCGCCGCCGGCGACCCGGGGCGGCCGCCCCAGCUCGCCCCAAUGGUGGGUCCGCCACUGUAAUGUAGCAGAGCUAACACCAAUCUUGCAACAGAUGGCGAUAACAUGAGAGCAAGGCUUGUGAAGUAGCUGCGGCUUGCUGCAUGAACAGGUGACAGUUUUUUCAACAGUGGAUCCUUCAGACUUAUUCAUGCUGCGGGUAUAUUCCGACUUCAGGUGAACAGUCACCUCCCUCUUCCUUCCCUUAACUGUAAAUUUCCGAUCCAAUACCUCACCACGAGCAUUCUUCUCAUCGGUGUACAUAUACGUAAGUGUAUGCGUCUCGGAUUUCUGCAUUUUGGAAUUCAUGUCAACCUGGACACGUUCCGGGAAGUUAAUUGAUGGGUUGCCGAUUGCUUUGUUUGCUGCAGCACUUGUGUUUUCAAAGUACUUUACCAAGCGCAGGAAUGUUACCUCCACUAUCGCACUGAGCGGAAGGCAUGUGAUCCCUUUCAACACAGGGUCGUUCUUAUAUACAUCAGCUAUAUCACUGCCCAUGAUGCCAUACCUUGCUCCAUCUCUGUCAUAUGCCAGUGACCACUUCUCCUUUGGUUUCAGACUGAUCCAAUCAGAGAACUUUGUUAUCUUUCCUUUGGUGUCAUCAGCAUGAUCUUCUUCCUUCCCAUCCUUCACAGAAUCAUGUUGGUUACAUGGGCUUUGCGCCUCAAGCUCUGCCACAACAUGCUUGACUGAUUCCUGCUGCAUUUUCCCACUAGCGCCACGUUCUUUCUCUGCCAUAUAUGUCGACGUUAACUCGUCUAGCUCCUUCCAGAUUUUACCAAACUUAUGGCGUCGCUUCUGCUGGCAAAGUUUCUUGAAAAUCAACAGCAGCUUCUUGUCGCCAAAAUACGCAAAGAAGUUUUCAGCAAGGUCUUCCAUGCACCACCGGCUUUCUGAUUUACGCCACUGUCGAUAUUGAUAUUUCAGAAGGUCUUCCACAGCAUCAAUCAACUCCCUUUUGUAGUCAUGUAUAAUGCACACAUCAGACUGAUGCACCACUGCUCGCUCCAAAUUCCUAAGAAACCACAACCAACUUUCCUUGGUCUCACCCUCAACGACAGCACAUGCUACUGGAAUGGAAAAAUCAUUAGCAUCCAAUGCCACAGCAGUCAACAACAUCCCUUGAUAUUUCCCACAUAGUGGUGUGCCCUUGAUGCAUAGCACAUGGCGACAGGUAUGGAAGGCCUGUAGGCACUGUCCAAAUGCCCAAAACAUACGCUGCAGGACUCAGAAACCCUUACACUCUGCAACCUCUGCAUCUUUGAUGUCAACAAAACAACCAGGGUUCUUGCGUGCUAUUUCCUUAAGCAACCUCGGGGCAAGGUUGUGUUGUGUGAAUCAUAAAAGGUACCGAAUUCCCUCUCCAGAGCAAACUGUCUUGCCCUCCACGCCUCGACGGGACUAAUCUUCUCGCCUAAGGGUCCAGUGAGAUAAUGUACCAAUUCCUUAGCUGUCAUCGUCAGGUCAUCCACAAGGUCACGGAAGGCGUAGCGACUACUUGCCAGGCACUCCGUCCCAGGCAACACAACCGUGGCCAGUUGAGAGUAAUCAUCAUGUACGGCUUUGAGCAAAAUGCCGUAGUGCAUGACCUCAGAGGAUUGCACAUACAACAUGAACUUCUGCGUCACAUUUUUUUUCUCUUCAAUUUAUUUGCAAAGGAGCUCCAGCAUUUGUCAGUCAGAAAUUCAUGCAUGUCCCAUGGGUAGUCCUCCAAACAACAGUCCGGUUCGGAGGACUCUUCGUCAAAGAAAUCAGUUUUGCGUUGCUUGAGGAACCCCUUGAUAUCGAGAUCUUGUGUUUCUGGAUGGAGCCGGAACAGCCUGAAGAUCCAGAGCUGUAGAUCCACCAAUGACAUGGACUGUGGCUGCAGCGGUAGCUCGCCGAUUAAGUGAGCGCAUUUGUUUUCUAAAUCGUUGCCACGCACGCGGGAAAACGGUGAUCUACAUCCAUAGUACACAGGCAUCUGAAUCGGCUCCUCAACCUACACCAUCAAACAAUGCCACAACACACAUGGAAGAGAUUCAGACGAAUCAAACAGCCAAGCAAGUGCUGGGACAAAUUCAGACUAACUAAAUUAUCAAAUGAGAUGAUGGGUACAGUGAACUACAGACCUGUGGCUUGUGAGCCUUCCUGACAGCCUUCGCCGUCGCCGUCGCCGGGGCCUUCCGCUUCCUCGCGCUGGCGACGAUACCCUGCGAGAUCAGAACACGCAGAUCUUCAACAAAACGGGCGGCGGCGAAUCCAUCGAGUGGUGCCCGGAGGGCGGCGAGGAGAGCGUACCGGCUGGGGGACGGGGAGCGCGUCGGGGCCGGCGAAGGACGGGACUUCAGCGACAUCGGCGCUGGUGCGUGGUUCGUCCAUCGCCGGCUUCGUCGGAACAGGGUUGCCGCCGUCGGCGUGGGUUUCCAUCUCUUUCUGUUCGCGCAGUUGGGGAAUGGGAAUGGGAAGAGGGUUUUCCCUCGCUUCUGGAGUUUUUCCCUCCAUUUUCUCGUGAUGGGCCGCUCGCCAGGAGGUUCCGCGAGCUUUUGUACCUGGGCCGUUAUUUCCAUUUGCUGUUGGGCUCUCAUCCCCACUGAGAAAGAACUCUCCUAAAAAAGCUCGCAAUAUUAUUUUCUAGAAAACAAAAGCUCGCAAUAAAACAGCAGACACCCCUAAAAGAAACAGUAGAAAAUAUAAGAUGGAAACCAUGUUACAGUGGAAACAUUUACAAAUUCAAGCUCAAAACCAUAAUAUAAAAAAUUCAGCAAUGAAUAGUGACAAAAGGUGCAACAUCUUUUUGACCUCACUGUUCAUGGAAAACUUGUUUUUUAUUUCUUGCCUCCCAAAUGAAUAUAUAUUUGACUAUUAAAAUUUUAAAUGUAUUUCUUACCGCCAUAAUAUAAUCGUAUAAUCCAAGACAUCAUUUUAACAAAAAAGGGUGGAUUUCCUAAUCCUAAAUUGUGUUAUUUAACACCAUAUUCUCCUAUCAUUAUCAUGACUACAUAAUAACAUCACCUAGCAAACACAUCUCCCGAACACGGGUACGACGUGCCCCGGCGCCGAAACCUACUGGAGUAGUAGUCAUCUUUAGUUCCCGAGGGAAGUAAUCACUGAGAUUAGCACCACCAGUAACGAUCGGAGGGAGUGUCUGCAGCAAAAAGAAUUAAACAUGGUCCAGCCGUCCAGCUCCAUGUGCUUUCAUUCAAAAUCUUUCUGGGCGAGAGUGAUUUUAUUCAUUUAAUGGACAUGGUUGUUGGCCUGUUCCAACUCAAGAAUGGUUUACUGAUUUUGUAUACUCAUUAUUCAUCAGUUUAAUCAAGCAACUUAGCUAGUUCAAUGAGGUUAGGAAUGGGUGUCAUGAACACCAAAAGGAAAACGUUCUGAAGGAAAAAACACACAAGAAAAACAACUGAGUUCAGAAUGGUCCUCGGUUUGUAGACGUAAAGAAGUUCAGAAAGAUCUUGGAAAUUAUUUCAUCAUCCAACACUCAGCAGAAAAAUGCAGCAGAACUGCAGAAAUAUGCAUUACGAUUCUUUAUAGUAUGUUGUUUCGACACAACGGAAAAAAUACAGCCAAGAAAAAAAACAUGAUGAAUGAUGAAGAACAGUAGCAAAGAAUUGACCAACAAUGCAACAUUAUCUCUGUAUAUAUCAUUUAUUUUCAUUUAAUGAUGAAUAGACAGUGCUCGUUCAGUUUCUCGUGGGAAAAAAACAUAACAUCAUUAUAUUUGUUUUUGUAAAGACCAACUUAACACGGGUAAAUGUGCUAACAGAGCAAACUGAAAGCAGCAUGUCAACACCUGAUGGCAAAUCUGUAGACUGGCUAUUUGGAAGAAAAAUAAUCUGUAGACCAGAACUCUGCACCACAUUUGCAUAUGGAUUCCCUGGCAGCAUUCUUAACAAGAAAUGAUGUCUUCUAGAAUGAUUUGGCAUUCGAGCAUGCAAGAGUUCCAACAAAAUUAUCAAACUGUAACGGUGUAACCUACAGGAAAAAUAAUAAUAGAGGGGUUGAUUUGCAGUCUCCCAUGGGCCUAGUAACCAUAUUGUCUUAAUAAGCCUAAAAUUCAGUUUUCAUGCACUGCAAAUAAUACCAGAGGUUCAGAGUUUACAUAGGAUAAGCUUGACAGUGACUACUGCCUAUUUAGGGCCCAGAAUAUUAAUAGCUUGAUAGGUGAUAACAGAAGUUUAAAUCUCAUUAGGUUCUUCAGUGCGUGUUGUCACUCCUUGAUUGUCUUCAGUUGAUCCAUUUCCAGUGUUGCAUUGUUGCUCUGAUUCAUCCGCAACAGUUUCUAGGCAGUCCGAUGUUACAAAAACAGGAAGACCACACUCCAAUCUUUUGUCUGGGAUCCAAGUUGUUGUGUUGCAUUCAAAUGGCGUGAUACUUCUGUAACCGCGUGAGAUCUUAUAUUCAUCAAAAUUUCCACUCCAGAUCCUACCUAGGUAGGCCAGACUGUAGUAUGGAGACAUGUAUGUAGCAGUGCUAACCCCAAUCUGACAACAGACGGCGAUGACAUGAGUGCAGGGCCUGUGAAGCAGCUGUGGUUUGUUGCAUGAACAGGUGGCACUUUCUUGUAUUGUGGAUUCGCCAAACUUACUUAUGCUUUCCGAUUUCAGGUGAACAACCUCGUUCUUCUGCCUCGACUGAACUGUAAAAUUCCGAAACUGUUUCCCCUGGAAAACAUUUCUGGUUUUGGUGUCUAGGCAAAUCACGCGAUGCAUCUUGGAUUUGUGCAUUUUUGAAUUCAUGUCAUCGAGUUAAUUACGUUGUGUUGUUAGUGGAAUUCCUUCUAAUUCUAAAUUAGAGAAAGAGGGGUUUUAUACCUUAUACAUUAGUCAAGGGAAUGAUCCCCUGGCCCCGGAUUUCCAUAUAAAGAAUACGACGAGGAUAAAGACCCUCUUUAACCUGAAUUCUAAUUGAAGCUUAGUCCCAUCUGCUAUAGCUUGAAGCAGGCCCAGGGGGCCAGCAUAUUCAGGACCAAUACGUUGUUGUAUCGACGCAGAUAUUUCUCUUUCUAACCACACAAUUACGAGUACCUCUAUUGUUAUUCCCAAAAGGAGGGUCAAAAUGGAUUCGCAAACAAAAAGGGGAAUUCGUAGUCACUUUUUCCUGUCGCGUAAAAAAAAAGUCUUUAUGCGAGAGCAAUAGAGGUUGGGAUACAUCUAUCUCUUCUGAGCAACCUCUUUUGGAUUCUUAAGACCACCCUUGCAGUAGUGCCGGAUGCGGGGAAAGGUUGGGUUUUCCUAUGAGUGGACCUCCAUACCAUUUUGCAUUUCUCGACAAAUAUAAUCUGUUUGGCUAUUCUAAGUGGUUCUUUUUUUCUGGGUAAAGAGGAACUUGUCAUUUUGAAUUCUUGGGUUCAGGAAUUCUUCUCAUUCGUUGGUUAUUAGAAGCAUCCCAAAAGCGUCCGGGUCGAAAUAUGGCUUUCAAAUUAAGUUCCGAAUUAGUAGAUGCUGCCAAAGGGAGUGGGGGUGCCAUACGCAAAAAGGAAGCGACUCAUAGAAUGGCAUCAUACACCUUAAAGUUCAUAGAACGAAAAGAAGUUUUUUGGAGGCCCUCGUCUUUUGUCAUUCUUUGCUCCUUUUUCACUCAAUGAUUCCUUCGAAUUUGCCGACCAAAAAUUCUCUAAAUUAUGUCUCCUAUUUCUAUGAAGGGAUUAUUCUAUUCUACUAUUGAUCAAUAAUCAUACGGAACUCAAAAUAUUUUCCGGAGAUAUUCAUUUUCCUGAAGAGGCGGAUAAGAUAUUAGGUGGCUGUUCGUCAUUUCUAGUAGAAAUUAUGAAUUGGUAUAAUGGAGAAUUACUGCAUUUCAUAACUGAUUUUUUUCUCUUUUUAUUUCGUUUCUUUUUUAUUUAUACCUUCUUUAUCUUUAGUUUUAUCUAGUUAAUCAAUAGUAUCUACCGGCUCGAACUCGAAUUUGAUCGCCUUCCAUACUUCACAAGCUGCGGCUAGUCCGCUGAUUCUUCAACAUCAGUCGGUUCGGACCUCUGCUUAGUUUCAUCCAAGCUUCAACGCCUCCUAUUUAGAGGAAUUAGCUACUUCAACGAUCUUUGAUGGUUAUAGGGGUAUCCAAAGUACAAACCUGAUGGUUGUUUGUUAUCCCAACCAUUCUUCCCAGCCCUGAUACCGAUCAGGAAAGUCGUAUUGAAUGAUCCGGGUCGAUUGCUUGCGGUGCGAUGGCUCGAAUCCAUAGUCAAUCCUACUUUCGAUAGGACCAGUUGACAAUUGAAUCCAAUUUUUCCCAUUAUUUGACUAUCCAUAAUAGUGCGGAAAGAAAGCCCGCUACCAAACUGCUCUACUCCGCUCUGGAGUACCAGAAACUGGUGGACAAAAAAGGCUUGAAUACAAGCCUCUAACAUGUCUAGACAAAGAGAAUACUCCUUUUAUACAGAAUGGAGCGGGUAGCGGGAAUCGAACCCGCAUCGUUAGCUUGGAAGGCUAGGGGUUAUAGUCGACGUUGGUUGAUUAUUUUUAACGUCUCUAAUUCAAAACCGAACAUGAAAUUUUGAUUUCAUUCGGCUCCUUUAUGGAUAUUUAGUGUCCGUCCGCCUCAACGUCUAUAUAAAGGAUUACGUAUGGGCAAUAUUGAAACUGUACUUUCCAGUAGUAUCGCUGCUGUUUUUUUUUGCAGCUUUCGUAGUUGCUGGAACUAUGUGGUAUGGGUCAGCAUAAGGAAAUUAAUAUGCGAUUUUCAAAAUAGGGGAAUCCAAAUGAAACCCUUUUUUUGCUCAGUCUAUCUGGAAUGGCGAUCGGAUUGCACUUUUACCCAAUUUGGGAAGCUGCAUCUGUUGAUGAGUGGUUAUACAAUGGUGGUCCUUAUGAGCUAAUUGUUCUACACUUCUUACUUGGUGUAGCUUGUUAUAUGGGUCGUUGAGAUCAAUUCGGAAGCGCUUUUUCUUAUUCUAGCAGACGGAAUUCCUUUGGUCUAAUUUAGGACUUUCAAAUCUAUUUAUUUUAUUUUAUCUAAUUCUAUCUACGCCCCAGGGGCUAGGAACAAAACAGUCCUUUCCUUUUUCUGAAGGGCCAACUUGAUCCUCUUCCCCAGGGAUCCCAGAUGAGGGAAGCCUAGGAGAGCCGCCGACUCCAACUAUCGUCCAUGUACGAUCCAUACUAGAUCUGACCAACUGCCCAUCCUACCUCCUCUACCUUUUUGACAGCCCAUCUUUUUGUCUCAGUAGAGUCUUUCAGUGGACCCGUUCAGGGAAGUUCAUUGAUGGGUUGCCAAUUGCUUCAUUUGCUGUAGCACUUGUGUUUUUGAAGUGCUCUACCAAGCGCAGAAAUGUCACCUCCACUAUCGCACUGAGCGGAAGGCAUGUUAUCCCUUUCAAUACAGGGUCAUUCUUGUAUAUAUUUGAUAUAUCAGCGCCCAUGAUGCCGUACCUAGCUCCCUUUGUGUCAUGCACCAGUGACCACUUCUCCAUUGGUUUCAGACGGAUCCAGUCAGAAAACUUUGUUACCUUUCCUUCGUUUUCAUUGGCAUGAUCUCCUUCCUCCUCAGAGCCCACUGAAUCAGGUCGGUUGCAUGGGCUUUGUGCCACCAGGUCUGCCUCAUCAUGCUGGACUAACUCUUGCUGCAUUUCCCCACUAGUACCACCUUCUCUCUCUACUGUAUAUUUUGUUGUCAGCUCAUCGAGCUCCUUCCAGAUUUUAACAAACUUAUUUAGUCGCCUCUGCUGACAAAGUUUCUUGAACAUCAACACCAGAUUCUUGUCACCAAAAUAUGCAAAGAAGUCUUUGGCAAGGUGUUCCAUGCACCACCGGCUUUCUACUUUCUGCCAUUGUCGUUGAUCGGAACUUAGAAAGUCCUCUAUAGCAUCGAUCAACUCUCUUUUGUAGUCAUGUAUAAUGCAAACAUCCGAUGGAUGCCUCACUGCUUGCUCCAAAUUCCCAAGAAACCACAUCCAGCUUUCCUUGGUCUCCCCCUCAACGACGGCACAUGCUACUGGAAUGGAGUAACCAUUAGCAUCUAAUGCUACAGCAGUCAACAGCACCUCUUGAUAUUUCCCGCAUAGUGGUGUGCCUUUAAUGCAUAGCACAGGGCGACAAUGAUUGAAAGCCUGCACACACUGCCCAAAAGCCCAAAAUAUACGGUGGAGGACUCGAAAGUUGCUACAUCCUGCAACCUCUGCAUCCUUGAUGUCUACAAAACCCCAAGGGGUUUUACAUGUUAUGUCCUUAAGUAACCUUGGGGCAAAGUUGUGUGAAUCAUAAAAUGUACCAAACUCCUGCUCCAGAGCCUUCUGUCUUGCCCUCCACGCUUCAGGGGGACUCAUCUGCUCGUCAUAGUGUUCAGCAAGAUAAGCUAUAAUUUCCUUAGGUGUCAUUGACAGGUCUUCCACUAGGCGGAGGAAGCGGAAGUUAGAAGUUGUCAGGCAUUUCGUCCCAGGCAACACAACCCUUGUCAACUGAGAGUAAUCAUCAUGUAUGGCUUUGAGCAAAAUACCAUAGUGCUUGAUCUCAGAGCAUUCUGCAUACAACAUGAACUUUUGCGUCACAUUCCUUUUCCGCUUUAAUUUAUUGGCAAAGGCACUCCAGCACUUGUCAGUUUGAAAAUAGUGUGUGUCCCACGGGCAGUACUCCAUAUACCAGUCAGGCUCGAAUUCGUCGAACAAGUCAGUUUUGCGUUGUUUGAUGAACCCCUUAAUAGCGAGAUCUUGUGUUUCUGGAUGGAGCCAGAACAGCUUGAAGAUCCAGAGCUGUAGAUCCACCAAUGACAUCGACUGCGGCUGCAGCGGCAGUUGGCCGAUUACGUGUGCACAAUCUUUUACUCUAGGAGAAAUGUAUGAACAAUCAACUAAAUCAUCGCCUUUCACGCAGUAAAACUCUUCUCUGUGUCCGUAGUAUGCAGGGAUCUGAAUGGGUUCUUGAGCCUACACCAAACAAUGACACCACAGAUGGCACAGCUUCAGACGAAUCAAACAAGCAAGCAAGAUUGCGGCGGCAGGUUAGUGACUUAUUGCUACAGUACAGUACAGUGCGGUACAGUACAAACCUGCCGCUUCCGAGGCUUCCUCGCCGUGGCUGCCGGAGCCUUCCGCUUCCUCGCGCCGGCGGCGGCACCCUGCGAGCCCAGAACACACAAACUUCAACUAAAAGGGGCGGCGGGGAAUGGAUCGAGUGGUACACCGAGGCGGAGGGCGGCGAGGAGAACGCACCGGGUUGGAGGCGGGGGCGUCGGCGCCGAUAGGGGAGGCGGAAGAGUCGGAGGCGUGGGGUUCCGCCGCCGCCUCCAUGGACGGCUUCGUCGGAGCAGGGCUACCGUCGGGAGUAUCGGCGGCGGUUUCGAGCUUGGCAGUGGGAAGGGAUUGGGAGGAGCUAUUUUUUUUCAGAACGGAAGAGCUUUCCCUCCAUUUUGUCGACCCUUCGCUCCGUUUUCUGGUGGAGAGCAAGGGCCAGGCCUUGUUCAGCAUGGGCCGCUUGCUUUUGCUUGGGCUCUGGGCUUUGCAUUUCUUGAAGGCCCCCGUGCAGCACGCCAACGUUGCUGUUGUGUUAUCCGGGACUGAGCUAGUGUUCAGAUUCAGGAUAUUGUUUCAGCAAUGGGAGAAAAUGACUCAACAUACAUUCCCCACGCAGGCAUGACGCAACAUUAUCUUUGUACAUUUCAUUUCUUUUUCAGUCUAAUGAAUCGGCAGCAUUUCUGCCAAUUUCUCUGGAAAAAAAGCAGCAAUAACAUGAGGCGAAAAUGACUCUGUUUAGGAGGUUUCUAAAGACACUGCAAUCACCAGCAAUGACAUGAGGAGAAAAUGUAAAUUUUAUUUGUGGUGGAAAAUAAGGGAUUGCACUUGGAUUCAGAGAAACUGUUCAGCAUGCUCAUCUCUUUGCAUCAUCCUUGCUUGCAGAGAGGAACAUAUCUAAACAAGAUAUGAUUGGCAUUUGAGCAUGACAAAAUCAUCGAACUGUAACUAAGUACAGUAGAAAAGAAAUAAGAGACGAGUUAUUUUGCAGUCUCCCAUGGGCGUAGUGACCACUAAAGAUUCAGGAUUACAUAUGACCAACUUGAUAGUCACUUUCCACACAAAAAUUCCACUCCAGGUCCCUUGGGUUACUGGGUAUUAACAUGGUGGAAUUUGUAACAUAUUCAAAUGGACAUGAAAUUUUCUUAGGGGUUCUGGAUAUGCAACACUGCUAUUGCACAUAAUUCAAAUGAAAAGCUAACAUGAUCUGAGAAAAGCCAAACCUAUUUGCCAAAUAGCUGCAAUAUGAUGCAACCUCUUGACAUUGCAGUAUCUCAAAUCAGAAUAUCUUCUAACCAAUAACUGUCCCAAACAUGGUUAUGUGGUUCACCAGUCACACUUUUCUGACUAGAGCAGCAGAAUGUUUUAAGAAGUCACAGAUGCAUACAACAAUCGUAUAUACAGAAAGUUACUCAAAUGCUCUGCACAAAUUCAGGCCAACAAUUUUUCAUUCAUGUCUGAAAUUGAUUACAAUAUGACUUGAUAGUCGAUACAUUCAGGACUUGCUUGGCCAACAAUUUUUCAUUCAUGUCUGAAAUUGAUUACAAUACGACUUGAUAGUCGAUACAUUCAGGACUUGCCUAGCCCAAAGCUUCACCCACAAACACACACACAAGAGUUCAGUAACCAAUGUUACUCGUUGGAAACUGCAACUUUAACUCACCAAGACGCCAAUGCCUAAGAAUCCAAUUCAGCCAAGAUUAAUUUUACAGGAGAGUCAGCAUAGUCUCCAGACGCUAGGCAGCUCACAUGAUAACUGUGUGUAUCGACAAGUUCAAUUCUACUCCUUUUUUCCUGCUACAAGCCGGGUAGCAAACGGGCAUUUUGGAUUUUGCGGCGAGUGCGUUUUACGCUCUGUCUUGGGCCGGAAUUGCAGUACAUGAGUUUCCAAUUUUUUUGGCUCAUCUGCUUCACUUUGAUUUAUUGAAAAUGCCCUUUAUUUACUUAAACCCUUAACUUAGGACCAGGUGUGGAUGUAGUGUAACUAUGUCGUACACAUCUUAACAAGAUUUUUGCUGCCUAGCUAGAUGGAGACUCUGCUGACACUCUAGUAAAAUUACUAAUGACUGAACGGGAUUCAAAGAACACUAGAAAUGUUGGUAAGCAAGUGCAGAACCUAGAGGGACAAAGAUUAAAUGAAACUUAUGUGUGCAUGGUUUAGGAAGCAACUAAAAGACUAGGGAAGGCGUAAUACCACUGGACGCAGCCAAGGAAUUGGUUGCUUCCUUGGUGCUGCAGCGGUGACACGGUUUUGCUUCAGAAUCUUGCAGCUGAGCUCCCCCAUCCCCCUUCUUGCGCGCAGAGUUGAAACUACUGGAGUCAUCUUCUUCACACCGGGCGCAGCAGCAGUGAGAGGCAGUGGUGUAGAGCCGACGAAAGAGCAAGUCUUGGAAGCGACCUGACGAGAGACCUUCUUCACAGGCGCAGCAGCAGUACUCCUACAAAUUUGCAACUAGAUUACAUAGUUGGCAACUUGUAGCUUGCAACUAGAUUCCUCUGCUCCCUCUGCUUUUCUCACUGCCGACUCUUCUCCUCUGAUGUAAGACUACCACCAAGAAGCUUGCACUGUUGAUGAUUUCUUGCUCUGCUUCCAUCA